UAUCAGUGUUUGAUAUAGUUUUCUAGUCGAGUACAAAAUGGUUUAGGUAAGGAGACAAGAAAGGAGGCAAAUGGAGACUUCAAAAAUGGCCAACCUUGUUAAUUCGCGUGAGGAAGACAAGAAAAAAGCAGAGGAGUUAGAAGAUGAAGAAAGCUUCUCUUAUGCUAUACACCUUGCCAACUCUGUUGUGUUUCCCCUAACAUUACAAACCGCAAAUGAACUUGGAGUAUUUGAUAUCUUGCAAAAAGCAGGGCCAAAUGCUAAGCUCUCUGCCAAACAGAUAGCUUCCCAGCUUUCAUGCACCAACCCAGAAGCGCCUUCAAUGUUAGAUCGCAUCCUCUCCCUUCUUGCUUCUCACUCUGUCCUUAAAUGCUCUGUUCUUCAAGAUGAACAACAAAAAAACCUUCACAAACUCUACAAUUCUGAUGGUGUUUCCUUAGGCCCCUUGAUGGCCUUACUUCAAGAUAAGAUCUUCGUAGCUAGCUCGUAUGUUAUUCUCCUCUCUCUCACUCUUUAGAUAUACCACCACGGUUCCUAUUGAUUUAGAGCCGGGUAAAAGUAAGUUUUUUUUUGUUACAAAGAGGAAAAUGGGUAAAAGUAAGUUUCUUCGGUAUAUUGGAAAGAUAAAUUGCAUUAUUCAGAAGAGUUUAAUUUUGAUGCACCGACGGUGUAAAGUUUUUUCAUUUAAUUUCAUUAAUUGACGUGGCAUAUCCUUGAAAUCUGAUUGGUUGACGGUGUAAAAAAACUUUACACCGUCGGUGCAUCAAACUUUUUCUCUAUUCAGAAAUUGAUCAUUAAUUGGACCUCCCACACCGAACUCAUAUGUCUCUAACUCUUACCACUUGAGCUAUCAUUCGAGGACGACAAAAGUAAGUUUGAUAUAAGUAACUUUGAUAGAAUAAAGAAAAAAAUGGAUAUUAUUUUAAUAGAAUAAAGUUAAUUUUUUUUUUGGAAAUAACCUCUUGUCUAAAAAACCAUACAAUACACAAAAUAGUGUUAGUAUGGGCAUGCAGGACCAUAUCUUUAAUAUAAAAACUUGACAAUAGUUUUUCAAUUGAGGAGUUUCUUGGUGUGUAUAUGAUUACUGUUGGAAUUAAUGACAUUUCAAAUCAUUUAUUUAAGAAUAAUAAGCCUUAUAUUUGACCUCACCGUUUGGAUUGGAAUAGUUGAAACUUUCAAAGGGUUUUAAACUAUUUUAAUAUCAUUAAGAGGAGAUAUACGUUGGUAUUCCUCUUGUCCAGCUUUGAUGCCUCUAACUCCACCUUUAUUUGUAUUUUGAUGGUGGUAUAACGGUUGGAUGGCAGAGGGUGAUGAGGCUAUUCUAUAAAGAAUAAGGUGCCGCUAGGACUAUGUAUGAGAUAGAAAAAUAAAAAUAAANNNNNNNNNNNNNNNNNNNNNNNNNNNNNNNNNNNNNNNNNNNNNNAUUUUUGCUUUCAAGGCAGUGGUUCGUCCACGUCGCAACAAUCUUCCUAAUAUUUCCAACAAUUUGAAAGCAAAAAUUAUUUUACUCUUGUUAGUGUUGUUGGCCGNNNNNNNNNNNNNNNNNNNNNNNNNNNNNNNNNNNNNNNNNNNNCCUUUGCUUUUUGUGUGACUGCUUCGACGGGUGGAAUCCAUGAAAGAGUGGUUUGUGAUGCUUGUAGGGAUUCUUCUCCUGGACAUGAAAACCUUGUCUUUUAAGUGAAGGGUGAGAAAGCUUAAAGGAGAGGAACUUCCACCCUUUCACCUGCGCUUGCAUGAGACUGGUGGUUUUCAAAAUUUGGGUCAAAGCCCAGGUACGUAUCCGCAUCUCUAUGUGGCAAAAUAUGUGAUGAUGACUUUAGAAAAUUUCUCGAUGCUAGAAGAAAUUAUAAUAAUGAAGGCACCACGGGCAAAGUCAGAUCAUCUCAUAAUUGAUAAUGUUAAUUUACUUGACAUAAGGAUAUCAUAUAUCUAUAAAGAUCGAACCUUUGAGACUGAUUUGGCUAAGUCCCGUUAUGCAUGAGAUUUAGUGGACUUAUAUUUGAUAUAUUUUAUGAGACUAAGUCUACCUAUUGAUAAAUGAUAUGUAUGAAUAAAUAUGAUAUUCAUCAGGUUAUGUUGACUUAUGUGAUUAGAUCAGCUUCAUGUGUAACACGGGUUGUAGCUUUGUAAUGAUUCAAAGCUUAUAGAUGUAAUGUUUGAGAUUUGUCUUCUUGGCUUAACAGGAAGUUGACAAUGUGCAAUAUAUAUACCAGUAUAAAAUUAUAGGCUUAAUACAUCAGAAGACCCCUGUAAUUGUAAAGGGAAUCAAAUUCAGGGCCUAGAAAAUUUUUGCAUCAAAUUGGGUCCCUAGAAUUUUUUUUUUAAUUCAAUUAAGGCCAAAGUGUGUCAGCUCUCAAUUUUAUCCCAGUCAUCAAUUCCACGUGGCUUUUUUUAAUUUAAAAAAUAAUAAAAAAUUAUUUUUAAUUCCAACUCAAUAAUUUAAUCAGAAAAAAAAUUAAAAACUUAAUAAAAAACCAACUCAUACUAUUUAAAAAAAACCUAAUCUAAUCUAAAAAAAAAAUCUAACCUAAUAUGAAAAUAAACCUAACCAGAAAAUAAACCUAACCUAAUCUUCCUUCUUCUUGACUGGUGGAAAGCAUAGCCAACCUCUUCUGUCUGAGGCCCAACCUCCACGAUCUCCACUAGUGCCGCCUUCCUCCACCAGUGCCGCCUUCCUCCACAUCGAGCUCCACGAUCUCCCAAUCGCUGUUGCGGCCUUCGACGAUGUCGACGUCUUCUGCAAACUCAACCUUCGAAUCGAGCGUCUGCUUUACUGAGGGCUCAGGCAUGGAGGUGAGAUUUUGGGAGCGGGAAAGUUGGUGUUGAUGGAAGCGGAAGAAGAUGAUGAAUCAGAUGAGGGUUUUUUUUUUCUUUUGGUUACAGAUCUUGGGUUUUUUUCAUUAGGUUAGGGAUUUUAAUUUUUCUCUUGAUUUGGGUUUCUCUCAUGCUUCUCUGCUUCUCUGGUCUGGGUUCUUUCACAUGUUUCUCUUCAUUUUUGACUCGUUCUUCUCUGCACUUGGAAGACCCAUCAGUCUAUUACUCUGUUAUAUUGUUGAUGGUGGUGAAUGGUCCCUUUGUUAAAUCAACGUUGGGUAUCUUACUGAUGGUGAACAACCAAAUUUGUUUAUUAUAUUGUUUGGUUAAUUUACUUGUAAUUGGGGCUGUAAUGCUCAUCUUGAAGAUUUGUUGGGAUUAUUUUCCUUCACUACUAGGUUGUGAUGGGUACUGGUUGUAUCACAGCUGAAUAGGUUAGAUUAGGUUUUUAGAUUAGAUUAGAGAUUAUUAGUGAUUAGUUUAGAUUUUGUAUUAAGAUUUUAUUAAGUUUUUGUUUUUAAUUUAUGACUUGGAAUUAAAAAAAAUUAAGUAUUCAAUUUUUUCAAUUAAAAAAAAUCAAAAUGACACAUGGAAUUGAUGAGUGGUAUAAAAUUGAAGGCUGGUACACUUUGGCCUUAAUUGAAUUAAAAAAAAAAAUUCUAGGGACCCAAUUUGAUGCAAAAAUUUUCUAGGCCCUGGAUUUGAUUCCCUUUACAAUUACAGGGGCCUUCUGAUGUAUUAAGUCCUAUGAGCCUCUUUAUUAGCUUGACAUGCUAGAAAAGACAUGAAAUUCAUAGAACGGUAAACAUGGCUUUUGCAAGUGGAACCCCUCAUAUCUCAAAUAGAAAUAAUCAACAAAUUCUGAUUUGAUAAAACUAUUUGUGAUCGAUCAAAACAUCACAACUUCACAAAAAGUAAUCACCCAAAAAAAACAUUUGACAUCUAAAUCAUACUAUUAAAUCAUAAAAAACAAAAAAAAAUAUAGAAAUCCGGAAUCACAAAAACCCUAACCUCCAAUUACCUUAGAACAGACCCCAAUCCAUGAACUGAAACAACAAAGAUAAGAUUUCAGCAAGACUGAGAUGAGAGAAGAGAAACCAAGUAGAAUGAGAUUGAAGAGAAGGUCAAAAGAGAGGGCAAGCAACAAGGUGGGAGAUGAGACAGAAGAGAGAUGCUCAAGAGAAAUAAGCAAUGCCUGGGUUACCCGUGCACAAGAGUCACACUCAAUAGAUGAGGUCGUGAGCGUAAAAAACAUGAGAUUAGAUGGGGAAUGACUCACUAUAAGUAUAUGAGUCAGGAAUUUCGCAAUUUCCUUAUUGUGAGAUGUUAUUUCAAAACCCCUACCAGCUUUUAAACAAAAUUCUCAAAUUUUUUUCUUGUCAUUUUUAUAAUUUUUUUCUUUUCAAAAGCAAAAUGGUUAAGAAUAUAUUGAUGAGGAAAUAUUUAUGAAAAACAUCCUCCUAAAAGGGGAUCAAAAGUUAGAAACAACCUAAAAAAACCUCAAAAGGGACCAAUUACACAAAAAACCAAUCAGCCCAUAAGAACCCAAAAACCAGCCCAUUUGUAACGCUUUCGUCGAGGCUGGAUCCAAAGUAAUGAAAUUGUGUUGCGGAAAUGAGUAUAAUCUUGUGGUAAAUUUACUAGUAUUCAAUUAAUUAGGUAACUCUUACCCAGUGCUACGAGUGCUUCGUACGAUAUAGAAGUAGGAAUUUUGCCUCUUCUUUAUAUCACAAGUUUUUUUACGAUUAUGCUAAUCCUUAUGCUCAAACUAGUCUUAAUAUUAUAAAAAUUACAGAAAAAGAGAUUGUUAGGGGUCGCUGUCCAAAGGAGAAGUCGUCCCAUCCUUGUGGGCGACCAAAGAAAGGUAAGGAGAAUUUUUCGAUCUCUUUGGGCGAUCAAAGCAAGAGAAGAACUUUGUAAGAUCCAGUGGAAGGUAAGGAGAAUUUUUCGAUCUCUUUGGGCGACCAAAGCAAGAAAGGAACUUUGUCAGAUCCAAUGGAAGGUAAGGAGAUUUUUUCGAUCUAGGGUAAUGAAUUGGUGAUUUUUGAGCCUCAAUGCAUCUAGGGUUAUUUGGGUGUUAUGACGAGGACAAGGAGUGCUCUGCACACCGAAAAACAUCUGGGCAUGAUUUAUGAUUGCUCUGAUGAGACGACCCUUUGUAGUAUUGCAGCUCAUAUUAGAUCGCACAGUUUAAGGCAGAUCUGAGUGAGAGUUGUGUCUUGGUGUUAUUUUCUUUGGCUUCUCUUUUGGUAUUUUGUGGGCACUAUAGGAUGUUUCUCUUUUAGUUACCUUGUGGGUGCUUGGGUGCUUGCUGUUGCAGGUUCUGGCUUUGGCUUUUUGUGAAUUCUUGUCUAUAUCAUCAAUAUAUGAUUUUGCUUUCCUAAAAAAAUUAGCACAUUGUGUCCAAAAAUUACUUUAUCCAGAUACAAGGUUAAAAUUUAUUGUGACUAUAAAUUUAGAAAAGGAAUUCAAAAGUGCCUGGAUGGAAUUGGAUGGAUUCCUCCUACGGCUUGAAAUUUCAGCUUUAUGGAAAUGGAACUAAACCAUUAUAAGAUGCUCUCAUUUUAUUAUGAGGAUUAAGCCAUUUGCUUGAAGCCUACAAAGCCUUCUUAUAUAGUCACUACAAAUAAUUCACUUGAUAUGGGUUAAAUGUUCUUGAGCUCCAACAACAAAAGCUUAUUAUUUCACAAUAAAUUGGUGUUAUUCUCAUAUGAGAUCCUAAGUUAUUUAUUAUAGAUUUUACCCUUUCAGUUGUAAAAAAUAGCAUUAUACUCUGUUUUGUAAUAAUUCAUAUCGUUUGAUGUUAAUAAGAUUUUCAGUUUCAAGUUCAUACUACAUUGAACAUGAUAUUGCCUUCUCUCUUGAAAUAACAGCAAUGAUGUGCUUGUUUUGAAUAAUUAUUUUCAUCAGUUUUUUUCCUGCCAAACCAUGUUCAUUGAUUCUUGUUAGUGGAAAUUCGAUGAGCAUUUGAUGCAAUGGUUUAUACUUCAAAGUGUUAUGCUUUAUUAGUUGUGCAAUUGUAAGUUCAUAAGCUUAUAGCAUUCAUAUUACAUGUCAUGGUUGUAAGGACAAGAUGAAAGAGACAUCUUAAGAAAAUAAUAAUGAUAUACUAUAUAAGGUCAUGAUGAUAACACUUAUAUAAAGUGAAUUAUUUCAAUAAGCUAUAGGAUAUAAUGACAAGCAAUACAGGACUAAUAAAUGAUGAUAAAUACAGUCGUGUUCUGAUAUCAACAUGUCUUUAAAUUUUUCACAAUAUGAUUAUACUUCUGAUAAUAAUGUCAGGUAAACGAGAUGCAGAUGAUUCAGAAUGGGAGUGGACAUUUGAAGCAAGAUCUAAGAAAGACUUAGCAUGGUGAGGAAUAAGCUUCUUAUUAAGCAGUAGGACUAAUUUUACUUUUGGGUUCAGCAAAGAUAUGCAAUGUGGCUUUUUGCUAACUCUUUGGGUUAUAUUAUUUUUAAAGGUGUGACCUGAUUUUUAUUGUUGAAUUACAAUUUCAGGGGUCUUCUGAUGUAUUAAGCCUUAAAAUUAUAUGAUGUUAAGUUUGAUGAAUUGAUAUAAUUUUGUGUUGGUUAUUAAUAGCUUGAUUUGAUUAUAACACAACAAUAUGACAUAGCAGCUGAAAGGUAAAAGGUAAAGGAAAAAUGUUGAAUGCUAUGUUGUGUUUGCUAUAUUCUUAACAAGGUUUUCGAUGAAAUUUGUGAAAAUUGUUUAAGUGUUGUUGAAAUGAUUUUUCAUAUGCUUGAAAAUCAUAAAAUUGUGGGGGUAUUUGACUAAACUUCAUAGGUUAUGCUCAUGGUGUUGUUGUCUAUAAAUUCUCGAUCUUGAAUUUAUAAUAUGAUUAUUGGAUUAAGGUGUCUUGAGGUUUAUGAAUGAUUCAGUUUGAGCUUAAGCUUGUGUUUGUGAUUCACAAGAAGCAGCUGGAGUUGGCAAUAACGAUGCUUGCAAUAGAGAGAAAUACAUGUCAUACAUGUUGCAAAGAAAUUGAUUGAGAAUUGUUUGAUUUUCCUUGAACAUGUAAGAGGAUAAAAGAGUUUUGUUGAUCUUUUUGCUAAAGAAUUGACCAAGAAAGUUGUCUUGGAUACGUCGAGGGGGAUGAGGCUUAAGCCUUGAUAAAGAGGAAAAUAUGGUGGAGACCCAUUUGUUGGUCAAACUAAGCCGUAUAAUUACUCUUAUGCAUUACAUUCUCAUCCCUAUGGCGCGAGGUAAUGCUGUUUUUGAAAGAAAUACAUAGUCAUUUGUGGUGGUACUAUUGAGACGCACUUGAUGUAUCUAUGAUAAAGGGGUUUUGAGACGGACNNNNNNNNNNNNNNNNNNNNNNNNNNNNNNNNNNNNNNNNNNNNNNNNNNNNNNNNNNNNNNNNNNNNNNNNNNNNNNNNNNNNNNNNNNNNNNNNNNNNNNNNNNNNNNNNNNNNNNNNNNNNNNNNNNNNNNNNNNNNNNNNNNNNNNNNNNNNNNNNNNNNNNNNNNNNNNNNNNNNNNNNNNNNNNNNNNNNNNNNNNNNNNNNNNNNNNNNNNNNNNNNNNNNNNNNNNNNNNNNNNNNNNNNNNNNNNNNNNNNNNNNNNNNNNNNNNNNNNNNNNNNNNNNNNNNNNNNNNNNNNNNNNNNNNNNNNNNNNNNNNNNNNNNNNNNNNNNNNNNNNNNNNNNNNNNNNNNNNNNNNNNNNNNNNNNNNNNNNNNNNNNNNNNNNNNNNNNNNNNNNNNNNNNNNNNNNNNNNNNNNNNNNNNNNNNNNNNNNNNNNNNNNNNNNNNNNNNNNNNNNNNNNNNNNNNNNNNNNNNNNNNNNNNNNNNNNNNNNNNNNNNNNNNNNNNNNNNNNNNNNNNNNNNNNNNNNNNNNNNNNNNNNNNNNNNNNNNNNNNNNNNNNNNNNNNNNNNNNNCACCCCCCACCCCCCUUCCCCAGGGAAAAAGCCCAAGCACCAUCUCCCCUUCAUAACAGAGAAAACCUUUAUUGUCACAUUUCUAUAGGUUGUGCACCAAAUCUCUCAUGUUUAUUUUAAUCUACAGGCAUGAUAUUGAAGAGUUUCUUAACUUCAGAUACUCGAGAACCGGUGAACUUGUAAGAUUAUUUCGUAUUAUUAUUUUCUAUUUUCGGUCUAUAAGAAACUUAGAUAUGUUCUUUAGAAUAUAAAUUAUUAAUCAACUAAGGAUUGAAAGUUCUUAUCGCACUCAUCAUGCUUUCCUGAUUUUAAAUAUUUAUCUUCAAGAGUUGCUCACUUAUUAGUUGUGUGAAUGAUAUUGACAUUGACACAGACUUAGUAGACAUGAUGUUAUAAUUUCUUCUCUUGGUUUGUCCUUAAAACACUAUGAAACUUAAUUAUUAUUUUUUCAUUUGAACUUGCAUGUUUUCUAUGUAGUAGUGUAUAUAACUUAUUUUGUCUCCUUAAGGUGGUCAAGAAUAGACAAACCUCUAGACGUUUUCAUGCAAUGGAAAACUAAGUAAUGAAAAGUGAAAAAUAGUGAAAUCUAGCAACUUGAGGCAAGAACCACAAAAAAUAAUUUUUCUUAGCAUAGUAGGAUCUACUGUUGUGGAAAUGAAAAAUAAAUAUUGACAACAAUGUAAUAUUUUUUAACAUACAAUUAUUUACUAAAGCAUGCAUUAUUAUAAUAUGGUUACAUAAUAAAAUUAAAGUGUGAUACCUAACAAAUAACAAGGUUUAAGUUCCAAAAAAAAAAAAUGCGUACAAGCAGCAAAAUUCAAUGACAAAUAGAGAUAAUUAGUCUUAAAUAGCCCUAUGUGGUCAGAUUCUUUUCAUAAAGAAAAUAGACAAUAGCCCUAGAGUUCAAUGGAAUGAUCUGAUUUAAUUCCAUCAUUGACAAUUACUUCACUUUAAUAUCAUCCUUGAUUGAAGUUAUAUCUGUCAAUAUCUUGUGUCUUUCAUGAAGUAGCCUUCGUCUGUUCCAUAUUAGGAAUUGAAUUCGAACUUGUGAUUUAUAACUUUGCUGAGUUGUUCUUGAGUUAGAUUGACACCGAUUUCUUUUACUUGCAUCUCCAUUACCUGUUUAGGAUCUCUUAUUUGGUUUCAAUACAAAAAUCUGUCACUUAAAACUUACUUUUUUUUCUACACUAUUGACCACUUUACAAUGAGCUAUUAUUAGAGCCAAACAGUUAAACAUGUUUUAUUUUUAAGUCAAAUAAAACAAGAAUGAUUGUGCACUUUGCUAAUGUGUGAAAGUCUGCUCGGAAGAAAUUCAAACAUUUAGAUGUGAUAGUCCUACUGGCAUCUUGACUUAUUGCCUUAGGCAAAACUCCUUUGGCAUUACUGAAGAAAUUUAACCAAUACAUCUGUGAAUGGUCACUCGAUGUAAUUUCAUGGUAUUAAUCAGAAUAUGUUUAUUCGUUGAAAAAAUAAUGGAAAAGUAAAGUAUGGAUUAUGCAACAUAUGUUGUCAUACCUACCUUUGAAUAUUGUAAGUUAUUUGACUUUCUUAUGAUAGUUUUACUAGUUCAGUAGAUUAUUUUUUUUUGGAUAUUCUGGCAAUCAGUUAAAAGUUAACGGAUCUUGACACAUAUAAAUUAUAGGAAGUUCGUGUACGAUAUGCUGGAUAUGGCAGGCUGGAUGAUGAGUGGGUGAAUGUGAAAAAAAAAAGGAUACGAGAUAGAUCUAUCCCAUUGGCACCUUCAAAGUGUCACAAGGUGAAGGAUGGAGAUCUUGUACUAUGUUUGCAGGUAAGGGAUCCCCGCCCCUUUUAUUCUACUACAAUUUUUAUUCCUAAUUUGUAUGUGCAGUGGCCACAUGAUUGAUAUGUUUGCAAAGUCACAUGACUUGUUUCUAUCGUAAUAACCAAAAUGGAUUUUGAUUUUCUUUUGGAGGCUUUUAGCUCCUCCAUAAUUUCCCUAACUAUUAGUACCUUUUUGGGCCUUCAUUGGUGUUUCUCAGAAAAAGGAUAAUUAUGCCCUCUACUUCGAUGCUCGUGUAGAAAGAAUCCAGAGGAGGCUACAAGAUGCGACAGAUUGCAAGGGCAUUUUCACUGUUCGAUUUCUCCAUGACAACACUGAGGUGAUCUUUAAUAUAUAUUUUCCCUGUAUAAAAAACCAUGUCAUGUUAUAUCAUCUUUGGUACUUUGUUACGAAAAUCCUUAGAUGUUGUCUCUACUUGAUGUAUCUACCUGAUUUCAGGAAGAAAUUGAUUGGAAAGGGAUAUGUUAUAGGCCUAUACAAGAGGAAUCUGUUGUGUAUCAUAACUCCCCAGAACCUACACAAGAGGAAUCUACAAAAGAGGAAUCUGUUGUAAGCCAUAACUCUCCAGAACCUACCAAAGAACUCAGCCUAAGUGACAUAGAGAACUUGUGGCCAUGAAAAAUCUCUUUCUUCUUUCGUGUUUCCCUUUCAUCUUUAUGGAUUUGUAGUAUUUCUUGUUUGUGGACAAUGUAAGAUAGUAAGGUAGCAUUUGGCACAAACAAUAGAAUGUGUUUUGUGCUAUAUUUGGUACUUAUUUAGAAGCGAAACAUAAGAGAUCAAAGAUUAAAAAAACGGGUGUAUGUUUUUAUGACCGACAUGAAUUAUGCUCAGUAUUGUUAAUUGUGAAUGAUGGGUCAUGGCGAGAAGCUAAAGUUCUUCCAUGCAUGAGACAAAUAAUGGUGGAAUAUGGUGGGAUAUUAGUUGUGGUGGAAGCCUAAGAAACCGCCAUGAGAAACUUCCAUGGUGGAUAUUUUAUAAAAUUGAUUUCACCCAACCAAAAUUUAAUGUGAAUAAAACUACAAGUUACUCACCUUAUUCACCUUUCAUCCAACCUACUUAUUAUGAAGUAAAAAUGGGAAAGGAUAUAAAGACACACUGCUCUAAUAGGAUUUCACCGCAUUUUAUUUGUAUUUGUUACCAAAAACUUUUGAGGAAUCUGAUUUUCAAUAUAAAUGUUACUUUUGGAAGUAUUUUCAACAAAAAAAUUAUAAAACUCAAAUAAAUUUUCUGCCAAUUUUUUAAGUGAACAUGAAAUAAGAAAAUCGACAUGUCGUUAAUUUUCUACCAUUUUCGAUAUAUAAUCUAGGUGGCUUCUAGGGUCUGGCUUCUGGUGUGAAAGAGAGUGAUAUGUCUUUCAUCCAUGAAAUGCCAAAAUUACCUAAAAUAGCAAGUGGAAGUGACUGAUGGAAAAAAUAUGUAGUGUUACAAAAUCCUCUACACUCUCCAAUUUUUCCUCACCAUAACCCCUCCGUCUCUCUAUUCUUGUUUGUGUGAUCCGCACUCUCUUCUCAGCUUCACAUGAGAUAUGUUUUCUUUUCGACUUCAUUUCUUUAUUUAGCUUCUUGGUCUGGUUGGUCUUUCGGAUUACUUGUUGCUAAAGUUAGUUGUGAGAAUCUGCGAUUACUCAGGUUAGGUUCUAGAAGAUUGUGUGCAAUGAAGCUUUCAGGAAGUUUGAAACAUGGGGUGUAGAGGUUGUGGAAGGGAAGAAGCAAAUGAGGCCUAAAAUAAUUAUCUUUUUUGUGAUAUCGGUUUUGGUUGAGCAUUGAAGGGUGGGGUGAAUCUUGUGGAUAUGAUUAGAUUUAAAUGGGAUUUACUUUGUGAAGGAGAGUAGAGCCACAAAAAAGCUUGUGUUUUGGUGGGGUGUCAUGUUUUGAGAUUUUUUUUGCUAUAUUAUUCUCAUCAGAGAGUGGGGUGUCAUUUCCUGAGAAUUUUGUUGCUUAAUUAGUCUACCUAGAGAGUGUUUUGAUAGCUGCGGUAGAUUUACGUAGCAUUUAGAAAUUGAGCAUAACAAAACAGGACGGAACAAGACAAAAAAAUUAUUUGCAUUGUGUUUGAUAAGUACAAAGUGAAUAGAACAUGACCACACAAUUAAUUACAUAUAUAAACAAGGCGCACACAUGCGCCCAUAGCCACCCCCUAGAUUUUGCAAAUAAAUUAUAUAGUACCAAUCACAUGUAAUAGACAUUAAUCAAGUAGUAAAUCUUCAAAAUCAUUUGAAGACCAGUAGGCCUUUUCUUGGUCAACACUAGGCUCAACGCAAAAAUUAAAAAGUAUAAGAGUUGCUACCUAUCAUCUCGUGAAAUUUCUAAAAAAAAGUUUUGUUUACAAUUUUCCACUUACUCUCAAUAGAGAGAUAAGAAGAGAAAAAAAAUAAAAUUGUUGAAAGAAUGUUAGACGAUAUGAUAGGCACUACUAAAAAUCCAUUGAGGAUUUGUUUGGUUUACCAUUGAAUAAAUUACAUUGAAUCGAACAUGAAAUUUAAUAAAAUGAAGUUUGAAAGAAUGAACUGUGUUUAGAAAUGUGUUAAAUGAGGGUAAUUUGAUAAUCUACCCGUUGAUGAGAAAAAAUUAAAAAAAAAAUCUCACUGACAAUUUUGUUUUGAGAGUCACAAUAACACACUUUUGUACCCAAACAACACACUUAAAAUGGAAAAACAUGUUAAGCACACUUAAUGAAAAAGAUAACAGAUAACCAAACACACAUUGAGUUGCUAGCAAUAUGGAAACUACCAGCUUCUGUAAAAUAUCACCAAGAGUAGAAGGGGAAAUUGUUGUAAAGGGAGAAUUUGUCAUUGAAGAGGGUGGAGAACAUAGAUCUGAAUUCUUGGCUAGUGAAAGUAAGACUCUUUUCUUCAACAACGGCAAAAACAGAUGAAGACAAAGAACCGAUGGCGAAAUAGGGAGUUGCAGGCGGAGACAAUGGUGGUGCGAGAGAGAAGAGAGGGAUAAGAGAAGGGCAGUGGUAGAGAGGGAUGGGAGAAGGGUGCUGGAGAGGGAGAGAGGUAGGAGAAGAGUGGUGGAGAGGGAGAGGGAGGGGGGAUGAGAGAAGGGUGGUGGUGUUGAGGAGAUGAAAUUGACAAUUCCGUGGACCAAUUUGAGAUUCAUGUGGCACUUUGACGAUAACGUUUACUAACAAAUUUAAGAACAUGAACUAACUUAACUGAAGUUUGCAAACAUUAGGGGCCUACGGGAUGUAUUUCACAAGUCCAUGAACCAACUUAUCAGCAAGUGACACAUUCAUGGACAAAUUUGACUAUUCACAAUGGGCUGCAUUUUUUGCCAUGGGCUGAUCCCUUGACUCAAGCCUAUGACCGCAAAGUCACAUGAUAGCAACAUCACCAUUACACCGAAUCUCACCUCUAAACAAAAUAACACACUUCUCGCUGUGUUUCUUCACAAAAUGGAGAGAUUCAAUAAAGGUGAUGGACCAUGAUUGCUUCAUCUCUCCAUUCUCACUUCAAACCAAAUGAGGGUUAUUCUUUAUCUAUUCUCUCUCUCUCUCUCUCUCACUCCAUCCUCCGUCUCUUCUCAAACAAACCAAAUAAACAUUAAUAGGGCUAUUAAAAAAAGGCUCCUCCUCUGGACAACCUUAAGUUCUUAACUAAUCACUGACAAAAACAAUUUCCACAUGAAUGGCAACAGUAUGGUACUAGUUUAACUGAAGAUAUUCAUUCUGCUACAUACAAAUAAUUAAACUUGUAGCCAUCAAAAUUUCUUGGGGCCUGGACCAUCAUGCAACUUUGACAUAUCAGCACCAUGUUCGCUUAGCAGGGUCAAGAAACUGUGCGUCCGUAGCAAACAGAAGCAAUGUACAGGUUCUUCGCCCAUUUCUCCUGUAAAACCAUGAAUGAUCAGACAACAAUGAACUGCUAUAACCAGGAGCAUAGGCAACAAAUGCAGUAUGACACACCUUGACAUGUGUACUAGGAAAAGCAGUGGUCCUUAGUGUUUCCUGAGUUUCAUCUGUGGGUUUCCUCCUAGGCACGCUCAAGACAAAAGCAGCUUGGUCUGCAGUUGCAGCAGUCGAUGUGAUUCGGUAUCCACAAUCCCACCGCUUGUGAAUCCCUUCGCUAGGAUACAGAAAAUCUAGUUCAACAACCUGAAAUUCAGAAAGGGAAGGGAGGCUGUUUAUUCACCGCAACUACGUUGCAUUAUGAAAAUCCUUAUAUAAUACUAUGUUGCAGUCACAGCUCGAUCCAAGAAUCACCUGGUCUGAAAAUCCUGCACCGCGAGACAUAACUACUCCCCAUCUGAUGCUCGAGGUGGCCAUUGCAGUAACGUAAAAGCCCUCCCGCCACUUUUUGUUAAUCCACUUGAAAGGAAAUGAAUCACUAACUUUGUACGAUUGCUGCGUAUAUGGUGUGCCUGAGAAAUCCAUGAUUUGCGUCAGCAGAAAACAAAAGCUGAAUGCCAAAGCACACAAUACAAAAUACUUAUAGAACUAACCCUUAGACAUUACUACUAAUGAACUCCCAUUCACAGCUCCAGCAAUAGCGCUGAUGUAGUAAUUUUUUUCCCAGUGCUCCAUGAUCCAUUCCUUCAAACAAACCAUAGCAGAAUAAUCUAUAGGUAAUAACCAUGCCUUGAAACUAUAUGGAUUAACAGAUAUACAAGCAUAUGUACAUGAUGCUAAGAAGAAAGCUUUAAUAAUCCACAAAUAGUGGAAUAUCAGACAAACAAACGAAAGUUACCUUGUGGAGAAAAAAAGGGGAAAAUUCAUAGACUUGAGAAGUGAAACCUGUCCCCGCAUCCAUGAUUAAGGCCCACAGGUUCAUAGAAGAAGCAACACAGCUAAUAUAUAAGCCAUCCUCAUUUCCUUUCUGAAUGUGCUGGGAUAGCCUUGUAUCUGACACAUUGUAGUGAUAUCUACAACACAAAGAAUAUCACGCCUAAUGCAUAACAAUUCCCUUAUACAUCAAAUAAGCUUUAGAAAAUGGAUGAUUCUUAGCAUCUAUUUUUCGUAACCAAACAUGGAAAUCUGAUGGAACUCAAGCAUGCAACAAAUAACAAAAAGGUGUAAGAAACAGAUGAAAGCAGAAGAAUCACAAGCCCCACCCUUAAUCUUAAGGAUGGGGAAAUAGAAGUUGUCCCCUUGUAUCAACUUUAAAAUGUCGACUCUGAAUAUAAAAUCAUGUAGAUUGCACAACAAACUUUUAUGACACAUUGAUGUAUACCUUUGUUUCAUUGGUCUACGAGCAUUGUAAACACUAAUCCACUGGUUUGCUGGCAAACCCAUACGAAUCUUCUUUUGGGGUUGUUCAUCGUCAUCUUCCGUUGCCAACCGGCCUCUCUUAUGACCAAUCAGCUUCAAACAAAAUAGAAUUAGAAAUAUCAAGGAUUUGGACUUCGGACUACAAAUUUUGAAAGCACACAAAAUUGCUUAAAGGGCUAGCAAAACUGAUACCUUUUGGGCACCUUCUGUAUUAAUUGGUCUAAUAUCUGGGUUUGGACCAACAAUUCCGUCAAAUAGAGAAAUGUAUUUUGCAUAGUUAGGCUCUUCAUCAAACUUUAAGUUCACUACAUGCUCAACAAACUGUCUAAAAGGCUGAGGGCAAAAGCAGCAUAGACUUUCCGGAGUUGUUCCCAUCUUUUUCCUGCAAACCAUAAAUCCUUUGUUUUCUCCCUGGGAAAAGUAAUGUUAAAGAGUAAAGACCAACAUUCUGAACAGAAGAAUAAAGUGAAAAAGCUAUGUAAAUAUGACCAACCUGGAAUCCCUGCCAAGGGAGACGACCUCGAAGAAGAAAAAUCAGAGUAUAUGCAAGAGAUUCCAAGUCAUCCCUCCUGCUUGAAGUUCUUCCCAAAUGUGCAUGGGCACUAGCAUAGCGAACUGUGCCCCUGAAAAUAUUUUCCAUAUGAUAAUAUAAAUACUGAGAACUCUAUGACAAGAUACAUUCUCUACAUGAUCCAGAUUCAAUUAUAAAUACCUGAAAACAUCAGGCCUUUGGUCAUAAUCCACAUGCAAACCUGUCGCACUAUCCCUCCAUUUAGUAGCUGUAAGCCCAAUGCAAAGAAAAGAAGUGAGCCAUUAAAUGUUGCCCAAAAUGGAAAAUAAAUAUGCAAUAGUGACCAGCCAAUAACUAAAUCAUACCUAACCCAAGAUCUACAAGGAACAAUUUUUUCUCAUCAGGUGAACCAGGAGCACCAAGUAGAAAAUUUUCAGGCUUCACAUCUCCAUGCACAUACCUGCCAUAUAUCAAUAGCCAUAUAGUUAGUGAAACAUAAUUAUUAUGAAAUAUCAUAAUUCAUAUAGACAUUACUAAUGGCAGCAAAAGAAAAAAAAAUGGAGAAAAAAAAGAUUUAGCUUCACAAAAAUUCCUAGCUAAUAUUCAAAGUUCAAAAGAAAUGAAUGCAAAUAAUUAUUAACAAUAUAAAAUAUGUAGUUUAUGCCAUGUAAUAGUUAGUUAGGGUGGUAAUGAAAGUACCCUCGAGAGUGCAUCUUCUCCAAUAUGGAUAUUGCUUCAAUGGCAAUACAAGCAACCAUUUCAGUGGACAUGCUGGAAUUCAUAAAAACACAUUAGCAAAGGGACUUACUGAGUCAAUAUUAACAGCGUACAAUUUUAUACACAUCUGACAAAUAAUUUCCAAAGGACUUACGUAUGAGAGUUACUAUUCCAAACAUCCCACAAGCUAGGACCCAGCAUAUCCAUAAUCUGCACAUAUGAAAGUCUAAAGUCAAACAGGCAACCUUCAAAUAAAGCAAACACAAAUAAAAGAAAUAUAGUAUUCUCAUUAUAUGUGAUAGUAAAGAGCAAACAACUAAAGUAUAAGACUCAAUGGCGUACCAUGAUGAAAUAGUCACCCUGCUUGCCCUUGUAAUGUACUUGUGGCACCCCAUGACUUCCACCAAGAGUGCUGUACAAAUAGGGGGAAUAAAUAAGAAAAAUAUGCAUGGAAUACCCUAAAGAAAUUGGUGGAAAUAAAGAAAAAAAUUGAAAAAGGCGCUAGAAUAACACUCACUUGUACACUUGCCAUUCAUUGGGAGGUCCAUAGUUACAUCCUUUACUAGUCCUAUGCUCGAGUUUCAUUGCAACCUGAUAAAAUAGUUAAAAACUGUUAAUUUCUGAAAUAAAAAUACUUGAGCAUUUAAAAAGUUCAAACUAUCACCCGGAAUUGCAAGUAUACAUAUACCUCUACAGCUCCAGGUCCAGUUCUCUCACUCAAAUUUCCACCAGAAACACGUCGACCUACAUAUACUUGGCCAAAUCCACCCUUGCCAAGUUUUUUUUCUACUUUAUACAAAGGGGAAUUACCUACUUGAACCUGUGGCCAGAAGAGAACAAAAUUACGCUAAUGGUAUUACCAAACAAAGAUAUAAAUUAUUAGGGUAACUAGAAAGUUUGUUGCAAUGUAUAAUAUUCAUUGCCAUUCAUGACUGAAGAGAAAUGAGAGAUCAUUUGCAAGGAAAAAAAAAACACUUAGCAGGAACCACUGUUAAAAGGACUGCUAAACAACAGCGUUUCAAACCAACAACAAUAACAACCAAAGCUUUUUCCCACAUGGUGAGGUAGGCUAUAUGAAUCAAAUGAUGCCCUAAUGGAUCAAACAACCACAUUUUCAACAUCUAAACUUUUAUUUAUAGAUUAUCCGAGAGUUAUUUUCAAACUGUUGAGUAUAUAUAGCAAGCUGAACAUGCUCCUGGGUUUACAUCCCCAAUAUCAGUACAACCAAAGCUUUUUCCCACAUGGUGAGGUUGGCUAUAUGAAUCAAAUGACGCCCUAAUAAAUCAAACAACCACAUUUCCAAUAUCUAAACUUUUAUUUACAAAUUAUCCGAGUUAUUUUCAAACUGUUGAGUAUAAAUAGCAAGCUGAAAAUGCUCCUGGGUUUACAUCCCCAAUAUCCGUACAACUAAAAUGGAAGGACUUUCCAUCACACGAGCAAAUAACUGAAGGCCAUGUUGAGUUGACAAAUGAUAAGUAGUGCCGAGUGCUAACUAAAUUUCACGCAGUAGAGAGACAUAGGUGUCAUCAAGAAUAUGUAAUAGACAAACACUACAAGAACACAAGAUACUCACUUUUAUGGCUCAAAUUAGGAAUCCUUCACAUGGAUAUAUAAAUUAAAAUUAUACUACUAGUGGAUUUCAUUUUAUAUAAAGCCUGGGUUGAUGUGAAUGCGUGUAAAAACAAAAUACACAAAUACACAAACUGCAGUGGCAGUGUUUGUUAAAGAAAAUCGAGAUGGAAUGCCUACGUCGACAAAUCUAAAACAAGUUUUUUGAAUAACCAAUAAAAGCAUGACCAGAUAACUCCAGUUCUCUGAUGAUUUGAUCAAUAUAAACUCAGUAAGAGCACACAAACAGACAUUGUCCACCACAAUUUCAACUUCUAUGUGCAUACUUUUCCCAACAGAAUGACUCACUGAUUUUCAAAAACUGACACAUGAAGCCAUGAUUCAUUCUCAAGCAUAUUCUUUUCUUUGAAAACAACAUUUGGAAAUCAAACCCAGCAUGCAAAGAGAAAGACUUGCAACAACACAAAUGAGAACCAGUAAAGGACUAAGAAAAACAAAAACGAAAGGAAACCUUAUCAGGAAUCACAAGGGCGGUGCUUUCAUCUUCACCGGCAACGGCCUUAUCAUUGCUGCGACCACCACUGUCAUCCAUCUGUUUCUCCGCAACCACUUCCUUCUCCGCUCCACCCCGAUUCUCUUCUUCCUUCUUCGGCACAACAACUACGUUCUCAUCGACCACAACCUCCUGCGGCUUAUUAUUAUUCGUCGCCGCCGCCGCCGCACGCCGCCGCCUCGUCCUCGUCGCAAUCGCUUCACCUUCAACCGGACUCUCCCGCCGCUCUCCUUGCUUCGCUGCUGCCCGGCCCCGGCGCGCUCCACUACGCAGCACCGGCAUCGUUCAUCCUUCAAAUCCCAUCCUCCAAAUGUCCCAAGCAAAAUCAAAAAACUCUAACAGAUUGCGACUUCCCGCGUCUCGUAAACCCUCUUCCUCACCCCCGAUCAGAACCCUCCGCCGCGAAAUCGAGCCGAGAGAGGCUCUCGGAACCGUGCAGAUUUCGCCGAAUGGAAAAUCGAACAAGCAGAAUAAUGUGAGAGAUUCGGAAGGUUACUAGCUGAUUGUUGAGAACUCUAGAAGCUUCUAGUGAAGGGAUCGAAUUAGGGUUCUGGAACGAUCACACAGUGGAAGAGGAAGCCAUAGAAGCUUAUGAGUUAUGAGAGAGAAAGGAAGAAGGCUUUUCAGAACUUGUUUAGACACAGAACAGAACAUGAGGUUUUUUAUUUUUUUAUAUUACUGCUGGUAUUUAAUAUUUGAUUUUCUUGAUUUUUUUUUAUUUGGGAAAAUAGUGUGUGAUGGAUGAUAAGAGCCGUUCGAUUGUGAAGGAUAAAUGAUUGGACGGUUCAGUGAGAUUACGGAAUAAAGAGCUUUGAGGUUUUAAUUGAAAUUAAAAUGCAAUCAACCGACGGAUGAAUUUUUAUCUUGACCUAAAGAGUGUCGGUCGGUAGUCGUUAAAAGUAAAUAUUUAAAUCCUGAAUUCAAGUAUUUUAUUUUUAGAGAAAUCUAUGGUAUUUAUUACACCGAGAUCGAAUAGAAUUAUUUCGGUAGGAAAUAUAUAAUUUCUUUAAAAAAAAGAUAUAGUUUUUUUUUUGAAAGAAAAGUUUAUUGUUAAAAAAAACUAAUGAAUUAAUGUCGUAAAAAGACUAAUUCAUUAAUUUGGAAGGAUUGGAUUACGGAAAAGGGUAAAGAAUUGCGAAAGAUCUUUUACUUGCUGAACUGUGGUUGUGGUGCAGUGCGAGAUUGCCCACUGUUGUUGUGGUGGGUUCACAUCACUGCCAUUCACUUUUCAGAUGUAUACAGUCUCGUGGGUCCCGUUAAAAAGGUCAAUGAGGGUAAAGAUGAUUUGAGUCUUUGAUCAUGCAAUUUAGAUUUUUUUGGCUUAACAAGAUUUUGGUCCUAAUAAUAUACUUUUUUUUCUAAUAAUAUACUUUGACUUUUAGUUUUGUCACUGAAAAUAUCGUUUUGAGUAUUUUCAAAAUUGUGAUUGAGGGAAGUUUACAUAAGCAUUAGAUGGAGCAUUUUUUUAAGUAGGACACGGGCACAUGAUAGUCAUCUUGAUUUUUUUUUUCCACCUUUCUCUUCCUCAUUCACCACACGAAUAAUGGGUUAUGUUGAUAGUUCAUUUCCACCUUAACUUUAGGUAAAGAAGAAGAGAAAAGACAAAAAUGAGUCAUGAUUUGUUAUGUGAUAAAAAAAUGUAGAGAAAGAAAAAGAAAAUUGUGAAAAUGAAAUGAAAGAGAAUGUGAGAUGUGUACGUAUCAUUACUCUUCACCUCACCUCAGGGACGAAUCCAUGUUAUAAGAUAUGGGGGCAUUUGCCCCCACCAAUUUUUAGAUGUUUCCUUAAUAUUAUGUGUUGUCUGUAUUAUUUUUCUUACUACUAUAUGUGUUAUUGUCCCCACAACUCAAACUUUCUAGAUUCGUCACUGUCUCACCUCCUACUUCCCCCUUCUCCCUCCAUCUCAUUCUCCCUUGAUUUUAUUUUACUAGAGUAAAGAGAGGACCCACCAAAAAUAGACAUGAGAAAAUGUUGGUUAGGAAGAGGUUGAUUUUGUUGUUCUUGGCUUAGGUUGAUGAGGAGAAGGUUAGUUGGCUUUCAUUUAUGGUUGUCCUGAGAAUAAAAUAAUACAAGAGGUGAGGGUUAUGGCUAGUUUUUUUCUCGAUGAAGAAGAAGUGAUGAUGAAAGGCUUUGGGGUUGGUUGUGUUUUAGGAUUAUCAACCAUUAGUUUUUUUUUUUUUUUGAGAAGGGAAGAAGAUGAUGGGUAAGGGUUUGUGAAGUUUUGUCAUGAAUGGGAAAAAGGAAAUGAGAAUUUAAGAGAGUGAAGGAGGUGGUGGCUGGGAAGCAUCUCUUGGGAAGCAUCUCUUCGUCUUCCAUCAAAAGUUUUCUUCUCAAACCUUCCACAUGCAAACUAAGUUAUUCAAAACCCCAAUUCGUGCUUAACACACUAAAAUACUCUUCCUCCUCCAUCUCCUUUAUCAUUAGUGCAAUCAGAGAAAGCAAGGAAGAGAUUGAGUGAGAAAGAUCAUGAGAGGGGGCAAGAUUCAGUUUGCAGGUUGGUUAUGACGAAGGUUGCGGUGAGUGUUUGAGGUUUUGCAAUGAGGGUUCCAACAAGCGCUCGGAGUUUCGUGGUGAGGUUGGGUCUAGGGUUUGAUGUUCAUUGUGAGGAUUGUUGAGAGGGUUUGAGGUUUCAUGGUGAGGAUUUGGGGUUUCAUAGUGAGGGUUUGGGGUUUCACGGUGAGGGUUAUGAUGAGAUUGCGACGAGGGUUGGGGACUAUAGUGUGGAAAGUGUUUUAAAAUUUAGUUCCCUCCUCAGCCACUACAUCAUCUUUGUGAACCCUCAUCCUCCCAGCCACCAUUGUAAGCUUAUCCCCCAACCAAGAACCUCUUGUUGACGUCCCACUCCUCCAUAUGUGCUCGAUUUGUUGCAAUUGUUCAACGACAUUAAAACACUGUUGCACGAUUGCCUUCAUCCAAAUCCAACAAAAUGAUGGGCAAGCAGACCAUGUAAUAGUCCCCUUAAAUUUAAUAAUUCAUCAUGAGGUCGUAAUCACCAUAAACAAUAACCAUAGUGUAACCAUCUUCAUGUGGAUCUCAUAGAAAAUAGGGGGUAAGGCUAACCAUGUAACGACAUCAAAGUGUUGGAGGAUGGAGCAAGACCGACACUGUUGGGGCCUUGGUGGCUUCAAGGAUACAAAUAAGAAAUAUGAGGAUGGGAUGAUGGGCCAGAGGUUGCUGGUGGAUCCAAAUAAUAGGAUGGUGGUAGAGGAUAACAUUUUAUUCGAGGAGAAAGGAGAGACGAGGGAGGUGAAAUGACUUUACGUAGCUUUUCUUGAAAUUGCUUCUUUUCUAACCUGAGCUUUUCUCCAAUGGUGUCUGCUGUGGUGCCUCCUUCCAGUUGUAGGUAUGGUACCUCUGCCUAGUUGGACCAGUAGAAUAGAACCACAUAUUAAUGAGGUUGCUUUUCUAUUUUCGUAAUAAUGUUUUUCUAAUAUUUUUGUUUUUUUAAAAUAGAAGUUUUAUUAUUUGCUAAAUGAUCCUUACUUUAUUAGUUACCUAAGUAAAAGUGAGUUUUUAUCCUAGUAAUUUCUAAUAACUGUUCAAGGGUUGUUCUUCUUCACCUGAGUUCCUCUUCUUCUUCUUCUUGAGAAAGACCCAUGGAGAGGUCUGCCACCGCCGCCCAUCCACCACCGUGAAUAUCGUUGUCGUUUGCUGCUUCGUGAAGAACGAGAUCCGCUAUUAGCCGACCACACGGUCUUUAGAUCUACCCUUCCUUGUCUUUUUUAGAUCUAAGUCAUCUAACCAUCUCGUUCUCUUUCUCGCAUCCCAUAUUCUCUCUCUUCCGCCGCCAGAUUCUGAUGAUAGAGGAUCUUGCGGUGGUGGUGGAGUUAGAAAAAUAGAGCUCCUCGACGAAGCUUCAGGGCAAAGACACUUUAGAAUGGAUCAUGUUCUUGAUUUCUAUCUUCUUCAUUGUCUAAUUUGGGGUUUAGGGUUUAUGUUGAUUUCUACUUGUUGUAACUGUAAAUUGGAAAACUAGAGGUUAGUUUAGGUUUUUUGCAUGAUCUAUUUUUGCUCAUGCUUCCACCAAAAGGUUUCCCUUGAAGCUGGUGAAUCAAAUAUAAUUGUUAUACUGUUACUUUGGUGAUUGUUUGAUUUGCUAAUAUAUAAGAGGAUGUGCUUCAAUUAUUUGUGAACUACAUGUCAACCAUAUUAUAUCAAAAUAUAGUACUUAAUUGUCUAGCUUUGUCUCAAAUUAGUAAUUUUUGUUUCAUUUGAAUCAUAUUACAGGUUCCAGCUUAUAUAAUAGCCCAGGUUGUUGGAUCGACACUUGCAAGUGGGAUUCUCAUACUUAUAUUCAGUGGAAAGGAGAAUUAGUUUCCAGUAACACUCCGAGCUAGUUCUGACCUGCAAGCAUUUAUGAUUGAAUUCAUCAUGUUCAUGAUUCUGAACUAGCCACUGAUAAUAGAGCAGUAAUCUCUCUUUUUUACGCAUAUCCCUGAAUCUUCUUUUGAAUGAAAUUCAUGAACAUUUGUGGUGCAAAGUUGAUUUAACAUACCCGUGUUAUCAAUUGUGUGAUAUUUUCUUACUUAUAAUGCAGAUGACUGUGGUGUCCUAAAGUUUCAUCGAUUUGCAUCAUGCAGAUGACUAUGACUAUGGCUGAAGAUAAAGAAAUAUGCUUAUAUACUUGUAGGUUGUAACUUGUAGAUGUUCCCUUGCUUUUGGAAUCUACAAAGUGGUAGUAGAUAAGAAUUUACAAGAUUGAACAGGGAUAUCGAGAUCAAAGUCAUGGUUUUAGCACUUUAAUUCCUUGUAAAACGUAGUUGAGAUGUACAAAUUCAAUUCAUUCUUUCAUUCAUUAACAGUUUAUAAUACAAGGUUUUGCCAUUUAAAAUCAUCUAAACUUGACUGCUCUAAAGUUUUUAUCUUCAAUAAUUUCAUUAGUUUGCAACUGUUACCAUGAUUUAUAGGUGAUUGUUAGAAGUGGAAAUUUAAGAGUUUGUGAAGUGGAUCUUAAACCCACCUUGGAAGUAUGCUUGUUGAAUUUAGGAGGAGUGAAGAAGUAUUUUUCUAUCAGGAAGUAGUUUAGUGGCGGUUACUGACCUCCACAACUUUCUAUUUAAAUCAUAUUUGCAAUUGUUGGCGGUUGUAAUGCAUGCAAAUGGGGGUUUUAAACCGCCACUAAAAUGCGACCCAUGCAGCAGUAGCUAAAGUCCACUAAAAUGCGACCCAUGACCAUAACAACUAGAAAAAAACACAUUCAUUCCCCCCCCCCCCCUCUAAAAAGCACAUAUUAUAUAUAUAAUUCACUCAUAUGUUCCUUAGGUCAGAGACUCGUAUUGGACCAUCCUCGGUACAUGUUAGUCCUGGUCAUGUCUAAGGCUCUUAUUGGGUCACCCCUUCCUUAUUUUGUCCAGAAAAGGUAAAAGUGAGUAUUGGUGAUGGGAAAGUCAAAGAAAGAUCAUAUUGGGCCUCAUAAUGAAGAGUGGCCCAACAUGAGUCCCCAUGAUGGGAAAGUCGAAGAAAGACAUAAUUGGACCUGAUUGGGCCUCAUAAGGAAGAGCGGUGGCCCAACAUGAGCUCCGGUGAUGGGAAAAUCGAAUAAAUACCUUAUUGGGCCUCAUAAGAAAGAGUGGUAGCCCAAAAUGAGUCCCGGUGAUUAGGAAGUCAAAGAAAUACCUUAUUGGACCUUAUUGGGCCUCAUUAGGGAGAGUGGUGGCCCAACAUGAGUCCCUAUGAUGGGGAAGUCGAAGAAAGACCAUAUUGGGCCUCAUAAGAAAUAGUGGCCCAACAUAAGUCCCGGUGAUUGGAAAGUCGAAGAAAGACCUUAUUGGACAUUAUUGGGCCUCAUAAGGAAGAGUGGUGACCCAACAUGAGUCCCGGUGACGGGAAAGUCAAAGGAAGACCAUAUUGAGCCUUAUAAAUAAGAGUGGCCCAGCAUGAGUCUCGGUGAUGGGAACGUCAAAGAAAGACCUUAUUGGCUCAUGAGGAAGAGUGGUGACCCAACAUGAGUUUCGGUGAUGGGAAAGUCGAAGAAAGACCUUAUUGGACCUUAUUGGGCCUCAUAAGGAAGAGUGGUGGCCCAACAUGAGUCCCAGUGAUGGGGAAGUUGAAGGAAGACCAUAUUUGGCCUUAUAAGGAAGAGUGGCCCAACAUGAGUCUCGGUGAUGAGAAAAUCGAAGGAAGACCAUAUUGGGCAUUAUAAGGAAGAGUGGCCUAACACGAGUCUCGGUGAUGAGGAAGUCGGAGGAAGACCAUAUUGGGCCUUAUAAGGAAGAGUGGCUCAACAUGAGUCUUAGUGAUAGGAAAGUCGAAGAAAGACCAUAUUGGGCCUCAUAAGGAAGAGUGGCCCAAGAUAAGUCCCGGUGAUGGGAAAGUCGAAGAAAGACCUUAUUGGGCCUCAUAAGGAAGAAUGAUGGCCCAACAUGAGUCAUGGUGAUGGGAAAGUCGAAGAAAGACCUUAUUGGGCCUCAAAAGGAAGAGUUGUGGCCCAACAUGAAUUAAUUAUUAAUACUAUUUUUUGACAGUUAAUUAUUAAUAUUUUUGUAGCUUAGGGGUUGUUAGAAAUGUAUGUGUCUUGGGUCCGGAUCCUCUCCCGUGGAUUUCUCUCAAUUUUUAUAUAGUGAACAGUGUUGGCGGCUUGUAACCGCCACAAAAUGUUACCAGCUGCCACAAAAUGUUGCUGCAAAAAAUUGACAGAAUUUGUGGCGGUUUGAGGACAUUUUGUGGCUUUUGAAACCCUCACAAAUGUCUACUGUAGAAAAAUUGAGAGAAAUCCACAAGAGAGGAACCCUUCCCAUGUGUCUUAGAGGUCUCAGGUUCGAUCCUUCCUGGCUAAAAUUUUUAAAAGCGUCACCCUUUAAUUUUUAACACCAUCUUGCACUUCUAUUUAAAUCAUAUUUUCAAAUUUUGGCAGCUGAACGCAUGCAAGUGGAGGUUUAAAACCGCCAGUAUUGUACAAAUGAUUUUCUACCCAAAACAGAUGCAUUGUAAUCAAUUGAAAUUGAUGAAUAAAAAACAAAGACUAUCGAGUCUGAACAAUUCCAAACUAACACUGCAAUGGGAGUAUUAAAUUUCCAGACCAUAUAAACAUAUUGCAAACCAUAAUGAGAUAUAACCCAACUACGCAACAAACAAAUACACAAACAACCACCCCAACCAAAUUUAUUCUCCAGUACCCCCACCAAGUAACGAGACUCUACACAGCAAAAUGCAAAUUAUGCAGAAAGGCAGGAACAAUGCAUCUGACUAAUUGCCACACUCGAAGGAUAGAAAACAGCAGGAGGUAUACUUAUGCAGCAGAAGCUAAAGCCCACCUAAAUGCAAUCAAAAGCCAAGAUCAUAAUAUCGAACCCUAUGAAAAUUAUUUGUCGAGAGAGACUGCUACUGUAUCCCUUAACCUGUGAAUGACAAAAAAUAAUAAUGUACUAUUACUAUCGAAAAAUAAUGUUGAGACUAAAUAAUUUAAAAAUAGUAAAAAUUAUUCAUUCAUAUGUUCCUUAGGUCAGAGAAGCAUGCAAAUGGAUUUGUAACAUAUUCACAGUAGCAUUUGAGUUGUGUUGUGUUGUGUUGGCGAUUGGAUUGAAGCGUAUGGGGAAAACCGUGAAAUGGGACCAACAAGGGCAGAAAUCACAAGCAGUUUUAAAACAUACAAGUCAAGCACAUCAAGCAAAAGCAUAAACACUUAAAGCAGUAUGCAGUAGGGUGGGUGGUGCAUUUGACUUUUGUAUGCUGCACAAAGUAAGGACCCAUCGACAAAUUUUGCAAAUGCAAUGUGGUAUUGUAACUUUGCUUAGGUAAGAAAACUAAUAUCUUGUCAUCUAAUUUUUCAAACUCUGAAUUUCAUUCCAGGCUCUGCUCAGUGCUAAUCUUCUAUUACUUCAAGUAACAAUAAGUCAAUAACUAUUCCAACCUUCAAAAAUAAAGAUAAUCCAACAAACACAUGCAUUAUUUGCAGAACCAUGUAACAAUAUAACAAACAUUACUUAACAAUAUAACAUACAUGACUUAGAAGUUGAUCACACAGUCACUUGCAAAUAGCACACACAGUAAGGUAUCAUAUAAGACGUCAAGCCUAAUAAUUUCUAAUGCUCCAAAAUCUGGUCCAUGCCACACAUUGUCAUUUAUAUAAUACUUCCUGCCUAAAUCACUUUGAUCCAAAUAACCUACAUUUUUAUCUUUUUUAAAAAGGUAAUGGCAGCAACACAAGAGUGGAAAAACUCAUAAAAUAUCUAAAUUAUUUAAGCAAGGAGAUUAGGCAGCAUAUCAAAUAAAAGAGGUUAAGGACUUGGCUGCAGCAAUCAAAUAAACAAGAUCUGAUAUCAAAUAAAGCAAAGAAUACAGAUUGAGUCAUCAAAGAAUGAAAGGCAUAACCUUUCCUCUUCGCACCCACACCAUCCCACAUAAACAUGGAGUGAAUUAACAGAGAAAAAGGAGCAGAAAUUAAAGGAAAAUAAGAUAAACUGAGAUAAAAUACACCACCUGCAUGUUAAUUAAUUUCAAACAUCACACAAAAGGUCGUGUUUCUUGAUGAUGAAAUUCAUCAUUUGUGAUUGUGAUUCUCUGCAAAAUUUAUUGAAAAUUGCUACCUAAAAGUCUAAAACUCUUUCCAAGGCAAUUUUCUCAAAAUCAAAUCAAAUAUUACACGCAGAUUUUGAAAUUUGAAUCAAUAAUAGAAAAAUUUACAAAAUAUAGAUUUGUGUCCCAUGAAUUUCAAUCAAUGAAUUACCGAAUAGAAGAGAAAAACUACUCACCGAAAGCAGGGAUCCCUAUAAUCUGUGCGUUGUUGAGAGGAGGCAGAGCCAGUGAUUCUGUAGUGAACGAAAACAAAAAAGAAUGAAAUUUCGUUAGCAAAGUAACAAACUGAAUAACUGAGUGAAUCGAUCGUAACUGACAAGUGAUAAUCAAACCUGAGCAGACAAAUUUGGGAGCGGUGGAGGGGCAAACGGAAGAGAGUGAGAGGAGACUCGUCGUGUUGAGAGGGAAACCGAGGAUGACAGGGUCGCGGAGAAGGUGGCAGAAGCAGAGGGAGUCCACGGCGGUGGCGAAGGAGAAGGCGUCGCAUCACGUGGCGGAAGCAGUGUGAGAUUAGGGUUUCCUGUGUUGAAGAUGAACCAAGAAGAACAGGAGAUGAACCAGUAAUAUGUAAUAUAUGUUUCAAUCUUCAAACUAAAUCUCUCUCAUGGUAAAAACUCAUAUUAACCAUAGGCAACUUUAUAAGAAUUGCUAAAAAACCCUUCUCAAAAAUUAAUAUCACAAAUUAUUUCGAAUUUAUAGAAAAAACAGAAAUUGAUGAAAAAUAAAAAAUCUAGUAUAAUAAUUACCACAUGUCACAUUUUUAUUUGACAGACCACAUGGAGGCACCACACCCACAUUUUCCCACAGGCACCACAUAAUUCACCUUCUCCAAUUAGUGUCUUUUCAUUUUUUAGAUAGUUUUAAUUCUCUCAUCUUUCAUGUCUUUAUUCUCCUUCUUCUGGCCACCACUUACCUUUCUCCCCCUCCUUACAAUUUCCUUUGAAGUUAGAACCCUUAGUGCGACCACCACAUUCCAUUCGAUCACUGCCUUUUUCUAACUAAUUUCUCACUACUUAUGUAAAUUAAAGUUUGUUUUAGUGUCGUCGAGCUGCUUGCUCUUGAUCAACCUUCAUUACAAUAGCUUCGUCAUAGCCAAUAAGGUUAUGGAUACAAGGACAUCAAUAAAAAGGCGAAGACUAGCUACUAGAAAAUGGAUUCAUGUGAAAUUUAUAUAAGACUUUUGGUUCAUGUUGUUAUCUCUACUAGUAUGUGACUUUGUGAGCAAGCAUGCUAUGUAUUGUAAUGUUUCACUCUUAAGCAAUCUAGUAUUGCUCUUUGUGCUUAUAUGAAGAUUAUCUUCCCCUAUUAACUUGAUGCAAGUGUCCAUGUAAGUGACAUUUGAUCUCCCUCAUAGUAUUAAUCUAAUAAAUAUAUAUUCUUGAUAAAAAAGACUAGUCAUUUCUUAGCACAACUUCAAAAAGACUAUAUCAUACUGCUCUUCGUGCUUAUAUGAGGAUUAUCUUCCCCUAUUAACUUGAUGCAAGUGUCGAUGUAAGUGGCAUUUGAUCUCCCUCAUAGUAUUAAUCUAAUAAAUAUUCUUGAUAAAAAAGACUAGUCAUUUCUUAGCACAACUUCAAAAAGAUUAUAUGAGGAUUAUCUUUCCCUAUUAACUUGAUGCAAGUGUCGAUGUAAGUGGCAUUUGAUCUCCCUCAUAGUAUUAAUCUAAUAAAUAUUCUUGAUAAAAAAGACUAGUCAUUUCUUAGCACAACUUCAAAGUCUCGAAUGCCAAACAUAUCCUUGCAAAGACUAAACAUGUUCUUGAGUCAUGACAUAAGAUUGUGAAUUGUCAAAUUGGUCCUUGAAAUCCGAAAGUGUUGGACAUUAGCAAAUUCGUUUCUAAACUUACGAAAUUCCUCUACAGUUCGUAAUUGUGUAAAAUAUUGAUCUUUGUCACAUCUUUUUGAGCCAGAAAAUUCCACAUCCUAAUGGAGCUUAUAACUCAAAGGUUUGAACCCGAAAUCUUAUUUAAAUGGAAUCAAGUGUGUUGCACUUAAACUAAUCACAAUAUGAUAUAGUUGCAAGUAGUAAAGGAAAACAAAUUAAGUUAUUUAAAAAUUUUAUCACAUCACAUAAUCUAUGACACGAUAUUUUGAUCUCACACAUAAUUAAAAAAAAACUUUGAUUAUUGAUAUGUUCACAUUAUUUGUUUUAUUUAAAUAUUAAUUUUAAAAUUAUUAUAUUGACACACUUUAGUAAUCAUUUUCACCAGCAAUCAAAUCAUCAUUGCUCACACCAGCCACAUAGCCGCCAGCAAUCUGUCGCUGGUGAUUGUCAUUGUUACUAACAUCCUCUAACGAACUAACAACUGUCAAUAUAUUAUUUGACUUUCAUUGCUUCUAGAAUCUUCUGUCAUAGGUAUAUAAUUAAUUUAUAAUUAUAAAUUAUAGAUUUUUUUACUUAUUCCAGUCAUCAAAAUUAAAAUUCUCGUCAAUUUUAAGUCCAACUUCAUAAUUAAUAAGAUUUUAUUUAUAUGCCUUUAAAAAAAGAUUUUAUUUAUAUGGAGUAUAAGGAGUUUUACUAGGAAUAAAUGUACAAAAUUAUCGACGAUCCAGGCCAUUAGUAAAAUAUUUACUGUGGUAAGAGGUUAUCAAAGGAGAAGACCGUAAAAACUUAGGUAACUGUUACCAACGAGACAAUUAGCAAAAAAAAAAAAUCAAGGUCGUCAAUAAUAUAUCAAUACAAAUUGAAGGCGUUUGGUUGGUAUCGACAUAUUUUCAGUGUCGAUAAUAUCCAAUUUUCUUUUAGUGCAAGUACAUACUCUCUUCAUGUACAAUUUUAAAAUGAAUAAACUAUAUUUUUGAGCAUCUAUCAUGUCUCUUAUUUGCCUCUCUCUUUUCUUCACUUUUCCUAUCUUUCAGCUUCCGGCCUAGUGUAUAUGCAUUAUUAUUAUUAUUAACCAUUCUUUUUAAAAUGGUUCUUAUUUCAGGUUAUGAACACAGUUCAAAAGGUCAUUAAAUUGAUAUAUAAUUUUUCUAGAACACUAUUUAAACUUGAACUAUAUUUAUGAGAGAUAUUGAUGAAUGAUGAUUAUUGAUUAAGUAAUUUGUGAGUAUUGUAAUAGGUGAAAAUAUAAGGUGAUAGGUGGAAGAUAUAACAUUAAAUGAAAGUAUAGAUGGAAGAUAGCGUGAUAAAUAAUCUUAAAUUUCUAAUAUAACAAUUAUUUAUUUUGAAAAAUAUGUGAAAAGGCUAAACUAAUAAUCAAUAGAUAAUACUUCCUCCGUUCCCUAUUAUAGGUCACAUUUUUUGAAAAAAAAUUGUUACAAAAUAUAAGUCACUUUCUAAUAUCUAGGAAGCAUUAAAUAAUUUUUUUCAAGUUAACCCUCAUAUUUAAUAUGAAAGAGAUGAUAAACUUUAGAAGUAUUAACUUGGAGAGAGAAAAUCAUAGGAAAGUAAAUAAGGGUAAUAUAAGAAAGUAAAUCAUUUUUUUUACAAAUUUAUUACUAGUAACUACUUUUCUUAAUCUAAGAGAAUUAGUUAUUUGUGACUUAUAUAUAGCAACAGAGAAAGUAGUAUUUUUCAUUCUGUAAACAACAGAAUUGAAUAAGGGGUAUGAGUCAUAUACCCAACAACCAAAAAAGAAUAUUCAUAAAGUUACAUACUUACAGCAGGUAGGGAACCACUUAUGUAGAUUUUAAACAUAGUAAAGGUUCAUUUUCCCACUCUUAAUUUCAAAAAAAAAAAAAAAAAUUCCCACUAUUAAAAGAAAAGAAAAAAAUUAACUCCUUUACAUCUGCUAUAAUACAAGUCCAAAAUCUCAAUUUUACAAUAUCCGUUAACAACAUCAACAUUAAGAAAAGGCAUUGUUGUUUUGGACAUUGUUUAGGCUGCGUCUACCGUGGGUUGUUUUGAAACUGACCCACGGUGGUCCAAUUACUGUUCCCCUCCUAAAUUACAAAAAUACCCAAUUUUUCUUUUCAUUUUUCUUUCUUCUUCUUUUUUCUCUCCAUCUUUCCACUCCACUCAGUACUCACCCAGCAAUUUCAGCAAUUCACUCAUGUGUUUGAGGCAACAAUUCAAAGUUUCUCCAUGACCAUCUUCUCAUUUUGGAUGCUAAAGUGAUUUUGGUCCCCUAAAUCUGGAUUUUUAACAUCAUAACACACCAAAAUCUGCAAUAUAAGUUUAGAAAUCCAGAUUAAAGCAGAUUGAACAAAGAAAGAGGAAAAAACCCAUAUUAAACCAGACCUGUAUUUUCACCACAGGCUUCUUGCGGGUUUGAGUGCUGGAUUAGAGGUUCUGGUUUUCUUUAUUUCUUCUCCACCUUCUGGUACUGAAUUUGGGACUUCUGAUGGUGGGUUUUCUGUUUUGGAUGGUGGUUACGGUGAUUGGGCUUUGCAAUAAUGGGGAUGGGUCAAGGUUGAGGAAGAUGAAGGAGAGGUUUCAUGGAGGUUGAGGUUGUUUCAGGCUUUGACAGAGGAUGGCGCAUCUCCGGCGUGGUUGCGGUGGUGGCACCGUGGUUUGGUCAUGGAAGUGAACGACGGUGUUUGAUUGUGAUUCUGUGAUGAUGGUUGUUUUUUGUGGCUAUGUGGUACUGGAUGAUCGAUGAUGUAGAAGUAGACUACCACCGCGAGCCCCUGCGACCACCGCUUCAGACCCAUCUCCGCCGCGGGCUUCGUCAUGGCUGUAUCUUCCUGCUGCUUUCCAUGGUUGACGCCUGUCAGUCUGUGAGAUCAGAAUAGUGGUGGAGGUGGGUGGGAAGGGAUAAGGAUAUUUUAGUAAAGUAACAUAUAUUUAAGAAAUAAACUAUUUUAAUGGUUAAUUGAUCUGAGUCGUUAAAAUUUAAAAAACAUUAAAUCAACGGUGAAAAGGUUAACUGCACCACCGUGAGUCAGUUUGCAACUGACCCACGCUAGGCAAAACCCAUUGUUUAUGGUUAUGGUUAUCUAAUACACAUAUUUAUCUCAGCUUAACAACAUCAACAUUAAGAAAAGGCAUUGCUGUUUUGGACAUGGUUAUGGUUAUGGUUAUCUAAAACACAUAUUUAUCUCAGCCUUAUUAUUACAGGUUUUUCAUUAUGUACCUCGACAACCCACAGUCUUAAAUUCUUAAUUGCUCAAACACAAUGUUCAUACAUCACAAAACCAAUAAUAAUAAUAGUAAACAAUAAGGGCCACUCUCCUAAGAAAUUAAAGUGUAUACAUAGGUGACGUUCAAGGUAUCUAGUACGAUGCAUCCUCCUAUACACACAUUGCUAAAGCCUAAAGGUGUACUAUUUUUUGUGUGUCUAUGCAGGGGACAUGAACAACAAAGGGGCCAGAUUACUGCCCCCUGCACUCAGCCUUUGGUAGCUGUUUGAUCAUGAAUUAAAUGAGACUCUGACUUCUGACUUGUCUUUUGAGUUUGGUUUCUACCUAAGAGGACAAAUAGAGAUUUGAGUAUUUGACUCAAUCACUCAAGAACCACAAAUAUUCCGGACUCAUGAUAUGCAGGAUCUUCACUUUAAAUUUGGAACAUGUUUGGGAUUUUUAAAUAACGCCUUCUUAAUCUUAAGUUAUUUGAUGAAACUAUUAAAAGAUCACCACUAAAAUAAACUAAUCCAACUUUCUUCCAUUUUCAUUUGGCUGAAUGUGGAGUAUUGAACUCUUUUACAUUUUUCUAAUGUCCCUGGGUACCUGACUCUCUGGUUUUGUUAAUGAAGAAGCUAUUAUUUACAUUCCCUUCUGAGAUUCCCCAAUAUAAUUUCUUUCCACUUUCAAGAUUCAGAUAAUUUAAAUAAUGUGAGAAGGGGAAAAAAUAGUCCUUUCCCUCUUCUUAUGACUAAUAAUGGUUACUUUAUUUAAAUACUGAACUAGCUUGAUGAUCCUAAUAUUAAGUGUGUUUGAAUUUUCAUUGAACUCAAUAUAGAUUAAGGUUAAACUCAACAUGGUAAAAUCUUAUUUUUCUAAUUCACAUUGAUCAACGUGUCAAAUGCUAACUUUUUAAAGGCUUAAAUGCACUUUUGGACCCUCAUGUUUUAACUUUUUGCGACUAUCAACCCUUAUUUUUUUUUCUACGAAUGAGAACCUUAUUCUUUGAAAACGCUGCACCGUUUACCCUUCCGUCCAAAUCCGUCAAAAACUUGACAGAACACACUGAUAUGGACUUCCACGUGGAUAAAAGGGGGAUUUAAAAAAAUGGCUUAAAUGCACUUUUGGACCCUCAAGUUUACAUUUUUUUGCGAUUGUUGACCUUGAUCUUAUUUAUAGUUUGAAUGGAGACCCUAAUCUUUCAAAACGUUGCACCGUUUACCCUUCCGUCGGAAGGCCAGGUAAGUAGGUUCUGUCAAGAUUUUGACGGAUUUGGACGGAAGGGUAAACGGUGCAACAUUUUGAAAGAUUAAGGUCUCUAUUCGUAGAAAAAAUAAGAUCAGGGUCAACAAUCGCAAAAAAUAUAAAGUUGAUGGUCCAAAAGUGCAUUUAAGCCCUUUUUUAAUAAGCCUUAAAAUAGGUUAAAUCACGUUUGCGUUUAAACUAACAUCAAACCAACCUGACACACAAAAUUUGAAUCAUUUUCAAUGUAAAUCAUUCUAUGCAAGCCCAAAUCCGGAUCUGGAAUUAUAAGCACUUGUUCAGGUGCAUUCCCAAGAGAUGGCUGUUUAAAUAAUGCCAAGACGACCCUGUCAGCCUUUGAUGUUGAUUGCCAAGACUACAAAAGCACGAGUAAGAAAGUAAUUUGAAAAAAAAAUUCACAAAAAAACAAAACCAACUUGCAAGGUUCUAGCCAUACAUAAGUUGUAUUUGGAUUUGGAGUGUCAGUAUUUCUCUUGGUGAGGAAGCAAAUCUUAUACCCCAUCCAAUGUAUUACCUAUGCCAUGACCUUUGCUAAUGAAUAAAGUUCAACAAUCUACACCUGAAAAUGAAUCAGAUCAUUUUGGAUUUUCCAUAUGGAUCUUCCCAAACAAACGUACACAGAGAAAAGAGGGACCACUAUUGGAAGAAAUUUUGUAAUAAUUAAGCAAAUGAAUGAUCACGGAAAGAAAUUAAUAGUUUUUAAGUUUUUUUCCAUUUGCAAAUUAUUAGAUGCUUGGAACAUGUAGAGCUUUUGACCAAAAAAAGAAAGAACAUGUGGUGCAUUAUUUUUGCAUAUACGUUCUGUGAGUCAUAUCUAAUAAAAUAAAGUGUGAAUAGUGAUUUUGACCCUUAAAAGAUAUGAGGUACUCUGUUAAUUUAGUCACUGAAAAAUUAGAAAAAAAAAUUAAUUUAGUCAUUCAAAGGGAAAAAUCAUAAUCUAUGUAAUAUUUGAAAGAUGAAAAAGCAUAGUCUACGUUAGUCUUUGUUAGGCCACUUAGAAAAUGCCCACCCUAUAACUUGCCUUGUGUGUGACAUUGCCUUUGUUUGAUAAUUUUCCCAAAGGAUGCAGGGUUUUCUGCCACAGUCUGCCCAAUGGGUAAAUGGACUUGCCAGAAUGCAACAUUGAGGUUUCUGAUUUAGGCUCCUGUAUGGAAAUGUUGGCCUCUGCUUUUUGUGCCAUUGCUGCUACUGUUCCCUUCAACCCCCAUAGAAAGAUUAUUGAGGGAUCUGAUGGUUCACUUCAUCACUGUCCUUUCAUGUGGUUAAAAAUCAUUAUCAUAAGAAAACAAUAUAAAGGGUACCUUUGCUCAUAAGGGACACACUACUUUAAAUGGUAAAGAUAUGCAUUCAAUUAAAUAUGUACGGACAAAUUACAAAGUGACGUGACCUUAUUUGCUUGCUCAUUAUCAAGUGGACUUGACCAAUAAAAUACUAAAGUCACCUAACCCUUUACAUUAUGCAUACUAGAUAGCAUUUCCAUUUGCCACAUUGGUGUACUAUUUUAAUUGGAAUUUAGGGUGAUACCUCACAUAUGAAAAAGUUGUACUUCCCAACAAAAUAAUUUUUAGAUUUAAAAAAAAACACAUUUAAUUUGUUAAAAAAAUGAUAUGGACAAGGCCAUUAAGUAGGGAUCAUCUUUUUGAACCCCAAUAGGGAUGGAGCAUUAUGCCAGAUGAUAUGGGCAUAUUCCCAUCGGCGGAAGCCACUAAACAACUAAUCUAUUGGGAGAACAUCCCCCAUUUAAUAUCGCAUGAAAAGCCACCAUCCAUUUUUGGUGGUUGCUGUACUAGCAUAGGGCUAUAAAAAAUGAUUAUAUUACUAAUAUUAUGUGCAAAUUCAGUUUAUAGUUAGGAGCAAAUAUAACACAAUGAGGGAAUUUUUGUUCAUAAGAUACUUGGUUGAUUCUUCUUAUAUAAAGUUUUGGGUUUAAGACUUGUAAAAAAAAACCUAUUAAAAGAGUUAACUUCACUAAGAUGUCGCUAAGAUGUGAAUACUAAUAACUUGUGAAAGAACAUUUUUAAUUGUUUAUCUAUUAAUACUUUGAUGUUAGUUAAACGUAUUCUUCAUAAUUUUGUAUCACCAAUUUUAUUAUUUCGUGCUAUGUGUUUGUUCAGUUUUUUUCUUGUUCGUUUUAUUGGUGCAUCCGUGAUGUUUCUAUGACAAAAGGAAGAUUUGGAUGGUAAUUUGGCACAUGAACAUUUGGUCAAUUUGAAUUGCUUAAAAUGAGAUGAUCACACAAAUAGCGGUGACAAAAUGGGCUUGACUCGCAAGGUCAGCCCAUUUGGGUCGUGUUUUUUUUGGGUUGAGUUAGGUAUCUUCAACUCUAAAACCCUUUUUUAGUUCAUUUUUUUAACUCAUUAAAUUGAUUGGUCAAGAUAAGGGGUUGGGUCAGUCCGUCGGGUCUAACAUUAAAAAUAUUAUAAUUUAACUAUACAAGAUUAUAUUGUUUGCAUUUGCUUAAUUGCUUUUAGUUUAAGAUAUUUGAACAAUACUUUUGAGGUAGUGUCCUAACAAAAGACAUUUAAGUCAAAUCGUGGUUGUGUAACUUGUAUUAUUCGUAAGAUUGUUUUGUGGAGUGUGUACAUGAGUUUGUUUAAUGAUAUGUUGGUCAUAAAUAUGACAACUUGUGAUUUGCAAUGGUCGUUUAUGAUUAGUUUUUAUUUUAAUAUUACAAUCAUGUUUUACUCAUGUCAUCUCUGCCGAUGACGUCGCCGCCUUGCCACUGCGUUGUGCCUCAUCCGCUCAUCUUUGCAUCUGCCACUCUCAUCCUCUCCCCCCUCCUCCCCUUCUAAUGUUGGGUUUGGUUUUGAGCUACCCAAUUUUUCAUGGUCUCAAAGUUGUCAGCUCUACUUCUCUUAGUGUCGUUGUAGCCAUGCCUAGCCUUCCUUGAAGGUUAAACAAAUCACAGUUCCAACAGAGCUGGAUGAUUUACGAAAUCGAGCUACUAGUUAAGAUAGAUAAAUCUAGUGCUCUGAAAGUUAUCUUAGUUCACUGUUGUUCUUAAAAAUUUAUGGGCUCUAUAUGAUUUUCAGUGAAACAAAAAAAGUAAUUCACAUACUUUGAGAAAUAUAAUUAAACUAGCUACAAUGCAUUAAAUUCGUCUUGAAUUAGAAUAAACUUUCAAAAUUAAUUUUUGUUAUUAGUGUUGGAAAGUGGGAAGGAGAGAAAAUAAUUAAUGAGACACAUUUUACUAGUUAGAAUUAACAUGAGAAUCAUUGGAAAAAAAUAAUUAAUAUAACACAAACUUUCAUUUGAUUCUUAUAAAAAUACCAUGAUUUUGCUUCUCUUUGGUUCUUCUAAAUAGGACCAGAGGUACUAUGUUAGUUACUUGAAUCAGAAUGCAUGAGUGAACAUGUUUUAAUCUUAAUGUUUUCUUUUUUUUUCUCAUUUGGCCAUCAGUCUUCACUGGGGAAAGGGGUCUCAUGUGACUAAUCUUGCUCGGGAUACGGUAGUGAUGUCCCUGGCCACAAAGAUUUUUAUUUUUACCUCAGAGGGGAUCGAACCCGGGCCAGAAGCCUAGAUGAAAUCCCUUAAGGAAAUGCACAUUCGCCACUUAUGACACCCCCUUGUUGUUAUCUUAAUGUUUUCUCUGUAUGCAUUGUAAUAUCACUCAUUAAAAUUUUAGUAACACUAAUAUAAAUGUCAUUGAUGUAAGUGUGGUUGAGAUAUAUUUGUAUAUUAACGAACUUUGACACCUCUACACACAAAUUUGUGAGCAAUAAAUUUUCUAAUCCAUUAAAAAAAUCUGAUCGAUUAAAAUAAAAUAUUAGUAGUGGUUGAGGAUAAGAUGUAAGCAAUCUUGUAUACUUUUUUGAAAUAAAAAAAUAUUUAUCAUUGCUCGGAUACUUUGACUGAUAUGAUAAAACUAGUACCUCAAAUAUAUAUAACACAAUAGGUUUUGAUUUAUUUGGUCAAGCAUCAACUAAUUGCACUUGCAACUUUCAAAUUCUAUUCCUCCUACUUCUCUUUGAUCACGUUGGCAAAGAUUUUUCAGCACUUUGUGUAAUCUUAAUUGUUUAGGACAUCCAAGACUUGUGUUUUUUCAAGAAAUAAUUGAUUUUUCCAUCAAAUCUAUCGAUGUUAAACUUCAUAUCGCUUGAAUAACUUGAUAUUGCAGUUGUGUGAAAGACUGUAAACUGCGCACCGGAUAAGUUCUCACAAAUGAGAGGUAUGUUUGUUUGAGAAGAUGUAGGCAAAAGAGAAAUAGGGGAGAGAGAUAGAGAAGAGAAGGCAACCUCCCUUGUUCGUUACAUGGGAGAGGGGGGAAGCUACAAGGUGGGAAAACCACCUUUUUUCAGUCUCCUCAAAUUGAGGAGAGAUGGGGUUGUGUGAAUUUUUAUUUUUGUUAGAUUUAAUAACUUAUUGGCGGUUUAAACCCCAGAAAAUGGACAAAGCUAAAAAAGAUUGUUUUUUAAUAUAAAAAGUAAUUUUUUUUCUCUUUUCUCUUUCUUCGUCUCUCUAUCAUAUCUAACAACAUCUAAAUUUUGAAAGCUGAAAAACAAUGCAACAUUCAAUGAUUUAAAACCAGAUUCGGGUGAAAUAAUGAAGACAGCCCUGAGCCAACUUGAGGAAUUAAUGGAUUGAAGCCUAGGAAAAGAGGGGAGAAAGAACUCGAGCUGAGCAAGAACCAACCUGGGAAGCGCUGCCAGAAGGAAAAAUCAAAAUUAAUGUUGACGCAGGAUGGACUGGUACAAAUUCAACAAGGUUUGGUUUUGUGGCCUGAUCACACAUAGGUGCUCUACUAGCAGUUGGCACUCAUUUACAGGAACAAAGACUGGAGCCUCUUAUUGCAGAAGCAUUAGCGCGCACUACACUGGAGCAUGCACCAAGCCUCUGAACUAGGAAUGGAUAUAUAGUGUGUUGUUUGAAUCAGAUUCUCUGUCUGUCAUCAAAACUCUAAGAGUUGAAUCAAGUGUAUGAACUAUCCAAGAUGUAGUUCUGGACUGCCUCCUCUUAGCUGAUAGUUUUACUGCUUGCUCUUUCUCUCAUGUAAAAUGUAAGGCAAAUAUGCCAGCUCAUAUCCUGGCCUCUAUGGCUUGUAAGUAUCAAAAUCAGUUAUGGUGGGUUGUACCCCCAGCUGAAAUUGAUUACUCUCUAUUUGCAGGCUGCUUUUUCUUAACCAAAUGAGCAUUGAACUUAAAAAAAACAAUUUUUUUUUUAUACAUCGAGAAAUUAGGGUUUGAUGUUGCAUCAGAGAGAAACCUCAGCGAGGAACGGAGUGUGUGUGUGCAAACCCCAAAUCUGAAGAAAAAAAAAAGAAAUUUUAAAUCUACUUUAUUUCUUAGAUCUUUUUCUCUAUUUAAUUUCUCUCUUCCCUAUUUCUCUUUUAUCUACCAAACAAAGCAUUAAAUACCAUGUAUUCUGAACAAGAACAUUUCUAUGAUAUUACUUCACAGUAUCACACUUAUGAGUGAAAUGUGCACGAAGACCUUAUGAGUGUCUUAAAUCCUAUGUGGUAAUCUAGGCCCAUAAAAAAUGAGUUAAGUCCCAAAAUAAAUUCCUACCAUUGAAGAUGCUCUAAAAACGCAAUAUUGAAAGAAUUCACAUAUUACUGUAUUAACGAUUUAGCACUUAUACCAUUACAAUAAACCUCACAAGUGUCUUAUAAAAGUAUUUACGCAAUUCAAAACAAAUAUAAUCUCCUAUUAACGACCCACUACUUUUGGCUCAUAAAAAUGGGUACCCACAUAUACGACUUUUUUCUGGAUAUGGUAACAUCCCACCUUUUAGGUCUAACACCAUUAAGUAGUAAGUACCGGCACAAAGAGGGUCUGUGCCUGUGGGUGCCAUCUUGACUCGUUGCCAUUGGUGAUUACAAGCUCAAUAAGAUAACUCACAUAUAUGGAUGUGUAUUUAACCUCCAUUCACUGUUACUCUGUUACUUCCUGUUGAUAUAAUGUGUUUUAGUGGGAUGACUAGGAUGCUGAUAACCAAGAUUUGAAGAGAGAGAACCUUAUUUUAUUUUUAUAUUUUGAAAUUGAAAUGGGGAUGCUUUCAGAUCUCACAACACAAGUUUAACAUUGUCACCAUUACCAUUUGUCCCAAGAUCGCGACCACACAUUUCAAAAAAUUAUUUAUUAUUAUUAUUAUUGUUUUUUUAGAAAGCAAAAGGAGAAUUAUAUAUAUAUAUCGAAAGAUGAUUAGUACAUCAUCAAUUAAGUGUGUGUUUGGAUGAACGUUAGCAGAAUUGGAUCUGAGUAGACUUGGAUCUGUCAGAAUUGAAUCUUGUAAACGUGAGUUUGAGUGAUGUAAUUUAUGUUUGAAUAUAUUGUGAGAAACGUAAUUCUUGUAAGAGAAUUUUGUUUGGAUAUCUUUGAUUAGAAUUGAUUUUAAAUGUGUAAUGACUAAACUGGGUAUAAGUAUUUUAUUAAAAAAAAACCAUUUUAAUAUAUCAAAAUUGACUACAGGGGAGAAUAAGAGCCACGAUAAGAAAAAAAAUAAUGUUAUCGGUUUCUUAUCAAUUUUCUCUAUUUUUUUAUUCUUCAACCUUCAAUGGAUGCUAAGCCACACAAAUCUGACUUUAUUUCCAACCUUCAAUGGAUGCUACACACAAAUCCCCUUUCAUAUGACUUUUUUUUUUUUUUUUUGAGGUUCAAUGCAUCAUUGUAUUAAUCUGAAAAAGUUGAGUCUACAAUCAAAGCAUGCACUAUCUCAUUUGGGGUACUAUCCCACCAAAUUUUAGAGAGGUAUUUGCAUGCUACAGAGGCUAAAAUGUGAGCAGGGGAAUUGGCUUUACGCCUUACAUGUGAGAAUGAGAUGGAGGGAAAGGAUCUAGCUAAGGCUUUACAAUCUUGUAUGACAGUCUGGAUAGUCCAAGCGGUUGAAUCCGUUCUCAUUGCAUUGAUUACAGAGAGAGAGUCAGAUUCAAAAAUCACACUAUCCAUACCUAACUCCUUCGCUGUCAUUAAACACCACCUUAAGGCCAUUGCUUCAGCUAACAGGGGAUCCAUUCUUUGUUCUUCUAUCUGAGAUCCAGCCACCAUUAGAACUCCUCUUGUGUCUCUUGCAACGAAACCAAAUCCUGUCGAGCUCUCUCCUGUCCAGCCUGCAUCUAUGUUGAAUUUUAUCCAUCCAAUUGCUGGAGCUUUCCAGGGUUCCUCUCUUGUUUCUGGUUUGGUUUGGUUGUAUUUUUCUUGUGCUGCUAACCAAUCUGAGAAGCAUUUCAUAGCUGUAUCCAUCGAGGUAUUGGGUUGGAGCUGGGUGUUGUUGAAGAAACAUUCAUUUCGUGCCUUCCAAAUUGCCCAAAUACCUUGGAAGAUUUGUGCUGCUAUGUCCUCUGUGUUGUUCAUGCAUAUGUCUUUUAGCCACUCGACAAAAGUGGUUUGGAUCAGAUCUAUGCGAACUCCUAGAGGGUGAUGGAACCAAGCAGCUCUAGCCCAGGGACAAUGGAGGAAGAGGUGAUCUUGUGUUUCAGGUACUUCUUGACCGCAUAACACGCAUGAUUCUUCUGUUUGGAUGCCUCUUCUCUUUAAAUUAGCUCUGCAGGGAGUGAUGUUGUGAGUUGAUCUAUAAAUGAAGUGCUUGAUCUUGCUCGGUGCUUUAGCGGCCCACAGUUUCUUCCAAGGGAAAUUUGCAGUUCUCGAUCCACUAGCAGCAGCUUCAAUUUUUGCAAGUUGAAGUUGGUAAUAGGCAGACUUGACUGUGUAUUUACCAUCUCUGCUCCAUCUCCAGACAAUCUUAUCUUCUGCCCCCCUCCAGCUUAGAGGAAUGGUUUUAAUGAGCCUAGCUUCGGCUGGGUUGAAAAGUUGAUUAAUUUGGAAGUGAUUCCAGCCUCCAUUCUCCUCUAUUCUGAGUUCUUCCACUGUCAUGUGUUCCAUGCCUGGGGCUAUAUCUGACAUCACAUAACCACUUCCUGGUCCUGGCAGCCAAGGGUCUUUCCAUAUACGAACUCUCUUUCCAUUUCCAAUCCUCCAUUUCAAUCCCUCUUUAAUGAAGCCCAACACACUCCAUAUGCUUCUCCAAGCAAAACUGGGCUGGUACCCAAUCUUUGCAUUCAGAAAAUCACAUUUUGGGAAGUAUUUAGCUUUCCAUAUUCUGGCAAGAAGAGAGCUUUCUGAAUUUAAGAUCCUCCAAGCUUGUUUGGCUAGGAGAGCUUUGUUAAAAUCCUCAAUGUCUCUGUAGCCGAGCCCCCCUCUAUUCUUUGGUUUGCACAAGUGCUUCCAGGCUGCCCAAUGUAUCUUUCUUUCGUUUUCUUUUUGUCCCCACCAAAAGUUUGCAAGAAGGCUCUCUAUUUUUGAGCACACACCUGUGGGGAUCUUGAAGCAUGUCAUCACAUAAUUUGGAAUGGCUUGGGCUACCGCCUUGAUGAGGAUCUCCUUGCCGGCUUUUGAAAGAGCCUUUUCCUUCCACCCUUGUAGUUUUCUCCACACCCUCUCUUGGAUCUUCCCAAAGAUUGCUUUUUUUGAUUGACCAAUGACUGUGGGCAGACCUAGGUACUUAUCAUGGACUAUAACAGCCUUUACUCCCAUCCUUUGCUGGAUCAUAUCUCUGCUUGGUUGAGGCACAUUUUGGCUGAAGGAAAUCUCCGUUUUGUCCAUAUUGACAAGUUGUCCUGAGGCUAGCUCAUAAGCUUUGAUCACUUCAAGCAAGCAAUCGGCUUCCUCUUGUGUUGCUCUACUGAAAAUCAGACUAUCAUCCGCGAAGAACAAAUGGCUAAUAGUUGGUGCCCUCCUUGCCACUUGAAUACCAUGUAGUCUUUUUUGCGAUAUCUGAUCAGAUAUAAGGCCCGAGAACGCUUCCACACAUAGAAUGAACAAGUAAGGAGAUAGGGGAUCUCCUUGUCUAGGUCCUCUUUGGGGAUUGAAGAAGGGAGUUGGUUCCCCAUUCACAAGUAUAGCAUAGGAAACCGAAGAAACACAUUUGAAAAUCAGAUCUGUGAUUCUUGUGGGGAAGCCCAUAGUAGUGAGAACCUCUUUGAGAAAAGACCAUUCAAUUCUAUCAUAGGCUUUUGACAUAUCUAGCUUGAGGGCCAUGUACCCCUUCUUUCCUUUUUUUUUCUUCUUCAUAUAAUGGAAAACCUCAAACCCCGUGAGUGCAUUAUCCGUGAUUAACCUCCCGGGAAUGAAAGCACUUUGUUGUUCUCCCACCACCUCGCCAAGGAAGCCUUUAAUUUUGUUUGCUAUGCAUUUUGUCACUAGUUUCAUAAUGACAUUACAUAGGCUAAUUGGCCGGAAUUCACUUGGGGUUUCUGGCGCCUUUGUCUUUGGUAUGAGGCAGAUAAAGGUCUGAUUUAUGGUGGAUGGAUCUUCCCCUCUAUUCAGAAUUGAUAGGACCUUGGUUAUAACUUCUUCGCCUAUGAUUCCCCAAUAUUUUUUGUAGAACAGGGCUGGGAAACCGUCGGGACCAGGGGCCUUUAAGGAAUGCAUUUGGUGUAGAGCAUACUUUACCUCCUCAGCUGUGAACUCCUCUUCAAGUUCCUCUACUGUUUCCGGGUCCAGUCUGUUUGUGAUUUUUUGACAUACACCUGCAAUGUUCUGUGGUUGGCUGCACUCAAACAUCUUCUCAAAAUGAUUUUUCAUAAGAGUAGCAAUCCGUUCUUGUUUGUGAACCCAGUCCCCAUGGGAGUUUCUGAUCCUCACAAUUCUGUUCCUCUUGUUUCUCUGUGUUGCUUUCCCGUGGAAGAACUUUGUGUUCUUAUCCCCUUCUUUGAGCCACAUGGACCUUGAUCUCUGCCGCUAGUAGAGUUCCUCUUUUUCUAGUAUAUCUGCAUAAUCUUGAUCCAGUACUUUUCUUCUCAAAAUGUUUUCCUUCGUUGGGCUCCAGUUCUGUGCAGCCUUAAGUUGUUGUUCUAGCUGUUGUACCUUUUGUCUGAGGCUUCCAAAUUCUGUUUCCAGGGAGAUUAUGGUCUCUUUUGCACUCUUUAAUUUUUCCUCCACUCCUUGUCCACCACGGUUCCAUGUAUUUCGCAGAUGGUAUCCCAGAUCAUGCUCAAUUGUCAUGUGCUCUUCUAGUCUGAACACCCUUUUCUUUUUCUUCUUUUCUUCUAUUGGGUGGUUGGAGAUUGUAAUUGCUAGUGGAUUGUGAUCAGAAGUGUAUUUUAUGAGGUGCCUCACUACUGAUUCCGGCCAUCUCUCCUGGAAGCUGUUACUUGCUAGGCUGCGGUCCAAUCUUUCUUGAAUGUUUGCCUGAUCCUGUCUGCCAUUUGUCCAAGUGAAGGGGUCCCCCACGAAACCCAUAUCCUCCAAGCCUGCAUGCUCAAGGCAGCGAGUAAAGCUCUCCAGCUGUUCAAUUGUUUUGUCUACCCCCCCUCUCUUCUCCUCAUUAGAGACUAUGGCAUUAAAGUCUCCAAAACAGAUCCAAGGGUCUGUUAUGCUUUGUUUCAGAUUCAAAAUGAGCUCCCAAGACCUUGCCUUAUUGCGUUCUUCGGGGAAGCCAUAAAAACCACAACAGAAGUUGAUUCUCUGUUCAAAAUCUGUCCAUUUAAAUAGAAUAUGGUUGAGGGAGUAUGAUACAAUGUCAAUCUUACUCCCCUCUUUCCACAAAAUAGCUAAUCCACCUCCUCUAGACCCUGUGUUACCCCUACAGUCCACCCCCAAGAAAUUUUUAAAACCCGUUUGUUCUGCUAUCUUCUUCAUUUCACCUCCUCUUCUUCGUGUCUCCAUAAGAAACACCACAUCGGGAUCUUCACUGCAAAUGAGCCUUAGCAAGGCUCGAACUGUCCGGCGGUUCCCAAGCCCCCGGCAGUUCCAGCUUAUCGUUUUCAUGGCUCCCGGCAAUGCUGGACCUCCAGCACCGCCGAUAUUUCAUCAAUCACCAUAUCUGUUCUGUUCUUCUUCUCGCUGCCCCUGUUUUCCUCUUCCACACCAUCGAUCUCCAUCUCUGAUCUCUUUGACCCCGCACAUGUUACCUGUGUCUGUGGAGCGUCUGUUUGAUUGGAUCUUGCAAAUCUCUUCCAUCCUUUUAGACCCCCCCUUUUCUUCAGUUCUGUUUCACCUUGGUUUUGAUUCUCCUCUUCCUUUUCCCCAUCCUCCUCAUUCUGCUUCUCUGCUUCUUUUUUCUUCUCAUGGCCUGAUUUAGUGUUAAUGGUGAAGUUUUGAAAAACCUCAGCCACUUUGUCAAGGCUUUGGGGUUUUGCAGGUAAGGUUUCUCCUGUAUCUUCUUCGUCGUCUUCAUUUAUUGCAGAAACCUUUUUUCCUUUCCCCUUUGAGCUUCUCUCAGUUGACGUUUGGCCCUCCUGGACUUCCUCGGAGUUCUCCUUCUCUGACUUGAAGAGAGACUUUCUCAUGCUUUUCCCACUCUCCGCAUAUCCUUCCUUUCGGACUAAAGUUACUUUUCUCGGCGAAGCCCUCAUCCAUUUUCCAAAGGGAAAUUUCUGCUUUUCAUCUUCCUCGCGGUCAUCAUCUCUAUCCGGGCAGUCUUUGAAGGUGUGACCCAGCAUCCCACACUCAUAGCAAAAGUCAGGGAGCCUCUCAUAUUUGAAGAAGAUUUUACCUUUCUUAAUCGGAGUGAUUUGGGCUAUUGCACCCCUCUUCAGAGGUUUUUGCAGAUCUACUGAGACUCGCACUCUGGCAUACUUUCCUGCUAAACACUCCUCUAAUUUGUCGUGUUCCAUGAACUUACCCAGGCUGCCUCCUAUUUUGUUUAGGUUCUCUGCGUCUCUCAGAUUCAGGGGCAAAUCAUAAAUUCUGACCCACAUGGGGCAGGUGUGUGGGUUGAUUUCAGAUGGUUGCUCCUCCCCUGUUAUCUUCUGUAGUGCUACAACAUGACCAUUGAAAGUCCAUGGUUGACCUCUGAGAACCAGAUCUCUAUCUCGUGCUGCAGCAAACUUGAAGGAGAACAAGUUUUUUUCCAGUUCAAUAAUUUCCACUGCUUCUCUCGUUUUCCAGAUAGUCAGCAGUGUGCUUUUGAAAGCUUUCACGUUGAAGGAAUCUUGUGCCCAAACUUUUCCAACAACUGUGUUUUCAAAAGCAUUGGGUGAGGUGUUGUUUUCUCCAAGGAUAAGUGCUUCACUUUCCUCCAGUGAAAAGUCAAGGUCUUUCCACUCUUCCAUUGUUGCUUAGUUCCUAGACAAGGGGACCACUCCACUCAGUGGGAGACAAAGCCAAUACAGAGAUUGGAAAGAACCAACACAGAGAUUGGAAUAAACCAGCCAAUACAGAGAUUGGAAUAAAAAAACUCCACUUGAUCUACUUGGUCAAAAACCUAAAAGGUCAAAACCCUAGCAGAGCCAUAUGGGAGACUCGGUUGGAAACAGAGAAUCCUAUCCCUUUCAUAUGACUUUAGUUCCACCCAAAAACGUGAAUAUAACAGGGGGACAUCAAAAAAAUAAAAAUGGGAAACAAAUCUAGAGGCACCGACCCUGAGAUAGGGAGAUAUCAGAUUUGAGAAAGGUAUGAACAACGACGGUCUUCAUCUUUUCUUCCCAUCUUUAUCAGAAAUAAGGUCAGGAUACAAGGAGGAAAGGAGGGGUAUAAACAGAAUCAGUUUUCUCGGAUGUUACCAGAUCUGAGAGAAUCAGAUCUCUCUCACGGAGAAGCUACUCCGGGACGCUUCAACCAGAUCCACGUUUUCUUCUUGAAUCCAUUCUCAGAUGCAAGUACCCAAACAUCUUUUUGGCAUUGGAGAUCCACGUUAUAGCCUCAGAUCCGAUUUUGAGUCUUAGAUCCACGUUUCAAACGCACAACCAAACACACACUAAAUGGUUAUUUUCAUUAGCUUAUUUAAUUAAUACUUAAAUUUCUUUAAUAAAUGAAUAGUCACAUUUUUUUUGAAAGAAAAAAAUAGUCACAUUAGUGACUAAAAAAUUAGAAUUCGUUUAGUCAUUUUAAUCCCAUACCCAACUCAACGACUGACAAGGUUGGUGUUGUGGAAAGCUCCAAGCGAAGGUGAAGUCGCGGUGAACUGUGAUGGCAGCAAGGGGAGCACCACGAAUAGCAGUGGAUUUGGUGGGUGCAUUCGCAAUAGCUGUGGAGAUUGGAUUCGAGGCUUCUAUGGGUUUGGUGGCAGCGGGCCAGUCUUGACCAUGGAGCUUAUGGCUAUCUUCCAGGGCUUGAAGUUGGCGUGGGAAGAGGGUUUCCGGCGAGUUCUCUGCCUCUCCGACUCUCUGCUUCCGGUGUCUCUAAUUCAGGAGCCUCCAACAAGGUUCCAUGAGUGUACUGUGCUCAUAGCCAGCGUUAAUGAUCUCCUCCGGCGGCAGUGGGAGGUGCGUUUGGAACACACUCUUAGAGAUGGAAACGCCUGUGCGGAUUUCUUGGCGAAGGUUGGAGCUGCGCAGGGUCUAGCGUUUCACGUGUUGGUGGAUCCUCCUCCGGAGCUAUCUCUGGUUCUUCUUGCGGACAAGAGUGGCACUAUGUUUGUUAGACAGUAGAUAGUUUUCUUUGUUUUCUCCUUUUUGAUUGCUUGUAUCAAAAAACGUUGGUAACUGGUCAGUUUAAUGUCUUUAUCCCUUUUUUCGUUGCCAAUUGUCAUGCAUUCCUAAUUAUGCUUAUGUGAUUGCUAACUGUCUAUUGUGCAUCUAUAUUUUUUUUUAUAGGAAAAGGUUAAUUGUUAGUCUUCUUAGGGUUCAAACUCUGAACUCUUCAUCCUUCAUCUCAUUUAACUCUUAUGUUAUCUAACUCUUACUACUUGAGCUAACCAUUGGGACUUCUAUAUAUCCAUGUGAGAACAAGAGAUUAAGAUGUUGUUAGGAUGCACGGUAAAAACUUACAAUAAGAUUAAAAUUAUAUAUGAUGCACAUUCACAAAAGUUAAGAAAGUUGGUUAUAUAUUGAUUUUGAAUUCACUAUAUUUUUCACAAUUUAUUCAAACAUGAAUAGUUUUUAUUUUUCACAAUUUAUUCAAACAUGAAUAGUUUGGAAAACAUUUAUCACAGUCCACCUCAUUCCCCUUUAUUCUCUGGUCCCCCUCCACCACACCCCUAUCCCUAACCUCACAACCUUUCCCUUCUUGAAACUAUUCGAACUUGAGAAUUUGGGAGAAAUCUCGUCUAGCCACAAUACAGAAUCACAAUUGUUUUAGGUGGUUACAAUCUCUGAACUCAAAGUGGAGCUUCCAAGUUCCACAUAGUUUAGGGUACCUGCAAAAGACGUUAUUAAGCUCAAGUCAGUGCAAGUGUUGAGAGAUAAUCCAAGAGACUCACUUAGAACUGAAGUUUAGGGCUCGUUUGGUGGACAGGAUAUAAACAGACAUGAUAGGAUAGCAGUGAUCAUAUCCUGCUGCAAUAUGUUGUUUGUUGCGCCAGCAGAAUAAGAUAACAUUAUCAUGUCUCUUAUCCUGUAACAGUUAUCUUGAGGGGGAGCUAGGAUAGAAAUUAUUAGGGGUGUAAUCGAACCGGAUUGGUUCGGAUUUAGGGUGUUUAAAUGUCCGAACCAAUUAAACAUGUUCGGUUUGGGUUGGUUCGAAUUUCAUGAUUUUUACUUCUAAACCCGAACCAAACCAACCCGAUCUCAAUCGGAUUGGUUCGGAUGGUCGGAUUUGAAAUAAAAAAAUAUUAUUUGGAAAUAUGCACGAAAAGUAUUUUAAAACGUGCAAAAUUAUAAAAAAUAGAGAAAAAUCUAACAUUUUUUAAGAUCAAAACAUUCGAUAAUAACAUAAUCCAUAUAAUAUAAAAUAAAACUAACAUCUCUAAUACAAAUAUAAAUAUGUAAUGUAAUGAGAUGAAAGUGUGAGCUUAAUGUAAAAAGUUCUCAAUGUGUUGGGUUGGUUCGGAUUGAUCGGUUUUUCAAUCUCCAAAUUCGAUACUCGAACCGAUGGUGAUCGGAUUCAGUAAAAAAAUCCGAAUCGAACCAAUGAUUUGAUCCAACCCACCAUAAUGUGUUCGGUUCGGAUCAGUUUGUUCGGAUUCGCUGAUCGAAUCAUACCCGCUUACACCCCUAGAAAUUAUCCUGACAGGAUAGGAUAUUAGUUUUUUAUUUGUUUAUUACAUAAACCCAAAAUUAAUUUCAAUAUUUAUAUUUUAUAUAAUUUAUAAUAAUAUUAAUUAAUAAAUAUAAAUUUCUUAUUUUAACAAAAUAUUAAUUUUACUACUUAUCAAUAUUGUUAAGUUAAAAUUAUUUAGUUACUAAUAAAUUUAAUUAAAAAAUAAAUUUAUUUAUAAAUGUGAAAAUAUUGGAUUUAAUCAUAUAAAAUAAUUAAAUUUUCAUUAUCACAUACUACUACAUAGUUAACAUUAUUUUUCGUUAUUUAUAUUAUAAUAAAAAUUACACAAAAUAGUUAUUCACUAACAAUAAAAUAGACUACUCAUAUAUAUAUAUAUCAAUUGUAAUAGUAAAUAUAGACUAAUUUAAUUAUCAUGUGAUAUUAUUUAAAAUUAUUUCUCUGCUUAUAUAAUUAUAAUUAAUAUUUAAAUAUAAAUUAUUUUUGAAAGAAUAAUAUCUUUUAAUCAUUUUUUAAAAAUUGAUUUAUUUUUAUCAUUGAUCACUUACCUCUACUAAGUUAAAACUCAUUGGUUACAUAUAUAAUAAUUUUAAUUAAAAUAGACUCCCUUUGGAAAAAUUAAAAUAGUCGAAUUAAUUAAAACUAAUUUAAUUUUAGUUAAUAUUAAAACAUAAGCUUUUUUAUAAAAAUGUAAGAAAAUAAAAUAAUAAAAUAAUCACUUUUAAAAAAAAGUUAGAAAAUUAAAUUUAAAAAAAAGGCUUAACACAUCAGAAGACCUCUGUAAUUGUAAAGGGAAUCAAAUCCAGGGCCUGGAAAAUUUUUGCAUCAAAUUGGGUCCCUAUGAAAAUUUUUUUAAUUCAAUUAAGGUCAAAUGCCUCCAGAUCUCAAUUUUGUCCUAGUCAUCAAUUACAUGUGGUUGUUAUAAUUUUUUUAAUUAGAAAAUUUUAGAAUUUUUUUUAAUUCGAACUCAAUUAUUUAAUUAGAAAAAAAAAAUUAAAAACUUAAUAAAAUCAUAAUUUAAUAAUCCCUUAACUAAACAAUUACAUAAUAUAAAUAAUAAACUAACCUAAUAAUCUAAUUAUAAUCAAUCCCUAAUUAAACCAUUUCAUCCCCAAAUUGAACCCAGACAAGAACCAAGCUCUCCUUCCUCCUCCAUCACCAAGAACAACAACCAAAAAUAAAAUUCUUGCACCUCUGUGGUAGAAAUUUGGGGUGGAUCUGAAGAAUAUGUGUUUAGAGCGAGAGGGGAGACCGAAAGAGAGAGGAGUGUGUUCUUGUUGUGGCUCCUGAAUGAAGAAAAGAGAGUAAGAGAAAUGGGUAAUGGGUUUUUCUGGGCAAAGAAAAUAGUAUUCAUCAUCUUCUUCCUCAUCGUGUUCAAUAUCAUGUUCAACAUCAUCUUCAACAGCUUCAACAUAGUAUUCAUCAUCUUCAUCCUCAACCACAACAAAAACAAAACCCGGAAAAUACCUAGAUUCUACAUCAAACCCAUAUCACCCCACUCACCGCAACCUAAUCUUAUUCUUCAAACCCAUAUUCUUAAAAAAAAAAUAGAUCCUGCAAUCGAGAACCACUGAAAAAGAGAAGGGGAGGAAGAAAUGGAGAAAGGGGAAGAAGAAAUGGAGAAAGAAAACCCAAAAUCACACACCAGAUCCUCUUUUUCAUAGCUACCUGAAUCACAAACCCUAACUUUCUUUUCUAUUCGACAAGGCCAAGAAAUCGUGGGUGUUGGGGAAGGUUUUGGGGCUUGGAUAUGAAGGUUCAGAUGAAGAAGCAAUACAGGGCCUAGAAGCAGAAAUUCGGAGCAUUCAUUCUUACCAAACUUGAUGCAACGUCGGUGGGUCUCAUGGCCUCGGGAGUGCGGAAAAGGAAGGGUGGAAACGGCACGAAGAAGAGGAAUUGGAAGAGGGGAUGAACGUUUUCUUGCAUCUCUUGCAAAUAACCCAGAUCUGCUUGUCUCAGUUCCUGUGUUGGCCAGAUGGGGAUGAAAGUGGGGAGAAGAAGGUUCUAUCUUCUUCCACUCUAGGGUGGAAAUUGGGGAUGAAGAAUGAAGAUGAAUAGUCAGGGUUUAAUUGAGGAUUCUCAUAUUAGAUUAGGGAUUAGUAUUUGAUUAGAUUAGGUUUUUUUUAAGUUAUUAGGUUAUAUAAAGUUUUUUUUUUUAAGUUAUGAGAAGAUGAUUUGGGGUUAAUUUGAGAGGGUUUGGAAUUAAAAAAUUAAGUUUUAAAAUUUUUCAAUUAAAAAAUAAUUUUAAAUGCCACGUGGAAAAGCUGAGUAGGCUAAAAUUGAAGCCACUUCAGCAUCAGACACACUUUGGCCUUAAUUGAAUUAAAAAAAAUUUCAUAGGGACCCAAUUUGAUGCAAAAAUUUUCCAAGCCCUGGAUUUGAUUCCCUUUACAAUUACAGGGGCCUUCUGAUGUAUUAAGCCUUAAAAAAAUAAUAUGUAUUUUUUAUUUCAAAGGAAAAUUUCAUACUUUUUUAUUUUGGUGUAUCACAUCCUAUCAAUAUUCUGUCCAUCUCAAACACAGGAUAUAAUAAGAGUCUAUCCUGUCCCUAUCGAAUCAUUUAUCAUAUCCUGCUCUUAUCAUAUCUUGUCCUUAUCCAAUCAUUUAUCAUAUCCUGCUCUUAUCCUAUUCUGACUACCAAACGGACCCUUAAAUGCUAAGAAUGAAUAACAUUUUACACAAAUGAACAAUAAAACAUAUAUAUAUUUAUAGGCUUUGUACUCACGGCGAUAGUCUUAGUAAGUGCGAGGAGACUCUUUAAGCUGAGCUUUCAAGUAGGAAGGUGGCCUUUGAGCGUCCUGCCUUAGUUCGUCGUGUUUCGGUCUAUUAGUGAUCGAACGUACAUUAGUCGGACGGGAGGCUCCCGCCCGAGCCAUUCAAUUCAAACUCAAGGCAAAUGCUUCAACGCGUGCCUUUUGGUCGGUCAAGAUAUCCUCAUAUCGGGUGGCUUAUUAGCUGCCCGUACAGAAGCCCCCAACUUGGCGUGUCAAGCCUGUUUGACGAGAUCCUUUAUCUUUCCAUUUUGUAGGAUGUCAUUUUGUUCAAUUGUCUGAGCUGGAAGGUUCUCUAGCUGCUUGGUCGUUAUACAAGAUCAUAAUUUCCUAGCGUCCCAUACAAUUGGGUGCGGUGGUUUUACUUAUCCUAUACCUUCUCAUUCGUCAAAACUUGUGAGUUGUGACUGUUUACUUUUCUCUUUCCUUCUAUUGUCCAAUUAUCUUUCUUCGGGAGAGGGGCUGAAGAAUCGAAAGCAUUUCCCACUUUUUAAAACCAUGAAGCUCACUCUCUCCCUUUACUCGAGUCUCUUCUUCUCCACCAACAAAUCUCCUAGCUCUUCUGUCAGGUGACUUUGUGUUAUGUUGCUCAUCUUCUGUUACCAAUCACCAAACCAAAAUGACUUGAUCUUCUUAGGUAUAUUUUUUCCCUUCCUUUCUUUUAAUUUAUCUAUUGCGAGGGAUGGUGGUUACUGGUUACUCGCCCUUUAAACGAGAAUAGGAGUAAGGUAAACUCAAAACAUUCUUUCGGUGAGGGUUUCACACUCGGAAACCCGAUUACUCUCGGCGUCGCCGCCCCUUUAAACAUUUUUCAUCCUUCGUCCCUUGACAAGGAAAAGGGUUUACCUUUUUAGAGGAACUCAGUUUGAGCGAUUGUAGUAGUGCUUCUAGCGACUACGUUAUUCGCAACUAUCCCCAGGAUUAGAUUCUGACCUGAUCCUUGUAGAUUUUCUCUUAAUGGGAAAAAGGUGCAUCGAGCAACCUUUAGAGAUUCAUGCAUCCCUAAGGGACAUGGAAGACUUCAAUGUUGAAAUUGUAGGACAAGUGUGCUCUUCCGCCUGACAUGGUGGAGUCCGUUAAAAAGGAUUUUGUCAAGUGCACCGAAACUUUUCCCGAGGGUGUUGCUGACUUCUCCCUUGGCAUCCCUAGCGAUGACAAGUCGGUUUGCUCUGCCUAUUCGGAUGGACUCUACAUGUAAAUUUACAUCAUCUCCAAACACAAGCCAAACUUCCCUUUCUCUGAAUUUGAAAAGUUCAUCGAAGACAAAAAGAAUGAGCGUGGACUAUCUUUCCACUACGAAGAUAACAUAGAUGAGAGACGAGGAAGAAGUGAAGCACGUGGGAAGUAUGAGCCUUAGAACAUCUCCAAUGCAUAGUUGCUAGUUGGGUUGCUUAAAAACUAUUUCGGUGGGUCCAGACUGACACAUAGGAUUUAAGCAACCCAAGCAGAAUUCGCUCCAACCACGGUUGCUUAGUUUACUUUUAGUUGGAUCCCAUUAUACCUCUUAUAUUUAUAUUAUUUCAAGGUAAUGACACUAUACAAGUACAUGAAUGAAAGAGAAAAUAUAAUUUUUUAGUCAAAAAGUAAGGAGAGAGAAAAUAAGCAACCGUUGCUUAAAUUUAAGCAACUCAACUGUCACGUCAUGUUGCUCCAGUGGUGCUCCAAAAUAAGCAACGUUGCUUAAGUUGCCAACUAGAUUUAAGCAACCCCUAUUGGAGAUGCUCUUAUGGAAGAAGCUAAAGUAAAGACAAAAGUCGUUCCACGUCUAGCUCCAAAGUUGUAACACCCCGAUUUCGGUGGCGUCACUUUAGUAACCAAAAGUAAACUUAAUGCGGAAAAACGUGAAUAUUUUUUUUUCGAUAAUAACUAAGACAAGACAGAAUUAAAUAAAACCCAAAUGCGAAAACAACAGAACUAAUAUACAAUAUAUACAACAGCCCCCGCUGUAAGUAGCUAACCUCGUCACGAGUAAACCUCCAGUGACGGGUAAUAAGAAACAUGUAACGCCUGUAGGCAAUAUGUACAAACCAAAUAUAAAGGUGAAGUGUCCGCAACACCAUCCCUCAAAACUGAGAAUAAGCUGGCCCAUCGGCCUGAAAAGACCUCCUAAGUCCAACCAACUCUCUGUGAUUCCCGUAAAGAAACCACACAAAAGCUAUAGGUGGAACUACCCUGUCCCCAAAGAAACAAAUGAUGUUCAGAGCUAAGACUCUACUCCUACACUAAUCCUAUCUCGAGGAGCUCACACCAGCACUAAAAACCUACACGCUGGCAUGAUUGUCGUCUGAAUCAGAAUCCAGAACGACCAAGUCUACAAACGCUAUCCGACCUCCCCUCACAACCGCAAUGCGCUCCGGUGCUGGACUAACGGGCUUUGGGCCCGAACCAUGAUCAUCAAUGAUCGCAACGGUGGGUGUGCUGGACUCUGAUGAAUGCACUCCCACAGGCUCCUCCUCGGAGGGGUCCUCAUCAUCCGAAGACGACGGUGGCGGCGGUGCUCCUCCUAAUCCUGGUCCGCAGUGCACACCAGGUGGCAAGUUGAAGCUGAUAGUGCUCCUCCUCAGUACUCCUUCCACCAAGCGUUCUUCCCUAUCUACCCUAUCCUCCAUGAUCCUCCCGGAAUAGGUCGCGCGAUGGCUAGCGGGGUCUACCACCCACGAACCGGGGUCAUCCUGGUCAAUCAUCUCGUAUCUAAUCCCCCCCGAAGGGUGGACCAUUGUGAACCAGUCCGCAAUGGACAUCUGACAAAAGGCGUUGUCCGCCAAAACACACACAGAAGACGCGAGGGUCAACUCCAAAGAACUAUGUAGAUAAUAAACCCAAUAGGUACAGAUAAGAAAUAGCCGCUUAGGCUUAUAACUAGAGGUAACAUCCUAGGGUUGCAUACUCCACAAUGAUCAUAAACAACGAUAAUAACAAAUAGCAUGCAUCACGUAGGAUUAACAAUUAUCAAUCACACUCAACAACUAAGUCAGUAUGCAUGUUGCAUGACAUGAUAUGACGGUUAACCCAGUUAACCACAUGCAUUCCGGAAAGGGAUGGACAUCAAACGGAUCAGCCCUAACACCAGCCACGGUGGAACCAUUUCGGCCCGCGUGCCUCUUACUCCAACAACAACGGUAGUCAGAUCAGCAGUAAACCCGUAGGUAUGCCAUUUCGGUCUGCUACAAGAGUCGUCUACAAACGCUCUUACACGGCAUUCCGGGUCUUAUGACCAUUUUGGAAACCGACGAGGUCCAGAGUACGUCCUGUGUUAAUACCUCAUUAAUGUUGCAUGAAUGCAGGAUGAUUAGUCAAACAACGUCUCCGAAUCUCACUCGACACGUCGCCACGUGUUCUAGCUAAUUUAAAGUCUCUAAAAGCUUACCCUAAGGUAACAGUCGAUUCUGCGACAAAAGACUCAUCUCUACAACAACACAUAACUCACGAUGAUCUCCAAAUCAUCCGACUCAUCUCAAACCAAUGGUCAAAACUUCUCAACGAGCAAGAGUAUCACAUACUCGGAAACUAUCAAUUUCCCGGACUUAUCCCCCGGAUAGCCCAACAACACAUAGCUGCUCCAACAGCACAAGAGUAUCAACAUACUCAAAACUUCUCAACUUUCUCAACACUUGGAUCCGACGACACUUCUCGUUUUCCAAAACUAAGAUUUGCAUCCAAAGCUUCCUUUCGAGUUUAUUAUCAUUAAUUGAAGAUUUAGAGGUUGUUUAAUGUCUUAUGAGUUUUCUUUACAAAAUAGUAUCCUUUUAGUCUUAUCGCAAAUCCUAUAAGUUCUCGGGAUCUCCUAAUCCCCAAAUGACACCAGAGAAUGUCUCGAUCCAUGAAACACCAUAACAAGGCCCGAAUCUCAUUUGUCCUAUCAAACUUUCUCAAAACUCUCAAAAUAAAAUCGGCAUGACCUGCCCGCUAUUCUCACUACUCAGAAUCACAGAUUUCAUUGCAAAAGCAUAAUUAACUCAGCACAAUCAACCAACAUGUCAUAUAUCAACAUAUUAUGCAAUAAUCACGUAGCACUUAGCAUAUAAAGCAUGCACCACACAUCCUAGAUUACCCACAUAGCACAUAGCAUGUAAGUCAAUCUCAAAAACAGUCAGUAGAUGAAUCAUCUACAUUGUCAGCCGAAGCCUCAGAAAACAUUUUUCCCAAUCAAACACAAACAAGUGCAUAAACAAUAAAUCAAUGUCGAAAGCAUCGACCCUAAGCAUUAACUAGAGAUUCAGUGAGUAGCCCUCACCUGAAGAUUCUCCAGAAUGAUCUUCUAACGUUUCUUCACAAUCAAAGCCUUGCUCCGCUGGAAAUUCCUCAAAAUCACCUUUAGAGCAAAACCACAGAAAUACUAUCAGAAUCUAUCGGAAACUAAGCUAUCAAUACAUCACUAAGGUUACACGAAGUAGUACAUACUCCGAGGUACGAUAAUCUAGCGCGAAAGGACAAGUUUUCGAAAAAGGAAUUUUCUCCCUCCAUCCUUAAAGUGCUCGACCACUUUUGGUAAUUGUGGGGUUCGAUUUUUCUUCGAUCAAACUUGGUUUUUAUGCUAUCAUUAGCCGUAACUAAGGGUAUUCUAAACUCGGAAAAAUUAUCGGAUCAAAAACUGUCGCAGGGGUAUUUUGGUCACUAUUUUUAACUUAGAAUUUCAAAACUGAAAUCCCAAAAAGCAAAUUUGACAGGGACGUCACCAACGACGUUUAUGACAACUAAUCCUACUAGCACUAAGCUAAGGCGAUAGUUUUCAGCCCAAAAGUUGAAGCUUUACUCCAAAAAUGGGUAUUUAAGGCAUAAAUUGAUUCCGGCGGAAUUUCGGCGACAUAACGGAAAAACUAAUCCGACAGAAGUGAUCUUGGGCACGUAAGGAAGAUGUUUAGAAUCAAAAAUGAAAUAUUCAGGAUAGUUUUGCAAAAACCUCAAAACUAUCAGCUCAGAAAAGUCUAGAGAAAAGCUAUGGAAAAAGCGAUCAGAGGUAAGGAUUAGCGACUAUACCUCGAAACCUUGAAGUAGCAACUGAUUAAUCGACGAUCAAGCAAGAAAUGAACAAAAGCUCUUCUUCCUUCCUCUUCAAUGGAGCUCGCGGAUUUGGGAGAGAAAUGGAGGAGUUUUUGUGAUUUUUCUCACCUUUCUUGCUAUAUAUAGUGGAUGGCAAAACGCGGUAAAAUGAAAGUUUCGCGAAUCUGAUUUUUCCGGCUUCAUUCUCCAUGAAUUCUAAGAUAGGUUUUGGCGACAUAAAUCCAAAACUAAGAAAAGGUUUCCUUGUAUUUUUGGUAACUAAUGCAAAGUCGGUGUAAAACUAUUUUACCCGAUAAGUUGCUUUUUGCAUCGAAUGUCGGAAUGGAAAACUUCCUUCUGAAGAAAGAUUGAAAUCAUCAAGAGAAAUGGGUGUACGCGUGUGGAAUCUUCAUUUGAAGCUCCGAAUAGAAAAAGUCUUCAUCGUCGGGUGAUUCUAGGGUUUUGAAAUACCAGGGUUUCGGUUUCGGCAAACUUCCGAUGAUUGGAAUCGGACGUUCGUAGAUUCUAGAGUUUCGCCUCGAAACGAUUGUGAUAUAUGGAAAAAGAGAAGUUCUAACAUUUCUCUGAAGAUUUUUGGAAUUAACUUCCAUCGUGCCUAUAAGUGAAAACUAGCUAUAUACUAGGGUUUCUGACCUAGGUUGAAGCGUGUAACGAUCGUGCUAUAACUUUAUCGACUUUGGUACAAUCCUUAGACUUUUCCUGAACUUUCUCCUUCAUAAAUUUAUUUCAUUUGGUAAACUCUAGUUCAGGUUUCCCUUCACGAUACAUCAACCCUAAUCGUGAAUAGGAUUCUAUUUACUUGGCAUAAGUUUAAAAACUUGGGUCUUACAAAAGUCAUAUGCUAUUAUUGUGGUAAGGAAGACCAUAAGAAAAAUGAAUGCAAAUUCCUUACGAGAGACCAUAAGUCUCGAAAUGUUUUUCCAAACCUCAUAAAUACCUAGAAGAAUGAGGAAAAUCCUAUUGCAUUAGUUGCAACAGUAGAUGAUAUAUCUUCUUCAUCGAAGAAGAUAAUUACUUUUUUUAUAGGCAAUAAGAAAUAUAUUGAAAUAAAGUAUAAGGUACUUCAACCUAGGGGUGUACAAGACCCGGCCCUACCCGCCAACCCGUCCCGGCCCAAGCCUUUAGGGCCGGGUUCAACCCGGUCCGAUCAUUAAAAGAGACCGGGUUCGGGUUGAUCUUCGAGUUACCCGACUUCGGGUAGGGUCGGGUUCGGGUUGACACUCGGGUCACCCGGCCCGUCCCACAUAUAUAUUUUAUAAAAUUUUAAUUUGUUAUAAUGAUUAAAAUGUGAUACAUGGUGCUCAAAUUUAUCUUAUACCAUGUAGAUGAGAUUAAAAUGUUUAACAUCUACCUUAUGAAUUGAAUAAACGUUGGUCAAACUAUGGACACUUUCAUGCUCUAACAAGAGAAAAUCAUGUGUGUGUAUUAUGCAUAUGUGAGACAAGUGAAGAAAUGAUCAAACAAAAUGUAAACAUCUCAAGUGCAAUAGAUUAUGAAAGAAUUGGAUCCUUUCAAGUUAUUUCUUCUAAAAAAUAGUUCCAACUUAUAACUCUUUUAGUAUGUUAUUAUCUUUAAAUUUUACAAUUAGUAUCAAAUAGUCUUAAACUUAUUGUCCCUCAGACCAACCCGGUCCCGUCCUACAUAGACCCGUCCUAAAUUGGACCCGCAUAAUGUCGGGUUGCUUCGGGUCUAGGGACGGGUUAGGGUCUAUGAAUUGGCCCGAUCAACAUUUAGGGCCGGGUUAGGGUUAACCAAAACCCGUCCCAACCCGUCCCUUGUACACCCCUACUUCAACCCAAUACAAGUAGGAAAAUGAAAAAGAGAAAAUAAUAGAGUAACAAUUAACAUAACAUCAUCUGAUAACCACCUACUCUCAAAGAAGCCCACCACCCACCACCUCCUUGAAGACGGAUUAAGGAGAUCAUGUCUCAUUAAAACCUUACCAGGAAAAACACCCUUGUAAAAACAUGGUGAAGGAAAAAGAGUACAUGAUAUCAAUAAUCAAAGGGUAAUCUUCAAGGAGGACUAUGCAAAAUUACAAAAAUUGAAUUAAUACAAUUCCACUAUCCCACCCAAUGCCUACAAAGUAAUAGUGCACAUCCCAGAGACCAGCAGCAUUAUUUCAUUAGUGUAAGCACAACACAGCUAUCAGUCUUCGUGAUCCUCCAAGCCAAGGGACUCCAAGUCAAUAAAGCAUGCUACCAUCCUUGCUAACAUAUAGGCCCCUCAAAAAAAGACAAAAGCAAACAUGAAUGUUACAACACUUAAACAAUUGAAGGUAACCUUGUUGUACAGCAAAAGUAUCCUUCACCACCCUGAUAUAGCAGAACAAGUUAUAUAUAAGAAGAUAAUUACUUGAGUGUUUCUUGUGGUGGCUACUCUUGGAUUGUUGAUUUCGGUGCUCUUUCCAUGCUAUCCGCAUGAAGGGUUUUCUCAAAUUACAAGAGAGGAUACUAUGAUACGCUCAUUAUUCAUUUCGAUCUAGUUCGUUUACCUGUGGUGUAAACUCGCAGAAUAUUACCAAAGAAGAAGAAAAAGUGGUCUCAGGUGAAGGAAUUCAGAAUAAGGGGAAAAUCUAAGCUCAUCAAAUUUAUUCUCUUCUAGAUUCCUUUUCAUCAUGGUGGUUGUAUCUUCUAUCUAAUUACUGAUCAACAUGUCAACAUGUCAACAUGUUUUCCCUUUGUCGUACAUAGUGUCUAAUGGGACAAAUUAAGGGUAUAUAAAUAUUCAAUGAAGAAUUGUCGAUAAAUUAAAGGAUGGUGGGCCUGAAAGGAAGACAGGGACAAUUAGUAGUUCAUGUAACAGAUUUUUUUUCCGAAGGAUGUGAUAGGAUCACUUUAAUAAUUUGGGACCAAAUUACAAACUGACGAAAUUACAAAACGGGUUAAUGAUCAAAUUAGUCCAUGAAUUUAUAAGUGAAUUUAAUUUUAGUUUUUUUAGUAAAAAUGUUGUUUAAUUAGUAGCGGUCAUUUUUACAAUUACUGAUGGUGUUUGACCGUCACUAAACAUCAUUUUUCUUCAAAGUGACUAAAAUCAAACUCACUUACAAAUUCGGUGACGAAUUUCACCAUUAACCCUUACAAAACUAACGGUGAGUGUGAACUUUCACAUUUUAAGAUAACCCAAACCUUAAAUAGUAACGAAUUUUUUGUUUUUUGAAAAGCACUAGUAACGAAUUACAAUAUCAUGCUGAGGUAUCUUUUAUAAGUGCAAGGUCUGAAUUCUUACUUAAAUAAUUCAACUUAUAAUAUUUUUAAUAUUUAUUUUCAUAAAUUAUUAAAUAUCUUAGUAAUUUUUUAAACAAUUCGUAAUGAUUUAUACUCAUCUCAAAUUUUUGGUGGACAUAAUCAUCUCAAUUUAGAAAUUAUGUACAGAAUAAAAAAAAUGAUAAUAACAAAUUUAACAAAAGUUUUAGGGACGUGGCACAUAGGAUCAGACUGAACACUUGGUAAAGUUAUUGGAGCUUCGACAAGUAUUAAAAACCACUAUUUCUUAACAUUCACUACAAAAAAAAACGUUAUUUAGUGGGGUUUUUUUUGCACUUAACGGGGGUUUUCAACCCCCGCGAGUUACUUAGCGGGGGUUUUGAAAAAUCUCGAAGUUACACUCCCCACAAAUUAUUAACGGGGGUUUUUAGCAAACCCUGGUACCUGCAUAUGAAUUUAGCGGGAGUUUUUAGCGGGGGUUUUAAACCUCCCUUAUCCAUAAGCUUUUUUUAACGGGAGUUUUCAACCUCCCUUAAUUGCAAGAGAUUAUUUACAGCUUUAAACCUCCCUUAAACCUUCCUUGACUACUAGAGUUUAUUCUAGGGACAUUUUUAACCUCAUUAAUUGUUGAGUUUACUUAUUAACCAUAAGAUAAGCUAGAGAAGAAAUAGGAUAAUAGAAUAAUAUCAUAAGCUAAUUGUCUAUAUAAGCUUAUCAAGACACUUCUAAAAUUAAUGAACAUAAUAAUAACUGCAGUUUCACAGAACACAUGAACAACAACAGAGCAAUUCAAAACAAGGUGAAGUUUUAUGGACCUCAGCCAAUUAUAUCAUGUUUCCAACCGUAUAUAUCAGUACAUGUUGACAUAAAAAAUAUAUAUAAGCCACAUGGUGGGAAAGAUGAUAAGAAUAUGUGAACAUUUUGCUGUUGAUACUUACAGGCUUACCAAGUCUGACAAAAGACUAAUCUGAUUGCUUAUGAGACCUUUCAAACCUUGACUGCCCAGAUCUCUGAAAUAAAAAUUGGAAUAAGAUAAACUCAAAACUUCAGGGGAGGAAAAUAAAAUAAAUUAACCAGAAAAUAACUGAAGACAAUAUGCAUUUGUGGAACAGCAGCUGAACCCAUAAUCCACGACCUACCCAAGCUUUCCAAGGGAAAUAGUGUCGCUAAAUUAUUUAACUCUAAGUCCUUCUUAAAGAUUUGAUAUAAAUUAUAAUCCAAAGAGUACUUAUUGUAGCCAAAUGGGCUCUAUGUCCUACAGACAACAGCUAUAUAAACUUAGGCCAUUUGGAUCUGAUCUAUAUCUGCCAGGUGAUUAUUUGAACAAUUCUAAGCAGUAAACAGAAGCAUUCAGAACAAGUAAAGGAUUUGUAAGUGGCAAGUGUCUUUGAUUCUUCUAGGUUAUAACAAUCCCUAAGAGCAUAUAAGUAUGCAGGAGCAACUAUAUACAGUAGAAGAUCAAACCCAAGUGCUCAUGACUUUUACAAUCUGAAAGAAAAAGGUUAAGUAUAAUGACAUUAUCCAAGCCAAUGAGUAUCUACUUAUACUUUAGAAAUUGAAAGAAGCUGGUCAUACAGCAUAAGCAGGCCUAUUACUUUUUAACAAUCCCCGAACUUACUGUAUUAAAGUAUAAUUCAAAGAAAAAAGUACGAUUUAAAAAGAAAAUCAUUCCCUGAUUAUUGGCAUAUAUAAUUCCAACACAAGAUAAAAGGCAAAGAUGUAAAUGGAAGCAAACCAUAUUUACACCCUGAUACAUUGUGAAAUAUAAAGUAGUUGACUAUUUAGAAAUUGGAUUAUCAUAUAAAGAAUAUAUACUUUCAGUUCCUUGAAGGACUUCAAUGCAUCACAGGUAUAUAAUAUAGAAAUAAAAUACACAAAGGUUACUUUCAGCAUCCUUGACAACCAGUGCAGCAUGAGACUACAACCAGUUAUAAAAGCCAAAAAGAAAAUAAAACAGUAAAGAUAUUGACAGUCCCAACAAGUAAGAAUCCACUUCAGCAUCCUGCACUUAACAGAACCAGCCUAAAAGCCACAAUAGUAUGUUGAAAAACCCAUCCAAAGUGCUGCAACAUGAGAGCUCCAUCCCCAUAAAAUAUCACACAUGACCUUUACAAUCACACCAAGCACCAUCACAAAAAGAAACCAAAUGCCCCAAUCCAAAAUAGUCAGUUAUAUAGAUUAAUGAAGGCAUUGAAUAGUGUAGAUAAUAUUAAUGAAGCAAUCAUCAAGGUACUCCCUAGGACUAGUCAGCCUCAUUCAAUCUUAUCAUAUCUAAGAAGCUAAUGCAUUAAGACAAGGAUCAGAAGCAUUUUUGAACAAUUCCUUGCUUUAGCCAUACCAAUCCAAUAGUUCACAAAAAUAAUCAACAUCAUGUUUAUAAAACGAAAAUGGUCCAGUUUACAUCAUGCACUACCUAAACACACAUCAGCUGACCAAAUCAUGAAACCAUAGGUAGGUCAUAAUCUUACUCAAAUACUACCUAAACUUAUAAGCACUUAAUUAAGUUGUUUACCGAAACGCACACAUAGUCUUGAACAAUGAAAAGCACUUACAAAUGUGACAUUGCGACUCAUAAGCUAAAGCUAUUAAAAAAAUAAGCCAAGCAAAAAUAUUUCAAAACAUUUUCUUGAAGUACUAAGUUUAAAUUGUUCCAUUCACUCACUUUCAAGGAAAAAGAAAAAAGCAGUCAGAUAUCAGCAAAAGAACAAAACUCAUAGCAAUGAAUUAUGACCUUCAAACUCGGAAAGUCUAUGGACAGCUCUUUUGUGUAAAUUGAGCUGUUUCUGACCCGAGUCAAGGGUGGAGGAUUCUUUCACCAAAUUCUCACAUGCGAAGGAAGCUGAGGAAAUCAAUACAAAUAGUUAAUGAAUUUGCUGAUAAUGCUAUCAUGACAAGAAAAAUGGAGCUCUCUUUGCAGCAUGAGGGGAACAAUCAGAAAAAGCAAAAAUCAGACUAGUUAACUAUGUUCAUGAGGCUCAAGAAUGAGAGUGGAAAACCGUAUUCAAACAAGACAAGAAUUUUGUCAAAGACAAAAGAAGCAUCAUAUUUAAAUUAAAAAUUAAAAAAAAAAACUCAAAAAAUAUGCAGGUGAAUAAAAUACAAAGAGGACAAAUUUUUCUAAACUAAAACUGAUUUGAAAGAAGAACCAUGAUUGUAACUUAACUGAACUAAGUAAGAUAGAAACUCAACAAUCACAAGCUGCGGAGGAGCAAACAUAGAUUAAGUGUGGAUUUUGAUCUUGUGCUUAAGUAAAAAGUAAAUGAAUUAAAAUUCAAAAAGGAGGAAAAAGGAUAGAGUAAGGUACAUAAUCUAACUAAAGCAGAAAACGAACCUCCUUCAGAUCCUCAAGAAUGCAGGUAAGCAAAUACUCCAGUUAUCAAGAACAAGCAUAGACCUGCAGAAAGAAGUGAGAAAGAAAAAAGUAGCACAAAAGGCUAGUGAGUAAGCCAAAUCAUAAGAGAGAUACAGGCCAAUGUUCUCAAGCAAAUACACUCUGCUUUUGUUGUUUGGAAAGGAUUUGAUUGUCCAAGAAGAAAUAAUCAGAAAGAGAAGUUUUUUUAAUUGAAAUGUGAGUGGUAUUAAUUAUAUCAUUGAGCUGCCACAAAUAUAAAAAUGUGACUGCAAGUUAACUCAACCAAAAACCAAAAAGAAAUAAUAUAUCAAACAACGAUGGUAUCAUGAUUGAAGUGGUUUACCUUACUUGCAAAAAAAUUGCAGUGUUAAAAGGAAAGAUCUGCAUCAUUUGCAUGGAAAGCAAUCUCCUCUGACACCUUAUUAAGAUCAAUGCCCUGCAAUCCAUUGAACAAAACAAGAAUGAAACAUGUAAUGUAAUCAUCAUAUAUAAAUCUACCAGAUAACAAACAAAGUACUAAGUUGAUUUUCUUACAGGUAAAUCAUUUCCAGAGUUGGCAAUUACCAGAUUUGAAGUGCUAACACCCAUGAGACCUCCUUCUUUAUCCUUUAACUGGUAACUAAUAUAACAGUGUUAGGAGAGAACUUGGUCAUCAUAGCAAAAAUUUGCCAAACCUAACUCUCCUUACCCUUGAUAUGAUUUCAAGUAGCUCAGGGUAAGUCACAUCAUUGAUGGAGGGUAAGUCAUUAGCAGCCAGUACAACCUACAUUCAUAAGAACAAGACAUCCAUAAGAAAAGCACAUGAAAAUAACCUUCAAUUUCACAUAACUUUAAAAUUGGCAAAUACUAUCACAACUAAAAUAAGUAACAAUUACUCUACUUUAAAGUACUUAAAAUAGAUUAACAAAACAUGCAGUUCUUCUAAAUUCCUUAAAAUGCAAAAUAAAUUCUAAGUAAUACAACACAUUGGUCCAUACCUGAACCCCACAGCGAAGAAGCUCCCUCGUAAAUGGCAAAAUACCCAAAAUGAUAUCCGCGCCUGAGUUAUCAACAAAUAUGAUAACCUGUCAUGAUAAACAAAUUAAUCAGGACGAUACUCCUGCACAAGAUAUGCCAGAAAACAUCAAAUGCAUCAUAAUAUUGUAUGUUUCUAUAGCAAUGGGAACAUCAAAUGCAUCAUAAUAUUGUAUGUUUCUAUAGCAAUGGAAACAUCAAAUGCAUCAUAAUAAAACCAAUGUCCUUAGCAGAUCAUAAACACAACACAGUACACACACAUAAUUUCAACAGAGAGAGAAUUGAUUCGAGCUGAUUCAGAUCUGAUUAUCCAUUAAGCUAUUCAAACCUAAACCGUUUUCAAUCGAUGAUUAUACCGGAGAGGAGAGAAAUCUCCAAAUCAACUAAUGAAAACCUAAUUUAGAAAUCUGAAUCGGUUAAUUAAGAAAAAAUCGGUACCGGAGAAUGCAGCAUGCGACGGAUUAGAGGUUGUUGAGUCUCUGAGGGAUGCAUCCAUGAGAAAAUCACAGAGAGAACUGCGAAUGAAGAAGGAGAAGCGGUUAGUCAGCUUUUGAAGCUCGUUUUCCUUUCUCUUUAGCACAGUUAAAUAGCAAAGAGAAGCAAAGUAGGUCAUACCGACGGCGGAGGAGGCUGUUGCUACGACGGCGUGCGGUGGUUGUUGCCACGGAAAUGGAAGCGAACGGUGAAAUCGGGGAAGGUUGAAAUCGGUGGAAAACGAGAUCAAAUCGAUGCAAAACGAGAUCAAAUCGGUGGAAAGCGAGAAAAAAUCAGUGGAAAUCGCUUGCAAUCGUGAGCUUCCAUGGUUGAACGAGUUCUUGUGUGAGAGUGAGACUGAGAACGAGUUCUGUUCUGUGAGUGAGAGUGAAAUCAGAGUUAAUCAAUGAAAAUUUUGCGGGGGUUAUUAAAAACCCCCUUAACUAAUAAAAAUUGAUGACAUUUGCGGGGGUUAUCAAAACCCCCGCUAAAUAACCCCCACUAAAUAACGUUUUUUUUGUAGUGAUUAGAGAUAUUUUUGCAAUUUUACUUUGGCAAGAGAUUAAAAUUCACCUAUUUUACAGGAAUCAAACCUUAGUCAACACAAAAUGAAAAUAAGAAAGCUGCUAGCAAUUGUUUGUUGGGGUUAACUUCAAUGGUGAAGCAUGUCCCACAUCGCGCAACAUCUUAAAUAAAUGAGGUCAAAAAUAUGUUAUUGGUGAAGUCUUACAUUGCUUAGUGUAGUGAAGUAAGGAGAGGACAAUACUAUAUAUUAUACUCUAGUUCUUUGUUUUUAGAUGUAUCAGUAGCACUUUAAACUUAUAUUUGACUUAGUCUAAAUACUUGCUUGGUGAGAGUGUGCGGGUACUGGGUAUUGGGGAGAGGUUCAGAGAAGUCUAUGUGUUGUAAUAAUUUUAAGAUAGUGAUUUUUCCUUGGUUGUCGAUUUAGAUAAUGGUCGUGGUUUCUUAAACGGGUUUGAAGUCUUUCCACGGAAUAUUCUUAUAUUUUAAUUAUGUUUAUUUUUCUUCAAUUGUGUUAUUUUCUAAUAGUAACAUUUACUUUGACAUUAUCUCUCCAACAUUUCAUCAUGGAUAUGUUGAAACUUAUGAAGAGCGCGCUCACUUAAUUAUGUGCCUCACAUCUAAUUUAGUAGGUCAUGUAUGAAUUUCAACUAAUCACGGAGUGUUAGAAAAAUAGUAUUAGAGUGAGAAUUGCUAGUAUUUUUUCCGAAAUAUAUUAUAGAUAUAAAACGGUUUUUCUCCUUUCUUAUUUUUUAGUGUAACUAAAAAUUGUUAGUCAAACAUAACUUUAUUUUCUUUGUUUAUGUUUAGAAUAGUUAUCAAAUUUUUGGAUGACAAAUGCCAAUGAUAAGAUUUGAGAAAUCUGAGCCCACGAUGACUUUUUUGCUUCAUUAAUUUCUCUCCUUUCAUGGUGCUCUUUUAAUCUUGUGUUUUGGCUAACAAUUUAUCUCGAUUAAUGGGAUAACAGGAGAUAAGGUACUUUUGUAACUGUUCUCUUUCAAAAUUGGCAUUAGCAAUUGUUGAGACUGACUAGAGUUGGAGGACCACGUACCCAAUCCAUUAGUUAAGGAUCAAUCAACCACCGACGAAGAGUACACAAUGCCUAACAAUGUUAGAGCAUGCUUGGAUUCUUGUUAUACUUCUAUUCAUUCACCUUCCUUUCUUAAAGGGUUAUAUAUCCAUUAACCUGGCUUGAAAUACCAAAUCAUAUAAUCCAAUAUACGAAACAUUAAAGCUGGGGUUUACUUACAUUUGACCUAAAGCAGAUGGAGUUCAAAAAGACAUCAUAAUUUUGUGUUUCCACUUAUAAUAUCGGGGAAUUUGUUAAGGAAAUUUGAAAUAUGUGUUGUUUGGUGUGAUGUAUAGUAUAAGAUUCGAUUAUAUUAGCUUAUUAGGUUUGAUAGGAUAAAGUCUCAUAAAAAUUUAAUACUACAUUCGGUCCUAUUUAUAAGAAGCAAAAAAAAUUCACAUAGUUUAAGAAAUAUAGUUAAACUAGAUAAAAUGCAUUAAAUUUGUCUUGAAUUAAAAUACACUUCUAAAAUUACCCUGAAGAGUGAGAAAGAGAUUAAAUAAUUAAUGAGACACAUUUUACAAGUUAGAACUAAUAAGGACAUCAUUGGGAAAAAAAUAAUUAAUAUAGCUCAAACUUUCAUUUGGUUCUUAUAAAAAUGACCAAGAUUUUUCUUCUCUUUCAUUCUUAUAAAUAGGAGCGAAGGUGGUACUAUACAACGUUUCGUCAUACACUAUAUAACUUAUCACAUUGUUUAAGUUAAUAUAAUCCAAUGCUUUGUGAAAUAUUGAAUAUAAUAGAUAAUAUCAAUGUGAGGAUGAUGUUAAUGGGUGGUGAAGAUGGUGGCAGCAGCGGCGGUAGCUGCAGUAGUGGUGGCAGUGAUGUAGGGUGGGGGUUGUGGCGGUGGUUGUAGAGUUGGUGGUGGUGGUGGCGAUGGCGGUGAAGGGUGGUGGCAGUGUUGUAGGGCGAUGGUGGCAAUAGUUGCAGUAGCAGUUCGGGUGGUGGUGGCGGAGGUGGUGGUAUUGGAAGGUCAUGGUGAUGGCAACGGUGGUGGUAGUUGUAGUGGUGGCGAUAACGAUGGUGGUAGCGAUGAUGGUGGCAGUGGUGGAUCGUGGUGGUGGCGACGAUGGUGGUGAAGGGUAGUAAUGGCAGCGAUGGUGGUAGAAGUGACAAUAAUGAUGGUGGCAGUGGUGGAGCGUGGCGGCCGCGACAAUGAUGAAAGCGGUGAUGGUGGCGGCAAUGACAGUGGCGAUGGUGGUGGUGGCGGCGGUUGAUUGAAUAUUUUCAAGUAGCUUAUAUAUCAUUCUCUUAUCAUGUCUUAUUCAUCAUCAAUAGGUAGAUUAAAUGAUUUUAUAUUUCAUAAACAAAUUUCAAAACAGUUUCAAGCUAAUUUUAAAAUUAAAAGAAAGAGUUUGUGAUUAUGGUUUUUAAUGUCAAGAACAUGUGUAACACACCGUCAUCCCCUUCCACACCAUACCACCAUGCACCGCUGUUGUCACCAUCGCCACCACCAACUUCCACCACUACCAAUACUGCCACCACAAUCGCUGCUACCAUUGCCACAAUCCACUGUCACCACCGCCAUAGUCACUGCCAAUAUCACCACCACCGUUAUCAUUGUUACCAGCCUACAGCAUUGGCAUUGCCACCACCACCUCCACCGCCAUCAUCCACCAUUAUUGUCGUCGUCAUCACCACCACCUUCAUUCGCCUUCUGUCAUUGUCACCAUCGUUGCCACUACAGGUUAACGUCCAUCACCGUCAUGACUGUUACGAAUUUACAAAAUUUACAACUACUUUUGAAAACUAAAAAUCACAAAAAAACAUUAAUUUAUAAAACUAAAAAUUAUUUUUUGGAACUGAAUAGAACAUAUACGAUCAAUAUCCUCGAAAAGAGCUAUGCGGGGAAGGGCGAGGUUGAAGAUGGUGUGUAAGGCCCAAGUUUAUAAACUUAUGUCAAGUAAAUAGAAUCCUAUUCACGAUUAGGGUUGAUGUAUCGUGAAGGGAAACCUGAACUAGAGUUUACCAAAUGAAAUAAGUUUAUGAAGGAGAAAGUUCGGGAAAAGUCUAAGGAUUGUACCAAAGUCGGUAAAAGUUAUAGCACGAUCGUUAUACGCUUAAACCUAGGGCAGAAACCCUAGUAUAUAGCUAGUUUUCACUUAUAGGCACGAUGGAAGUUAAUUCCAAAAAUCUUCAGAGAAAUGUUAGAACUUCUCUUAUUCAUUGUAUGACAAUCGUUUCGAGGCGAAACUCUAGAAUCUACGAACGUCCGAUUCCAAUCAUCGGAAGUUUGCCGAAACCGAAACCCUGGUAUUUCAAAACCCUAGAAUCACCCGACAAUGAAGACUUUCUCUAUUCAGAGCUUCAAAUGAAGAUUCUACACGCAUACACCCAUUUCUCUUGAUGAUUUCAAUCUUUCUUCAGAAGGAAGUUUUCUAUUCCGACAUUCGAUGCAAAAAGUAACUUAUCGGGUAAAAUAGUUUUACACCGACUUUGCAUUAGUCACCUAAAAUACUAGGAAACCUCUUUUGAGUUUUGGAUUUAUGUUGCCAAAACAUAUCUUAGAAUUCACGGAGAAUGAAGCCGGAAAAAUCAGAAUCGCGAAACUUUCAUUUUCCCGCGUUUUGCCAACCUCUAUAUAUAGCAAGAAAGGAGGAAAAAAUGGCAAAUAUCUUACCCAUUUUCUCUCCAAACCCGCGAGCUCACCAAGAGGAAGAGGAAGAAGAGUUUUUGUUCAUUCCUUGCUUGAUCAUCGAUUAAUCAGUUGCUACUUCAAGGUUUCGAGGUAUAGUCGCUAAUCCUUACCUCUGAUCGCUUUUUCUAUAGCUUUUCUCUAUGUCUUUCUGUGCUCAUAGUUUUGAGGUUUUUGCAAAACUAUCCUGAAUACUUCAUUUCUGAUUCUAAACAUCUUCCUUACGUGCCCAAGAUCACUUCUGUCGGAUUAGUUUUUCCGUUAUGUCGCCGAAAUUCCGCCGGAAUCAAUUUUAGACUCAAAUACCCAUUUUGGGGCAAAGCUUCGCCCUUUGGGCUGAAAACUAUCGCCUUAGCUUAGUGCUAGUAGGAUUAGUUGUCAUAAACGUCGUUGGUGACGUCCCCAUCCAAUUUGCUUUUCGAAAUUUCAGUUUUGAAUUUCUGAGCUAAAAUAUUGACCAAAAUACCCCUGCGACAGUUUUUGAUCCGAUAAUUUUUCCGAGUUUAGAAUACCCUUAGUUAUGACUAAUAAUAACCUAGGAACCAAGUUUGAUCGAAGAAAAAUCGAACCCCACAAUUACCAAAAGUGGCCGAGCACUCUAAGGGGGGAGGGGGAAAAUUCCUUUUUCGAAAACUUGUCCUUUCGCGCUAGAUUAUCGUACCUCGGAGUAUAUACUACUUCGUGUAACCUUAGUAAGUAUUGAUAGCUUAGUUUCUGAUAGAUUCUGAUAGUAUUUCUGUGGUUUUGCUCUAAAGGUGAUUUUGAGGAAUUCCCAGAGGAGCAAGGCUUUGAUUGUGAAGAAGUGUUAGAAGAUCAUCCUGGAGAAUCUUCAGGUGAGGGCUACUCACUGAAUCUCUAGUUAAUGCUUAGGGUCGAUGCUUUCGACAUUGUUUACUGUUUAUGCACUUGUUUGUGUUUGAUUGGAAAAAUGUUUUCUGAGGCUUCGGUUGACAAUGUAGAUGAUUCAUCUACUGAAUGCUUUUGAGAUUGAAUUUCAUGCUAAGUGCUAAGUGGGUAAUUUAGGAUGUGUGAUGCAUGCCUUAUAUGCUAAGUGCUACGUGGUUAUUGCAUAAUAUGUUGAUAUAUGACAUGUUGGUUGAUUGUGCUGAGUUAAUUAUGCUUUUGCAAUGAAAUCUGAGAUUCUGAGUAGUGAGAAUAGCGGGCAGGUCAUGCCGAUUUUAUUUUGAGAGUUUUGAGAAAGUUUGAUAGGACGAAUGAGAUUCGGACCUUGUUAUGGUGUUUCAGGGAUGGAGACAUUCUCUGGUGUCAGUUGGGGAUUAGGAGAUCCCGAGAACUUAUAAGAUUUUGCGAUAAGACUAAAAGGAUAUUAUUUUGAAAAGAAAACUCAUAAGACAUUAAACAACCUCUAAAUCUUCAAAUAAUGAUAACAAACUCGAAAGGAAGCUUCGGAUGCAAAUCUUAGUUUUGGAAAACGAGAAGUGUCGUCGGAUCCAAGUGUUGAGGAGUUGAGAAGUAUUGAGUAUGUUGAUGCUCUUGUGCUGUUGGAGCAGCUGUGUUGUUGGGCUAUCCGGGGGAUAAGUCCGGGAAAUUGAUAGUUUCCGAGUAUGUUGAUACUCUUGCUCGUUGAGCAGUUUUGACCAUCGGAUGGAGAUGAGUCGGAUGAUUUGGAGAUCAUCAUGAGUUAUGUGUUGUUGUGAAGAAGUGUCUUUUGUCGCAGAAUCGACUGUUACCUUAGGGUAAGCUUUUAGAGACUUUAGUUUAGCUAGAACACGUGGCGACGUGUCGAGUGAGAUUCGGAGACGUUGUUUGACUAAUCAUCCUGCAUUCAUGCAACAUUAAUGAGGUAUUAACACAGGACGUACUCUGGACCUCGUCGGUUUCCAAAAUGGUCAUAAGACCCGGAAUGCCGUGUAAGAGCGUUUGUAGACGUCUCUUGUAGCAGACCGAAAUGACAGACCUACGGGUUACGGCUGAUCUGACUACCGUUGUUGUUGGAGUAAGAGGCACGCGGGCCGAAAUGGUCCCACCGUGGCUGGUGUUAGGGCUGAUCCGUUUGAUGUCCAUCCCUUUCCGGAAUGCAUGUGGUUAACUGGGUUAACCGUCAUAUCAUGUCAUGCAACAUGCAUACUGACUUAGUUGUUGAGUGUGAUUGAUAAUUGUUAAUCUUACCUGAUGCAUGUUGAAUGUUAUUAUUGUCGUUAUGUUCUUUGUGGAAUAUGCAACCCUAGGAUGUUAUCCCUAGUUAUAAGCCUAAGUGGCUAUUUCUUAUCUGUACCUAUUGGGUUUAUUAUCUACAUAGUUCUUUGGAGUUGACCCUCGCGUCUUCUGUGUGUGUUUUGGCGGACAACGCCUUUUGUCAGAUGUCCAUUGCGGACUGGUUCACAAUGGUCCACCCUUCGGGGGGGAUUAGAUACGAGAUGAUUGACCAGGAUGGCCCCGGUUCGUGGGUGGUAGACCCCGCUAGCCAUCGCGCGACGUAUUCCGGGAGGAUCAUGGAGGAUAGGGUAGAUAGGGAAGGAGUACUGAGGAGGAGCACUAUCAGCUUCAACUUGCCACCUGGUGUGCACUGCGGACCAGGAUUAGGAGGAGCACCGCCGCCACCGUCGUCUUCGGAUGAUGAGGACCUCUCCGAGGAGGAGCCUGUGGGAGUGCAUUCAGCAGAGUCCAGCACACUCACCGUUGCGAUCAUUGAUGAUCAUGGUUCGGGCCCAAAGCCCGUUAGUCCAGCACCGGAGCGCAUUGCGGUUGCGAGGGGAGGUCGGAUAGUGUUUGUAGACUUGGUCGUUCUGGAUUCUGAUUCAGACGACAAUCAUGCCAGCGUGUAGGUUUUAGUGCUGGUGUGAGCUCCUCGAGAUAGGAUUAGUGUAGGAGUAGAGUCUUAGCUCUGAACAUCAUUUGUUUCUUUGGGGACAGGGUAGUUCCGCCUAUAGCUUUUUGUGUGGUUUCUUUACGGGAAUCACAGAGAGUUGGUUGGACUUAGGAGGUCUUUUCAGGCCGAUGGGCCAGCUUAUUCUCAGUUUUGAGGGAUGGUGUUGCGGACACUUCACCUUUAUAUUUGGUUUGUACAUAUUGCCUACGGGCGUUACAUGUUUCUUCUUUCCGUCACUGGAGGUUACUCGUGACGAGGUUGCUACUUACAGCGGGGGCUGUUAUAUAUAUUGUAUACUAGUUCUGUUAUUUUUCACAUUUGGGUUUCAUUUAUUUCAGUCUUGUCUAUAUUAUUAUCGGAAAAAAAAAUAUUCACGUUUUUCCGCAUUAAGUUUAUUUUUGGUUACUAAAGUGACGCCACCGAAAUCGGGGUGUUACAUGGUGGUUGGCAUGUUGAGACGUCGUGGAUUGGUGGUGCGCCGAAGAAAGCUUAUGUCAGUGUUACCUACGAAGACACUCUAGUGCCUAAGUCAGACGGAAAAAUGGAGAAAAGCUAGAAAAGAUUAGAACUAGAUAACUUACCUUUUAGGGUUGGAAUGGCUUGGUAUUUAAAGGGCAAGGACAAGGGGCUUUUGGGUUUGGCUCUAAUAUCUACGCCUCAACCAUGCCUCUUGGCAGUGCGAUCUUUGUACUACGCCAAUUAUUGUGUGUUUUGAGGGGUUUGACGCCGGAAUGUAGCAGGCUUUUAGAAAGAUCGGGUCAACCCUAUCGCGCCCGAUCCUCUAUUUUGUAGAGUAUUCUCAAGUAAGGUCCUUUUCACUUUGUGCUAGUGAUGGCGAGCUCCACGAGCCACCACUUGAUCAUGCGCUUGUUUUCCAUGUAGUAAUGAUUAAGGGUUGAGAUUAGUCAUGACAUUAGGUGGAUCCCGUACCUGUCGUUAUGUGAGUUUGGUCUUCACCACCGCUAUGUGUAGAUGUUUCUGAUAGGGUUUUGUGUGGGAUAGCCAAAGUGUUAUUGGCUAAGUUAUCUCCUUCGGGUGCUAGUGUCGUGCAUCGGUUACCACGUCGUUGUUACUGGUCUUUGCUUAUAUCGUAUCUCAGUCACUAUGUUGGUGACCUGGUCUUGCUUGUGUCAUCUCUCAAUCAUCAAUUUAGCGACAUCAACAUGUGUCACGUUACUUGAUAGGGUCCUUAUCCUUUUUUUGCGAAGUCCUUGAAUGGGUCGUUGGCCCUGACAUCGUCGAUUCCGACUUAAGCGGAGUUUUCAGGACCUUUGGAACAACAAUCAAUUAACCACGAGUGUCAUCGAGUUACAAGAUUAAGAAGGUCGCGGCGACUUCCCAAACCCUUAGCCUUGGGUGUCGCCAAGUUACGAGAUUAGGAAGGUUGUCAGCGACCUCCGGAUCACAGUAGUCCCCUAGUUUCGGGUGUUGCUUGGAGGGGACAAUCGAGCUAAAUGUUAAGGUAUGAGCUCGAAGCAACCUCUUAUCCAAUUAUAAGAUUAGAGAAGUCGUCGACAACCUCGGAACAAAAACUUUUGAAACAUAAAAUAAAAAACCGAGUCGAAAAUGACAAAAUGUUUGUGUGGCCGUUUUCACUAAUUCAUGUCAUUUUCAUGAUAAAUCACAUGUUUUGUAACAUCUUAAAAAUCCACCCUCAAUCUCAUUACAAGUUUGUAUUUUCUUUACAAAACAAAAUUUUGCCAUCAAAACCCGCAUCCCUUUAGGCAUACGUUAAAGGGCCCCCAUGAAACAAGAGUCACAUUUGACAUGCUAAAAAUAAAUUGUGAGAAAAAUAACAGCUUAAAAAGCAGUACUAUAAGGGAAAAAGGGUAGGGAUAUAGUGGCGUUACUCGAGCAUAAAAGAAGGGGGAGAGUGAUGGUGAAAGGGGAAGAGUAGUGGUUGGAGCAUAAAAGGCAAAUGGCGUAGUAGUGAAGGUGAUUGAAGAAGGUGAUGAUGGAGGAAGGUGAAUGCAUGAAUAGUCAUCUGAUGAAUUCUGAAAACUUUGAAGGAUGGUGGGUGCGUGUUUCGAGGAAUGUAAAAUAAAAUGACCAACUGAAAGGUUGGCAAUGCUAAAGGACAAACAUGAAUAUACGUUCAUCCAGUGACCUGUACCUUCCUUGUGGGACCCACCAUCUUCUCCAAUUCCCAUGCUCUGCCCAAUAAAAUACUGUGCCCCUCCUUAUCAUUAUCAUCAUUAAUAACUAUAUUUUUCGGAUGAAUCAUGCAUUAAUAACUAUUUACAACUAUUGUACUAAUGUCAAAAAAAAAAAAUACUAACUUUAGUAUUAAUGUUUAAGGUGUUUAAAUAUCCGAAUUGAUGAUCAAACAUAUUUGAUUUUGGUCAGGAUUUCCUAAUUUUAAAUCCUACACUCGAUAAAUCAACCCUAUCUCAAUUAGAUUAGUUCGGUUCGGGUGGUUUAAGAAUAAAAAAAUAUUAUUUUAAAAUUUAUGCAAAAUGUAUUCUAAGAAUGUAAAAAAAUAUUAAAAUUUCAUAUAGUCCAACAUCUCCAAAAGAAUAAAAUAUUUCAUAAUCUAUAUAAUCAGAAAAAAAAAAUCCGAACUGAACCAAUAGAUUAGGGAUGACAAUGGGUCGGGUAGGGUGCGGGUUUUGCCAAACCCAAACCCAAACCCGAAAUCAAAAACCCACACCCGCACCCGCACCCGAACCCGAAAUGGGUGGUGAACUUAAACCCACACCCGAACCCAUUGGGUUUCGGGUUCACCCGACCCGUACCCACACCCGCACACAACCUCAAACAAACAGCUGAACCCGGAAACCCGACCCAAUCCAAUGGUGCUCUCAGUUCUCCAAAACAGCAUUAGCUUCAUCCCUAAAUAUUUUGCAAAGAACUUCAUAACUCUUGUCCAUCUGCAUUUGAGAAUCCAUAAAAAAUGAAGAAUGAAUAGCAGUUUCUUUUACCAUUUAUAACAGCAACGUUUACACCUUUUAGGUGUGCAAUAUUAAGUCAACCAAUGCAAAAUCAGAUGCUGCAUCAAUAUUAGCCCAGGUUGAAGGUUAAAGUGUCAUACUGGAUUUGCUACAUUAAGUAAUAUGUCAUUCUUUUUAUCCUAGGAUUUGCAAAGAGAAUACUCAUUAAUGGUUAAACAUGGAUUUUCAAAUUUGUAAUUAAUCUUCUUGAAUCCUAAUUUCAUGCUAGUAUCUUGCUGACAUGCUCCUUCAAAGUUCAAACAGAAUAAGCUAUUUAUUAAUGGCUUACUUACAAGAGAGCAGAAUGAAGACCAUGUGUGAAUGCACACCACAGACAACUGAAUAUAUAUAUGUUAAUCUAAUCAUGAAUGAACAGAUUUUAAUUUCACUAUUUGAUGUAUAUACAAUGAAUCGGAGGCCUAAACUACAUACUCCAAAAGUGUGAAUUGAUAAAUUGAUCAAAGUUGUUCCGAACAUCCAAAUCAGUGUUGACCCAAAGUGGGUCCUUUCCAUCCAAUUUCCAAUUACAAUUGUUCCUAAACUGGAGCCUAAUGGAGGGUUCCUACAGCUGGAAAAUGGAAAUCUAAUCUCCAAUUCUCAAGAAAACAUAUGACUUUGAAUAAAACUAGACUAUGAUAUAUGCAUGUAAGAUUAUUAUAGUAGCUCUAGUUGGGAAGAGGGGAAAUUAAAGAAUAGAGAAGAGGAGAUAGAAGACAUACUUUUGUCAUGAGAAUCAGUAUUGAGAAUGGGAAUAGAGCAGAGAUAGGCAGCAUUAGUUCUACUUGAGCACUAAUAGCAUGAAGAAGCCACUUUUUUUAUCAAAAUCAUCACUUCUCCAGUGACAAUUUCCUUCCUCCCUUCCCAGGCAGUUGAUGCAUUCCUGAUUGACAUUAUAUUUCACCUCAAACCCCUCAUCCAAACCUUGUUCCAGAUCAAACAGAGGCUAAGGGGAAACGGUUGAAGGGAAGAGAGAAAACCUGAAGCGGAGGUGACGGCGGCUCCGUGGACGCUUGGACGGUGGCUCCGUGGACGGAAGAAAGAGACGGAGCGGGCCUGGAAGAGGAGAACGACAGCUCCGUGGACGGAAGAAGGAGACGGAGCAAGACUGGAAGAGGAGAAUGGCAGCUCCGUGGGCGGAAGAAGGAAACAGAGCAGAACUGGAAGAGGAGAAGAAAGCCGUGAUCUGAAAGUGGAGAAGAAAGCUGUGACCUCAAACCCUAAUUCUAUUCUAAUAACAUAUAUAUACCUAAGGAUAUAUCUGGAAUUUCACUUAUACAAACCGGGUUCGGGUAGGGUUCGGGUGCGGGUUUAGCCAAACCCAAACCCGAACCCGAAAACACUUUCAGCAAUCGGGUAAAACCCGAACCCGAACCCGAACCCAUUAACUCGGGUUUUCACCCAAAAAAAUCGGGUUGGGUUGGGUCGGGUGCCCAUGGGUUCGGGCUUCUCUGCCAUCCCUACAAUAGAUGAUUGUACAUAUUUAAUUUCGCUUAAUUGCAUCUCGGGUUCGAAUCUUGUGUAUGAAAAAAUCGCAUUGAAAAAGUUAAUUAGUCUCAUCACAAUGUAAAUGUUUUCGAUUCAAAUAAGAUUGUCUCUCCUGAAAAAUACAUGUGAGAAAAAAACUAGAAUUUAGUUGAUAUGCACUGUCAGUGUAAAAUAGUUUUACACUGACAUCCAAUUGAAUUCUGCAAAACAAGUAAGUAUUUUAUUUUAAUUAAAAUUAAAAAUGAAUGUAACUCUCUCCCCUGCGUGACAAAUAUUGAUUGGAUGUCAGUGUAAAACGUGCAUAUCCAUUAAACUCAAAAAACUAUUCAAAUAAAUAUUUUGGUAUUUGUUUAGAAACUAAAAAUAGUAUCUCUUUAAGAAAGAAAAAAGUUAUAUCAUUGAUGAACAAGUUCUGUAUGUUAGUAAAACUAAAAAAUUGAUCAUAUACGAAGAUGUGAUAUGGAAAGUUUGUUCCUCGUUUUAAUAUUUACAUUGAAUAAUUUUAAGAAAGCUCCCAAUAUUUUAAAAUAAUAAACAUGUAGUAUUAAAAAAUAAUGUUAAAUAGCAAUUUAUUAGCAUUUUCUCUCUCUCGGACUGAUGAUACGUGAUACCCGUUCGGUCAAUUGGGUCAAAAAACACCCUGAUCACCACCUUCACCACUAUCCCACACCUCUCAUCACCACCACCCUCACUCUCUUUCUCAAUUUCUCUACUUCUUUUUAGGUUUUCUUUUUGCUAUUUUAAUUUUUAACUACUGAAGGUUAAGGUUAAGAAAUUAAGUUAGGUUAGAUGUUUGAUUCUUCUCUUUAAGUAAACUCUUAAGAAUUGUUUGAUUUUUUUUAUUUUACAAAAGGAAGUCUAAAAAGUAGGAAAACUAAACUAAGGCAUCAAGGCAUAGUGCCUUAGGCUAUGUUUGGAUUGAUGGAACAUAAUAGAGCGGAGCGGAAUGGAAUAUAAUGGAACAGAAUGGAGCGGAGCGGAAUGGAAUAAAAAUUUCAUUCCAUUGUUUGGAUAUUUUAUGACGGAGCGGAACAAAGUUACCACUCCAUUGUUUGAAUAAUGGACGGAGCGGAAUGAGUUAUAAUUUUUGUUAUUCUUAUAUUACCCUUAUUUUAAAAUAAAAGACAAUCUGAAAAAGCAAUUGAAAAUUAAAAGAAAAAGCUAUGCUAGGGAAGCUAUAACUACAAGGAUGAUGCUUUAUCAACACAUAGUUUUAAGUGGGGAGCACCAUAUAUCCUGGACUACCAAGCCGAUUGGAAAAAGAAACAUGAUUGUUAAUUUGUUAUCUUGAUGUUGUUCUGAAGGGAAACAGAGAUGGAUAUAUUGAAGAAAUUACGAUUAAGAAUUGAGGAUCCACCACGUAGGAAACAUAUGGUGUACCUUGGAGGUGCUGUCCUUGCAGGAAUAAUGAAGAAUGCACCAGAGUUCUGGAUAAACAGGGAAGAUUGUUACGUGAUGGGAGAAAAAUAAACGUGAUAGGAGGAAAUAGGGCCACCAACUAGGAGAAGUUAUGAAUGGAGGUUACCAUGGGUAAAAUUGUAUUUUCAUAAUUUAAUUAAGAGAUCAGUUUUUUCUUCCAUUCAUUUCCAUCCAAUUUGGGGGGAGCAAAUCUGAAGGAAAGUAAUGGAGCAUGAUGGACCUUGGACCACUACUUACCACUCAAUUCCAUCAUAUUUUAAAUAAAACAAACAAUGGAUCACUUUCACCUUCCCCACCACUCCACUCCACUCCAUCCCCCUCCCCCAAUCCAAACAAAGCCUUAAUGGCAAAAGAUGAUGAUAACUUCCAAACGUGUUGUGCACCCAUCUGUGACGUCUGUCAAGCAAGACAGUCAGCAGUGUUGUUCUUCUCCCAUGACACAUAUUCAACCUCAACGCUUCACUCCCAAGCGAGCAUAGGACGAACCCUUACAAUUAUAUCACGUGUCCAGUACAGAGGUAUAUCUGAAGUGCUCUGAAUUGCACUAACCACACUGCCGCAAUCUGAAACACAAGCUAUGUCUCUAUAUCCAAGGUCCUAGGCAUACUGCAAACCGAGUUCCAUUGCUAAAAUCUCCGCAAGAAAGGCACUACCAUGGCCAAGGCUAAGAGAAACCCCAUAUACCUAAGUGUUAUAUGGUUGUCUCGUACUACAACCCCACACCCCAUACGAUGUACGUUUGUGUUUCCCUAGAGCAGAAGCAUUGCCACCGCGUCCAUCAAAUCCUGACCAUCUAAGCCAAUUAUGAAUGUCCCCCAUAAUCUCUCUAAGCACAAAAUUGACCUGACAUGGCUCGGUCCCAAAAAUUGAUCCUCUCAUUUCUCCAAUGUCACGCCCACCACAACGCCACUACCUACUAUUGCUGCACCAAUUUCCGAAACCAGACAGCAAACGAGAUAUCCUCAUGAAGCGUUGGCAAGGCCGCACAAACGAAAUAAAUGAUUAACAUCGUCCAAUUCUGCAUUACAUCGCGUCCAACUUAUUGACAAUCCUGCAUGCCAUGACUUGUUUGAUUAGUUUGAUUGGCGUGCAACUCGCGUGCAACAUAUUUUAAUUAUUCUCAUAUACCGAUAAUUUAGUUUUUAAAAUUGAAAAUGAUAAUUGUUUUGAAUAAAUUGUGACAAAUAGAAUUUCAAUUUUGUUUAGUAUUUUAAAAUAGAAAACAAUUUUCAAAAACUAUAGUCAAAUAAACUCUUAGAUUUGAGUGUGAAUUAAAAAAUUAUAAUUAAAAGAGUUAACUUCACCAUGAUAUGAAUGUUCUCUACUUCAAGACAAAAUUAAUUAUAGUGAGAAGUUUCUAAUAGCACAUUUAAAUUAGAUUUUUUACCGACUCAAUUUUAGCCAUUAGAAACUACUCACUAACCUUUUCACUUUAAUUGAUUCAACUUUUCAAACACUUAUUAUUCUUUACAUGAAUGAAUAAAUGAACUUGUAUUUGUAGUCUUAAUGUCCAUGUUCGAAGUCUUUGUAAGUGUGUGAGAGAUCCUUUAAGUGGAGUUUCUCGGCGUACAUUGGGCUUGGUGCCAUCGUGUUUAAACGGUUCAUCUCGGUCUUGUGUCAAACAGCUCUUACACUUUUCCAAUUAAGUCGGGAGUGGUAUGUUUCUGAACCAGGUUGCGCUAGCCUUCCUUAUGGUAUCUGCUUAAAAGUAAACAUGUGUAGGCUAGCUGUAACACUGUCAAGUCAUAUGGAUUGAGUCGUCUGGAACCAUCUCUUCCAACAAAUCAUUCUCUAUAUACAUGCACCGCUCAAAGAUAGAACAAGCUCUUAUUAGCAAUGGAUAUUAUUAUAAACUAACAUUAGCAUUUAAUAUUCUUAUAAUAAAUAAUAUAUUAAAUAAUAUAAAUUUUUGUUAUAUUAUUUCAAAAUUUGAAAACUGGAGUAGCUAUAAUUUCUUUCACUAACUCUUAGUAAAGUCAAUUUUACUUAGUGAAGUUAUUUUCUAGUCAUGCCAAUUUUACUUUUUUAUAUAUAGGAUAAAAUUUAUAUAAAUUGAUAGUAUAAACAAUUUUACACAUACAUUCAAUUAUAUCUCUCAUUUUUUAUUUUAAAUUACAAUUUAAUCAUGUCAAGAAACAUUGGGGUAUUCUAAUUAGAUAAUUGUGUUAAAUAAAAAAUCAAUACAUAUCAAUUAAACUUAUAUGUACAUAUGUGUGUUUAUAUUUUUCAUUGGAAAUUCAUUUCUUUUAUCUAAACCAAUAAAUCAAUAAUAAUGCAAAAUCAUUAAAAAUAAGUUAAAACUUAUCAAUUUUUGCACUGAAAGUCAAAUUUUAUACAUUUAUGUUAAAUUAUUUCCAAAUUUUAAAAUUGGACUUGUAAUUAUUUCUUUCAUUAAUGCUUAGUCAAUUCAAACUUUAUUCAAGUCAAUUUUACAUUUAUAUACUAUAUAAUAUAAUAUUUUUUAUACUUGGAAAAUAAUAAUAUAAUAUAAUAUAAUAUAAUAUAAUAUACUCCCUCCGUCCCUAAUUAUAAGCUAAAGUUGAGACUUUUGUUUUGUCACUAAAUAUAAGCUAAAGUUGUAAAAGCUAAUAUUUCUUUCCAUAUUUAUCCUUGCAUUUAUUGUUAAUGGAGCACUAUUAGUAGUAUAAUGAUUAAAAAGUGCUAUCUUAAAUAGGGGUAGACAUGGAAAGUUGUACCUUUUUUUUGAAAACCAAUGCAUUAAUUAAGACUUUCUUAAUAAGCGUGAUUUUUACAACUUUAGCUUAUAAUUAGGGACGGAGGGAGUAGUUAGAUAAUUUUAUAUUAAAUUUAUAAAAUAAUAAUUAUAUAAAAUCAUUUUUAAUGCAAUUGUUUUAAAUAGUUUUUUUCACAACAAAAGUUCAUUUAUUGAAAAAAGGUACUGUACAUAGAAUCGUGAGAAGGUAGCAGAAUGCUUGAAAAAGAGAACAACAUACUCUCCCAAAUGAAACAAAGGAAAACAAAACAGCAACAACUGAAAUAUUUAUUUGUAUCAUAUAAAAAUACUUUUGAUAUUAUAAUUUUAUUUGUAUCAUAUAUGGUGUUUAAGACACAUUUAUUUAACUUUCAAUAUUCAUUUUUUUGUAAAAUAAUUUUUUUGGAAAUUCAAAUAAAUAAAUAUAUAUUAAUAAAGAGGGAAUGUGAAUAUCUUAAAUUAAUAUGAAAUUCAUUUUAAAAAGCAUUAAUUACAGAUGUAAGAAAUAUUAUUUAGAAAUUUGUACAAAAAUCUAUUUUAACAGCAAAAAAAUAUAUUAUUUAGAAAAUUGUACGAAAAUGUAUAAUUUUUUUUAGAAAAAUCCAACAUUUCUAAAGAAAAAAAAUAAAUAGACAAUUUUUUUUUUCAAAAGUGAAAUUUGCAUUAAUAUAAAUUAUGCUAAAAAGCACUUUUGGCCCCUGAUGUUUCAAGUUUGUGCAAAUUCUGCCCCUACUCUAUUUUUGUUGAUGUUUCUACCCCUCAUGUUUUCAAACAGUGCACCGUCUACCCCUCCGUCAGUCAGACGUUAAAAUACUAACGAAAUGAGCUGAUUUGGCUUUUUUUUUUAAUUUUUUGGACCUGCCAUGUGGAAAUUACAAGUGAAAUUGGAAAAAGGGGCAUUAGAUAUUCAAACUCAAGUUCUGUAAGUAGCAAAACAUGCAUUUAACCAGUUCAGUUACAUACAUAAUUGAUAUAUACAUCAAACAAAUUUAAUUUAUAUCAUUUCUUUGAUCAUCAUCAACUUCAUCUACUCCUCUUCAUCUCUCAAAUCCACUCAAGAACCUCUCCUGAGAAAGCCUGACUGACGGAGGAGUAGACAGUGCACUGUUUGAAAGCAUGAGGGGUAGACACGUCGACAAAAAUAUAGUAGGGGCAGAAUUUGCACAAACUUGAAAUAUCAGGGGCCAAAAAUGCUUUUUAGCCUAUAAAUUAAAUAUGAGGAAAUAGUCACGAUAUACACCCUCCUCAAAGAGAUCAAAAAGUCAGAAACAGCCGGAAAAAAAACCCAACAAACAAAACCAAAACCCGCCUAACCUCCCCAAAAGGACCCAAACAAACAACCCACAUGACCUAUACAAGACCACCUACCAAAUAAACAAAAAGCCUAACAAAGCCUGCAUGUUCAAUGUAAUGAGCUAGUGUGUUUGAGCUGAAUGUAAAAAAAUUCUCAAUUCAUUGGGUUGGUUCAUAUUGAUCGUUUCUUCAAUCCUCAAAUCUGAUACCGAACCAAUCAUAAUCAAAUGCAGAAAAAAAAAUCUGAACCAGACCGAUGAUCCAACCCACCAUAAUGUGUUCGACUCGAAUUGCUUGAAUAUGUUUUGCGGAUCGGACCGUACCCGCUUUUAUUCCCUACAUUAUAACUUAUAAGUCCAUUUCAAGUAUAAGAUAUUAGAAGAGACAAACAUAUAUUAAUUUAAAAUAUCUUUUUAAAAGAGAAGUACAACCAUAUACCGAGAAUUAAAAUGCAAUAAUCUAUAGUUAAAAAAUGAAAUAAUCUAGAAAGAUAUAGAUUGAAGUAUACAAUAUUUAAAUACAUUUCCUCUUCUUAAAAUAAAAAAUAAUAAUAUUUAAAUGUAAGAUAUUAAAAUAAAUCCUUUUUUUUAUCUGUUUCAUACAUCCGAAAAAAGUAAAAAAAUAAUAAAACAAUCAAACAUGUUCAAUUUUAGCUAAUUCAGAUUUCCUGAAUUUUGUUUGUAAGCUCUAAUCAAACAAACCUGAUCUCAAAAGUAAAAAAUAAUAAAACAAUCAAACAUGUUCGACACAUAUUGAUUUAAUCUGUUUCGCGGAUCGGAGUGUACUCGCUUACAUCUCCUACAUUAUAACUUAUAAGUCCAUUUCAAGUAUAGGAUAUGAGAAUAGUCAAACAUAUAUUAAUUUAAAAUAUUCUUUUAAAAGAGAAGUAAAACCAUAUACUGACCAUUAAAAUGGAAAAAUAUAUAGUUAAAAAAAUGGAAUAAUCUAGAAAGAUAUAAUUAAAGUAUACAACAAUAUUUAAAUAUAUCUCCUCAUGUUAAAAUAAAUUAAAGAAAUACAAUAUUUAAAUGUAGGAUAUUAAAAUAAACUCCGCUUCUUUCUUUAUUUUUCUUAAUUAGUAUUUUUUAAUUUAUCUAAUUGAUACAACCAAAAAAAUUAAAAGAUAAUAAAAUAAUCAAACAUGUUCAGUUUGAGUUAGUUCAGAUUUCAUAAUUUUUGUUUAUAAACUCGAAUCAAACCAACAUUAUCUGAAUUGGAUUUGUUCGGUUCGGAUGGUCGGAUUUGGAAUACAAAAGUAUUAUUUAGCAAUUUGUACGAAAAUUUAUUCUAACAACGUGAAAAUUUAUAGGAAAAAUCCAACAUUUCUAAAGAAAAAAAUUUGAUAAUGACAUAAUUCAUAUAAUCCAAAUAAAACCAACAUUUCCAAAACAAUAUAAAUAGGAAAUGUUUUGAAUGUUUUCAGUUCGAGCUAGGGUUUAUGAUUAUCUUACCAUUUUGGUUGGUCAGUUUUUGUUGUGUGUGUUGAUCAAUUUUAUGAUUUCUGCUAUUUUUUUUUAAGAAUUGAAGUUCAUUAUGAUCGUGUGUGUUGAUGAGUGUUUUCUAGUCGUCGUAUUUGAAGUUUCUAGUGUUGGUGUUGUUAUACUCUUACAUUUGGGUUGAUAUGGUUUGACUAAAUGUAAAAAAAGUCUUAAUUUAUUACCUAGUUCAUAUUGAUCGGUUCUUCAAUCGCCAAAUCAGAUAUCGAACUGAUAACAAUCAGAUGCAGAAAAAAAUCUGAAUCAAACCAAUAAUCCAAUCAAACCCACCAUAAUGUGUUAGACUCAGAUUGAUUUAAUUUGUUUUACGAAUCAGACCAUACCCGCUUACAUCCCUUACACUAUAGCUUAUAUGAUAUGAGAAGAAGAGUCAAACAUAUAUUAAUUUAAAAUAUUUUUUAAAAGAGAAGUAAAACCAUAUACCGAGAAUUAAAAUGGAAAAAUCUAUAGUUAAAAAAAUGGAAUAAUCUAGAAAGAUAUAGAUUAAAGUAUACAAUAUUUAAAUAUAUUUUCUCUUGUUAAAAAAAAUACAAUAUUUAAAUGUAACAUAUUAAAAUAAAAUCCGCUUUUUUCUUUAUUGUUUUUUAUUUUAUCUAUUUGAUAUAGCCUAGAAAAUUAAAAAAUAAUAAAACAAUCAAACAUGUUCGGUUUGAGCUAGUUCAGAUUUUAUAUUUAUUGUUUCUAAACUCGACCAAACUAACGUGAUCUCAAUCAGAUUGGUUUGGUUCGGAUGGUCGGAUUUGGAAUAAAAAUAAUAAUUUAGAGAUUUAUCCGAAAAUUUAUUCUAAAAACAUGAAAAAUUAUAAUAAAAAUAUAGAAAAAUCCAACAUUUCUAAAGAAAAAAAUUCGAUAAUGACAUAAUGCAUAUAAUCCAAAUAAAACCGGCAUCUCCAAACAAAUAUAAAUAAGCAAUGUAUUGAAUGUUUUCAGUUUGAGCUAGGAUUUAUUAUUAUCUUACCAUUUGCGUUGGUCAGUUUGUGUUGUGUGUGUUGAUCAGUUUUAUGAUUUCUGCUAAUUUUUUUUGGUAAGAACUGAAGUUCACUAUGAUUGUGUGCUGAUGAGUGUUUUCUAGUCGCCGCAUUUGCAGUUUCUGGUUUUGGUGUUGUUAUACUCUUACGUUUUGGGGUGAUCUGGUUGGGCUAAAUGUAAAAAAAAAUCUCAAUCCAUUCCCUGGUUCAUAUUGAUCAGUUCUUCAAUCCCUAAAUCUGAUACCCGAACCGAUAACAAUCAGAUGCAGCAAAAAAACCUGAACCAAACCGAUGAUCAAAUCCAACCCACCAUAAUGUGUUCGACUCAGCUGAUUCAUUUAAUCUGUUUCGCGGAUCGGACUGUACCCACUUACAUCCCCUACAUUAUAACUUAUAAGUCCAUUUCAAGUAUAAGUUUUUAGAAGAGUCAAACAUAUAUUAAUUAAUUUUUUUUAAAAGAGAAGUAAAACCAUAUAUUGAGAAUUAAAAUGAAAUAAUCUAUAGUUAAAAAAAUGGAAUAAUCUAGAAAGAUAUAGAUUGAAGUAUACAAUAUUUAAAUACAUUUCCUCUUGUUAAAAAAAAAUACAAUAUUUAAAAUGUAACAUAUUAAAAUAAAAUCCGCUUUUUUCCAUUAUUAUUUUUUAUUUUUUCUAUUUGAUACAACCUAAAAAAUAAAAAAAUAUUAAAACAAUCAAACAUGUUCGGUUUGAGGUAGUUCAGAUUUCAUGUUUAUUGUUUUGAAACUCGAACAAAACCAACCUGAUCUUAAUUGGAUUGGUUCUUCAGAUUUAGAAAAAAAAUACUAUUUAGAAAUUUGUACGAAAAUUUAUUCAAAAAAACGUGAAAAAUUAUAAGAAAAUAUAGAAAAAUCCAACAUUUCUCAAGAAAAAAAUCGAUAAUAUGAUAUAAUCCAAAUAAAACCAGCAUCUCCAAACAUAUACAAAUAGGCAAUGUAAUGAGCUAGUGUGUUUGGGUUGAAUGUAAGAAAAAUCUCAAUUCAUUGGGUUGGCUCAUAUUGAUCGGUUUUCCAAUUCCCUAAUCCGAUACUCGAACCGAUCAUAAUCGGAUGCAGCAAUAAAAAUCCGAACGAAACCGAUGAUCCAAUCCAACCCACCAUAAUGUGUUCGGCUCAGAUUGAUUUAAUAUGUUUUGCGGAUCAGACUGUACCCGUUUAUAUCCCAUCCCCUACGUUAUAAUUUUUUAGUCCAUUUCAAGCAUAGGAUAUGAGACCGGACAAACAUAUAUUAAUUUAAUUUUUAAAAAAAAGAGAAGUAAAACCAUAUAUCGAGAAUUAAAAUGGGAUAAUCUAUAGUAAAGAAAUAGAAUACUCUAGAAAGAUAUAGAUUGAAGUAUACAAUAUGUAAAUACAUUUCCUCUUGUUAAAAAAAGAAAUAAAAUAUUUAAAUAUAUGAUAUUAAAAUAAACUCCGCUUUUUUUAUUAAUUAAUAUAUUUUUAUUUUAUCUACUUGAUCCAGCCUAAAAAAGUAAAAAAUAAUAAAACAACAACUUUCUUUUAAAAAAAUAUUGAUAGAGAAACCCAAUAAAUCAAAAUAAAUAAACAGAAAUUAAUUUAGUAAAAAGGGUAGCGAAAAGUGGAGCUUGGAUAACGAUGCUGAGGGCAAGAGAGUAGGGAUGACAUGGUCAUUUUCAAUGCCCUACCCCAUCUUUAUAACAUGUCCAAUUCACACCCUUCAUGUGGUUUUUUCACUCCAAACCAAACACUAUUCAUUGCUCUUUUUCUCUUCAUCUCUCUCACUUCGCUCUCUCUGCUACUCAGAGCAAAAUCAACCUUGCUCUUCUCCUUUUCUUCUCGUCUCUGCUCUUCUUCUAGGUAUAGAUCGGUUCCGUUUCUCUCACUGUUUUCAUUUUCGUUUUUUUUUUUUUUUUUUUGCUUUUGCUUUUGAGUGUUGGUGCUGUGUAGAUCUAUUCAUCUCUGAUCUGUUUCUGGAAUUUUGUUUCCGAUUGUUGUUUUUUCUCGCUUGAUUCUCAUGGCUUUUGAUGGAUUUGUGCUUUGCUUUCAGAUUUAGGGUAUGUGUUUUUUGGGGUUCUGGGUGAUUUUAGGUUUUGGUUUUUUUUUUCCGUUUUGCUUUUUGCCUAGGUAGAUGAAUUUUUUUUUUUGUGAAGUUUUCAACUGAUUAACACUGAAUUUGUCGCUAUUUUUUUCAGCGCUUGAUUUUGUUGUUGUUUUUCUCGUUGUGAGUGCUGUUGCGGGAAAUUUAUUGAAUGUUUUCAGUUUGAGCUAGGGUUUAUGAUUAUCUUACCAUUCUGGUUGGUUAGUUAUUGUUGUGUGUGUUGAUCGGUUUGAUGAUUUCUGCUGAUUUUUUGGUAAGAAUUGAAGUUCAUUAUGAUUGUGUGUGCUGAUGGGUGUUUUCUAGCAUUUGCAGUUUGUGGUGUUGGUGUUGUUAUACUCUUACCUUUUGGGUUGAUCUGAUUACAUUUGUGAUAUAUAUUGUGGCUGGUUCUUUAUACGGAAAAUCAUUAUUGGGUUGUUGUGUGUAUGCAGGGUUCAUCAUGGUUAGGAAGAGGAGAACUGAUGGACCUAGUGGGGGUGAAGGUUCUGAGGGCCAACACUCUCAUUCUACUGAGAGGAGUGCUCCGCCUCCUCAACAGGCUGCUGCUGCACCGGGAGGAGGAGGACCGGGACCCCAAGGGGGUAGAGGUUAUGGUGGUCCACCACAAGGUGGACGUGGCGGCGGCUAUGGUGGUGGUGGUGGGCCGGGUUAUGGUGGUGGGGGGCGCGGUGGCCAUGGGGUGCCACAACAGCAGUAUGGCGGCCCUCCUGAGUAUCAAGGUAGGGGGAGGGGAGGCCCUUCUCAGCAAGGAGGGCGCGGUGGAUAUAGUGGUGGCGGCGGAGGAUAUGGUGGUGGCGGAGGCCGGGGAGGUGGUGGUAUGGGCAGUGGCCGUGGCGUAAGUCCCUCACAUGGUGGCCCACCAUCUAGGCCACCAGCUCCCGAGCUGCACCAAGCAACCCCAGUUCCAUAUCAAGCUGGGGUGACUCCUCAGCCUCCACCAUAUGAGGCGAGUUCAUCAUCAUCUCAGCCUGACGUGUCUGAAGUUGAGAAGCAGAUGUCCCAGAUGGUAGUGGAAACUGAAACUGUGCCUACUCCUCCUCCUGCAAGUAAAUCAUCUAUGAGAUUUCCCCUCCGCCCUGGAAAGGGUAGCUAUGGCACCAAGUGUAUUGUUAAGGCCAAUCAUUUCUUUGCGGAGCUGCCUAAUAAAGAUCUGCAUCAGUAUGAUGUAAGUUCUACCUUUAAUGAUUGGUAAUAUUUGUUAAUCCUUUUGUGGGUAACAUGGUGCUUAUAUUGUUGCUGCUCUUGGUUGCUUAGGUAACUAUUACUCCAGAAGUUACUUCUAGAGGUGUGAACCGUGCUGUCAUGGAGCAGCUGGUGAGGCUGUACCGAGAGUCUCACCUUGGAAAGAGACUUCCUGCCUAUGAUGGCCGGAAAAGUCUUUAUACUGCAGGUGCACUGCCAUUCAUUUCAAAGGAGUUCAGAAUCACCCUAGUUGAUGAUGAUGAGGGAGCUGGAGCAGCACCAAGGUUUGCUUAAUGUCUAUUUCCAAAUGUUUCUACAUGGCUUCUUACGUGUUUAAUUGUUUAAUUGUUUAUCUUUUGAUUUAUUUUGAAACAGGAGGGAUAGGGAGUUCAAAGUUGUGAUAAAAUUGGCUGCACGAGCGGAUCUUCACCACCUGGGCCUGUUUUUACAGGGGAGGCAAACAGAUGCUCCUCAGGAAGCUCUACAGGUUCUAGACAUUGUUCUGCGUGAACUCCCCACUACCAGGUUCUUGAUGUAGUUUUUAAUUGUUUGUUGACUUCCUGUGUUGAACUCAUCGUUCACCAUGCCUGGUUUUGACACUUAUGAUGCUACAGGUAUUGUCCAGUGGGGAGGUCAUUCUAUUCACCUGAUCUUGGUAGAAGGCAGCCCUUAGGUGAGGGAUUGGAAAGUUGGCGUGGUUUCUAUCAGAGCAUUCGUCCCACACAAAUGGGACUGUCCCUGAACAUUGGUAUGUAAAUCUCAUUUGUUUAGUUGGCAUUUCUUUUAUUUAGCUCUAGAUUCUUUGUUUCUUCAUUUUCCUUGAGAAAUUACUAACCAAAUGUUCAUGUAUAGACAUGUCAUCAACGGCAUUUAUUGAGCCUUUGCCAGUCAUAGAAUUUGUGAAUCAAUUGCUGAACAGGGAUGUCUCCUCCCGUCCAUUGUCUGAUGCUGACCGCGUCAAGGUCAGAUUGUUAACAGCCCUUUCUGUAUAUCUUCAUCUUUUAUCCUGCAAAAUUUGUCAGUACUAUUUUCAAUGUUAAAAUCUUUACAAUCUCAGUGGUCUGAUAACUAAAUCAGAAAUGCAAUAAUGAUAUGCCAUUGUAUGCUUGAAAGUCUUGUUUUUUGAUGUCAUUGAUAAUUGAUGUCAUUAGUUGAAAUCUUUGAAUGGUUUUGGUUCACAGCGUGGCUUUUUAAGAAAUGAUGAGAAUGGGAUUGUCCUGAAACCCACAAACUAACUUCCUUUCUUAAUGUGUGACAGAUAAAAAAAGCACUCCGUGGUAUCAAAGUUGAAGUAACACAUCGUGGUAACAUGAGACGGAAGUAUCGUAUCUCUGGUCUGACCUCACAGGCUACUAGAGAGCUGACGUGAGUAAUAAGAACAGUUUUUGUUUCUAAUGCUAAUUAUGAAUUCUUUUCCUGACUUUAUUUUAUCAAUAAUUUUAGGUUCCCUGUGGACGAGAGGGGUACAAUGAAGUCUGUUGUUGAAUAUUUCAUGGAGACCUAUGGUUUUGUUAUUCGACACACUCAGUGGCCUUGUUUGCAAGUGGGCAAUACACAGAGACCAAACUAUUUACCAAUGGAGGUAGAAAAAUUGAACCAAUUAUUAGCUGUUGGAUAUUACGUGGACAAGUCUGUGAGUAAUUGCUUGUUUGUAAUGUAGGUUUGCAAGAUAGUAGAAGGCCAACGGUACUCAAAACGCCUCAAUGAGAGACAAAUUACUGCUUUGCUUAAAGUCACAUGCCAGCGUCCUGUUGAGAGGGAGCGCGAUAUCAUGCAGGUUCGAAGAAUAUUGUCUUAGCAUUCAUGUUAUAUCUAUAUAUAUAUAUAUAUGUUUUUUUUAUUGGUCAUGAAUAGUUUAAUAAUUUUUACCUUAGGACCUGGUGUUUUUUGUAAUUAUAUAUGUAGAUUCUUAAUUUGCUGAUUUAUUCUGUGUACUUCUGUAGCUCUUUUCAUAUUUUGUCAGUUUCUUGUUUGGAUUUAAAGGUUUAUGGUUUGAUCUAUUAGUUGCUUUAUUCCCUACUUAAUGCUUCAUGCCUUUGUGCUGUACAGACUGUUCAUCACAAUGCCUAUCAUGAGGAUCCUUAUGCUAAGGAGUUUGGAAUCAAAAUCAGUGAGAAGCUUGCUCAAGUUGAAGCUCGCAUUCUUCCUCCACCUUGGGUAUUUUUUUUUGUCUCAUCAAUAUUUUUAAUUUUAUUUGUUUCAUUGUCUUGAUUUUAUUUUAUGGCAAUUGACAUUAUCUUCCUCCCCUUCAGCUCAAAUACCAUGAUACUGGUAGAGAAAAGGAUUGUCUUCCUCAAGUUGGGCAAUGGAAUAUGAUGAACAAGGUAUUUUCUCUAGGCGCACUGCACUUGAACUUACUGUGGAACAUGUUUAAGAUUCUCUUCUCUUGAGAGGUUCUUGAGGCUUUAGAAUUGAGUAAAUAUGUUAAGGUUAAUUUUGUUUUUCUCUUGCUAUAUAAGUUUGAAACAUCUUUUUGCUGUCUCAUUAUUUCAGAAAAUGGUCAAUGGAGGGACAGUCAACAACUGGUUCUGCAUAAACUUCUCAAGGAAUGUGCAGGAUAGUGUUGCCCGUGGCUUUUGCUAUGAACUUGCCCAAAUGUGUUAUAUAUCUGGCAUGGUGUGAAUAAAUUCUUCUUGCUAAUUUUAUUUCUCUAAUAGAUAGUUUACUUCAUUACAUGAUUGUUCUGGUACUUGUAUUCAGGCAUUCAAUCCUGAGCCAGUGGUCCCCCCACUAAGUGCUAGGCCUGAUCAAGUGGAGAAAGUUCUUAAAACGCGCUAUCACGAUGCUAAAAAUAAGUUGCAAGGGAGAGAACUGGAUCUGCUAAUUGUUAUUCUGCCGGAUAACAAUGGCUCUCUGUAUGGUAUGCUGUUGAACUGAUCUCUGCUCACCUUCCUUUCUAGUGUUAUUUUGAUUGAUAUAAUAGUGGAUCUCUUCAUUGUAUGAUUUGGUAUGCAGGGGACUUGAAAAGGAUUUGUGAGACUGACCUUGGGCUUGUCUCCCAGUGCUGCUUAACAAAACAUGUUUUCAAAAUGAGUAAGCAGUACUUAGCUAAUGUAGCUUUGAAGAUUAAUGUAAAGGUUGGGGGCAGGAACACGGUUCUUGUUGAUGCUCUUUCACGGCGCAUUCCUUUAGUCAGUGACAGGCCUACAAUUAUUUUUGGGGCAGAUGUCACUCAUCCACAUCCUGGGGAGGAUUCUAGUCCAUCAAUAGCAGCUGUACGUUCUUUAUUUGUGUGUUUAGGCCAAGCAGUGAAAGCUUGAAAAUACUUAAUAUUUGCCUCUUUUUUAAAUCAUGCUUGUUGAUACUGUAGGUUGUGGCUUCUCAAGAUUAUCCUGAAAUCACCAAGUAUGCUGGUUUGGUUUGUGCCCAAGCACAUCGGCAGGAGCUCAUUCAAGAUCUUUUCAAACAAUGGCAAGAUCCAGUCAGAGGAACAUUAACUGGUGGAAUGAUCAAGUACUCUCUGUCUUUCUCUUUCUUCAUAUGUUUGUUCAUUAAUGCACAUGCGGCAUCUGAUAAUUCCUUGUGGUUCAGUUUUUCUAGUUUUCUUAUUAUAUUAUUUGUUUGUAGGGAACUUCUUAUAUCUUUCCGGAGGGCUACAGGACAAAAGCCGCAGCGCAUCAUAUUUUACAGGUAGUCUUAUGUUCAAGUCCUUUAUGAUCAUUGUGAUCUUUUUAUGUUGGUAUAUCCGUAUAUGAUAUUCUAAAUUAUUAUUUUCAGGGAUGGUGUAAGUGAAGGGCAGUUUUAUCAAGUUUUAUUGUUUGAGCUUGAUGCUAUCCGAAAGGUGAAGAAUAUUUUUCUUGUUUGGUCAACAACUUUGAACAAUCUUUGUUGUUAUUGCUAACAAUCUGUUCACCACUUCCAGGCUUGUGCAUCUCUGGAGCCCAACUACCAGCCUCCUGUAACUUUUGUUGUGGUUCAGAAGCGGCACCACACGAGGCUGUUUGCCAGUAACCAUCAUGACAAGAGUUCUGUUGACCGGAGUGGCAAUAUUUUGCCUGGUAUUUACUCUAAUUUGAUACUUGGCAAUUCUUGUAUAAUAAUCUUGUUUCUCAUUUCUGAUGCCAAAGAACACUACCUGUAAAUGUUGCAGGCACUGUGGUGGACUCCAAGAUCUGCCAUCCAACGGAGUUCGAUUUUUAUCUUUGUUCCCAUGCUGGAAUCCAGGUGAUUUUUUGCCUCUUUCGUCUCUUUUAAAUUGAAAGUGGAUUAUAUUCUUAUGGGAAUCAUGUUGGCAGGGCACAAGCCGUCCUGCGCAUUACCACGUCCUGUGGGACGAGAACAACUUCACUGCUGAUGGUUUACAAAGCCUUACCAACAACCUGUGCUACACGUAAGUAUUAAACUAGUAAUGUGAUAUUGGAAUCUUCCCAAAUUUCAAGAUAUUUAAUUUUUUUUUAAAAAUAUUUACUGCAGCUAUGCAAGGUGCACACGAUCUGUAUCUAUUGGUGAGCUUUCUUUCGAACUCUAAUAUUUAGUUUUGUUACACAUUCAAUCAUUGAUUUUCUACUCAAUAGUUAUGAAGUCUUCACUUUUAUCUCCUGAAGAGUGAACACUUUACUUGAGAAGAACCAAAUUUAAUUAUAGGUUGUUUUUGGUACCUGAUUCUGUUUUAUGUAUGACAAUUGCAGUGCCUCCAGCAUACUAUGCCCAUCUCGCAGCCUUCCGAGCAAGGUUCUAUAUGGAGCCUGAAACUUCUGACAGUGGCUCCAUGACCAGUGCUGCUGCUGGUCGCGGAAUGGGUGGACGAACUACUCGGGCACCUGGUGCCAACGCUGCAGUGAGGCCAUUACCUGCACUUAAGGAGAACGUCAAGAGGGUGAUGUUCUACUGUUAGGAUAGCAUAUGGUUGUUUGAAGUACUGAUGUCAUUGGUGUUUGACUUUUGUUAAAAACUUCGUGUGAUUAUGUUCGUGGAUGAACUUGUUACUUGCUUUUGUUGGCUUGCCUUCUCAUGUUAGUGGUUGAACAAUUUUUUUUGAGACAAUAUUUGGUUGAACUUGUUACUUCUUUAUGUUAUCCGUCUAUAAUGUUAAUUAUGCUGUGUUUUGCAAGUGACGAUUGUGACUGUAUGUGUAAAAAAUUGGUUUUGACCAUUUUAUUUAACAUCAAAGCCAUUUUUCUCCUCCGCAGCCUCCCCUCUUCCCAUAAGAAUGUCCCCCCUCUUGUCCAUUCAACCUAUUCACCACACCAUUUACAUUAUACAGACUAUAUUUUCAAGAUUUGCCCAUUUACAUUAUAUCCACUAUAUUUUCAUGAUUUGAAUUACGUCUUCACCAUACCUGUAUCAAACCCAGUAAUGGUUUCAAGAUUUAACACUGUUCAUGCUUGCGGAUGACAGUAAUGAUUCAUGAACCACUACACAGUAAAACACCCUUAAACACUCCUUUUUUCUGCGGAUUUGGCCAAAUAAUAUACUGAACUAACCACCUAAAUUAGGAAUUUGGCCAAAUAGUACACUGAACUAACCACUUAAAUAUACAUGACUAACCAUAAAGCACAGAAUAUUUAGGUGGUUAGUUCAGUGUAUUAAUUGGUGAAAUCCUCAAUUUAGGAAUUUCAACUUUACACAGUUCUGUGCUUUAUGGUUAGCCAUGUGUAUUUAGGUGGUUAGUUCAGUGUUAUUAUUUGGCCAAAUUCGCAGGAAAAAUGGGUGUUUCUACUAUUCAGUGGUUCAUGAAUCAUUUUUCUUGCGGAUGAUGAAGUUCAUGGUGAGAAAUCAGUUUUUGACUGAGAUAAUGAUCCAGCUGAAGGCGUUUUUUAUUUGGUUUUAAUCUCUCCAAUAUGAAUAGAUUGUGAGAGAUUAAGAUACGAAGUCUGAAUUUUCUGCUGUUUAUCUUCCUUGAUACUGAAUGAGAACCUUGCUGCAUGUUAAAGGGUUGGGGAAGGGGAUUGGAGGUUGCCGGAGAAUGGGUGCGAAGAGGGUUAGGGCUGAAGACUGAGGAAGGGGCUGACAAGGGUGAAGGUGUGAGUUAACAGUGAAGUUAAGAGUGGGAAGUUUUUUCACAUAGGAAAUUAUUUUUUACACAAACAAUACAAUCUUUGAAUUUUUUUCAAUUCUUAGCAUGUAUUUUAGACAUACCUUUGUUGUACGUGAUGUCCCUCAUUCAUUCUUCUCUCAUUGGCCCUUUGGCAUAGUCACAUUGCAAACACAACUAACAUGCUUCUACUCACUCUAUUCUCAAUGGCUGGUGUACAGUUUCUGGUUUCCAUUUUCCUUUUCCUCCAAAUGCCAUACACCCCUGCAACGGAUCGGGCAAAACCCUCAACGAUUGUGUGCCUACUCACUUGAAUCAACCACAAGUGCAAUGAUGUCCCAAAUAGUUGGUCAUUCAUUGCAUCAUCUUGCGGCCAUCUACGGUUGCAUUUUCUUCUGUUUCAUCGAAGCUCCAUUGCUACGCUCAACCCUUUGCCACAUUUCUCCUCUCGUUUAGGUACACUGCUGCAUCUUUUUACCUAAAAAGGUAAAUCGUGUGAAAGAGAAAAACAACUUUUAGAGGGGAAACAAAAAAUGAGUGAGGGUUAUUUUGUGUAAUUUUUUCUUAGAGAAACAUUGUCUGUUACGAAACGAACUGAGAUGAAUGAUAUGUCAAUUAAUUUCUGAAUGACACGAUAUUGAUAUUGAUUAUUUGUGCAAUCUCGAAACUGCACAUCUCCAUACAUUUACACUAUGUUUGGUAGGGUGGAGAGAGAUAGAGAAGAGAGAGUAGAGAAGAGAGAAAUUGAGUAGAGAAAAAUAUGUGAGAAAUAUAGUGGAUUUAAGAGGUUGUUUGGUAUGAUAGAGAUAAAUGAGAGAGAGAUGAGAAAGAAUGAUGUGGAUAAUGAAUAUUAGUAAAAUAAAAAAUAAUAAUUUAAUAAAUUGACAAUUUUGUCCAUUAAAGUAAAUACUGACAACUCAAAUUGUAAGGAUAAAAUAGUUAAAACAGAGAAAAAGUACAGCAGCUCUCCAUUUCUUCGCUAUUUGAGGAGAGGAAGAAAAGCAUGUGGAGCCCACGUAAAAAACUCUCUCUGCGCUACAGUAAUAUAUCUGCCAAACGGAGAGAGUUGCUUUAACUCUUCACAACCUCUGUCUUUGCCAUCUCUCUCUUGCCAAAGUCACCUUAACCAAACAAAGUGUUAGUAUUUUUAUUAAUUCUUUAUCAUGCCGUACAAGAUAACUCAAUUUUUUUAAAGUGUGGAUAGUACUUUUUAGGUGAGUAAAAAUAAUGGGAGAGGGGGUAGAGUUGGCGUGGGUGUGCACAAUUCAUUCCCUAGGGCAUUUGUUUCAAGGGAUCUCAAAAGAUUCUCAAGAAAAUAAGAUUGGGAAUGUUGCAUUCAUAGAUUUGGUACGAGUUUUGAAAAAUGUAUUCCCGAGUAUGUUAGAUCUUUAGGUAUGUGAGUUACCCAUGUUUUAUUUAAAAUUCAUUCUCAUGUCAAUGGGCGAUAAUUUUACAUUUUCAUGGGAAUACAAUUUUUUUUCCACAACACAUGCUUUCCCUACACAUUUUCUAUUUCAAAAUUUUUAAUAAAUUUGUUUUAAAAUUUUCUCGAAAACAAUAAACACAACCUUUUUACACCCUAGUGACACUCUUAGUAUUGAAUUCAUGGGCAACAUUAUUCUCGAUGAAUGUGGUUCUAUAACUUAAAAUGAACUCCCUCUAGGGCCGUGUUUGGAUUAGGGGAAGGAGAUGACAUGGAGUGAAAUAAAGAGGAGAUCCAUUGUUUGUAUUUUUUAAAAGGGAAUAAACCCAUGAAAAUAAUACAAAUUCUGUCAUAUUCCAUUGCUUUUUUUCAAUUUUAUUCCCCCCAAUUUGGGACGAGCGAGACGGAACAAAACACUGUUCAUCUAAUAAAGUUAUCAAAAUACAAAUUUACCCCUCCAUAACCUUCUCCUUAUCCUUAUCCUCAACCUUUUUGUGCCGUUGGUCGUUCUUCUCUCAACUGCGUCAUUGUGGGCUUUGCUGUCCUAAGUUUUACCCUUUUAACAGUUCCUUGUGCCUGUGAAGCAAACGUUGACUAACAUAAGUUUUUGUUACGCAUUUGUUGAGGGUUCAAAUUUAAGUUAAAAUCUCACACUAGUUAUGAAUGAGUGAGGUGAAUACUUUAUAAGACAUAAACUCAAUGCUUUAAGGUUUUGGGUAAAGUUUUGAUGUUAGAUACUCUUGUUGAUCUUCGGUGUCGGACCAUUGGUGCAUGGUCUUAUGCUUCGGGCUCCCCCUAUUUUCCCAACAAGUGAUAUAAGAGCCAAUGGUUGGUGUAGCUAUGUUGACUUCUCAUUAUAUCGAAACUUUACCCGACGGUGUGGCCAGGCGGUAUGUUCCGUUAACACAGUGAAGCGAACGACAGUGAGUGUUUAGAUAGCUUUCGCAGAGGGGAGCAUAGUAAUGUGGUGGUGACUACUCACACUUGACGGGGAGAAUAUUGAGAAUUUAAGUAUGAGCUGAAGUUCUACAUUGGUUAAGAAUGCGUGAAAUAAAUAAUUUUUGAUAGAUGUGAUCCAUAAUCUUAAUGCCUUAAAAUUUUGGAUAAAAUUGUGGCGUUUGAUUCUCUCAAUGGUCUUUAAUCUUAAUCCAUUAUCUCAUGCUUUAGGCUCCCGGUCUAGCAGUAGCUUCAUAAGUUUUACAUUUUUACUUGUUUGUUAACCAUUAUCUAUGUGAGUGACAUAAUUGAAAAGCUGAACUAACAAAAACGUGAGCUAAGAAAAGAGAAGCAUUGCCUAAGUAGUAGCUUUAUAUGCUUGUUAUUCAAAAUAGGAGGAAUACAUUCACCUCCCUUGAGGUCUAUCAUUAUUACACUGACCUCAUUUUUAGUUUGUAAAAUGCACUAACUUCUCCUCUUUCAUAUAUCAUAUAGAAGACAAAUGGGUACUGAGUAUUAUAGUGAUAAAUCUUAGGGGAGGUUAAUGCAAUGAUAAUAAAUAUCAGAGGAGGUUAGUGUAAUAUUUUCAAUAAAAUAAGCAAUUAUUAUCUUUUUAAAUAAUAGAGAGAAUAUCAGUAGUUCUGUCCAAUAAUAAUAAACCUCAUGGAAUGUUGGUGCAAUUUUCACUUCAAAAUAAGAUCAAAUUGAAUAGCAUAGUUCAUGUAAAGACAAUUAAGCAAAUGACGCAGCGAAUUUGUUCUUUAAAGUUUCAAAAGCAUAAGAAAAAAACACCAUAAUUAAUAUUUUCAGGGUAAGUAAUAUAAGAAAAAAAAUUAAAACUUCAUUCUCUCCACCAUCCAAACAAACAAUCUUAAUAAGUGGUUGGUUCAAGUGGUACAUACAAUGUUAUUAAACUCGAACCGGUGAUUGACUCAGUCGGGGUACUGAGCUGAUGGGUUAAUGGUCGAACCACUAAAUCAUUGAUUGAACCGCUUGACUCGGUAUAUGCUAAAUUUCAUUUUUAAAUGUUAUAUAUAUACACAUAUAUUAAACUAUUAAUAAGAUAUAUAUACUAUCUUUGUUAACAAAAAAAAAAUGUAUUCUAUAUUUGUUAUGUUUGAAUUGUUACUUUUCAAAAAAAAAAAAGCUUUAGUUCCCCCCCCACAGGAAACUUCAUAUUUAAAAAGUAGAUAUUAAGAAAUAAGAUUGGGCCCAGACAAGCCCACAAAAUUGAAAAUCCUAAAAAGCUAACACAUUAGAUAAAAAGGAUGAUGCACUGACGGUGUAAAGUUUUUUUACACCGUCAACCAAUCAGAUUUUAAGGAUGUG
rnacentral:lncRNA from 1 species